UUUUCUCCCGUGAGAAGCUCCACAAGAACUACCCCAAAGCUGAAGACAUCGCUCCUUGCGGUUAAAAUACCCGUCAUAAGAUACUCUGGAUCCAGGUAGCCUAAAGUCCCUUGAAUUUUUGUUGCUAUAAUGGUUUGGUCUGAAGAAAUCAGCACUGAAGCUCCAAAAUCUGCAACCUUUGCCGUGUGGUUGUUGUCUAAGAGUAUGUUCACCGACUUGACAUCUCCAUGAAUAAUCGGAGGGUCUGCAAGAGAAUGCAGGUAAUUAAGCGCAAGGGCAAUCUCUGAUGCUAUCCUCAGGCGAUUGCUCCAGGAAGCUAGUAACUGCGACGUUUGUCAUGUAUGUGCUUGAAAAGAGUUCCAUUUGAAAUGAACUCAUCAACUAACAAUGGCACUUUGGUCUCCAAACACAGGCCCAAGAGCUUCACCACGUUCUUGUGAUUGACCUGUGAGACAACGCCCAUUUCCUUUUGAAAUUCCUCAUUCAUCUGAGCCUUGUCUACCCCUUUAAACUUCUUGACUGCAACUUGGACAUCAUCUGCUAGAACUCCUCUGUAAACAGAACCAAAACCACCUUCUCCAAGUUUCUGAUCAUCAUCAUAGUUUUUUGUUGCCUUUUCCAGCUGCGCCUCGCUGAAAAUCCUUACUCGUUGGUGCUUUAAAACCAUUCCCCCGUUCUCCCUGAAGUUUCUAUCCUUCUUCCUUUUCUUGCACAUCAUGUACAGUAGAACACAAAUGAUCACAAGCAAAAUGGCUGCUCCAAUAGCUGCAUACCAAUGUCAAAGAAAAAUUAUUGUUGCUUUAAACACAAAUCUAGAGAUUUCUUCUCUAACCUUUUACCGAGUGAUAUAUGGCCAUUAGUAUCAUCAUAAGAGCAUCUAAAUCGCAUUUUUUUUUACUGUUCUCAGAUUAAGUUUUUUUGCACACCAAGACGUAAUUCCCUUUUCCGAUCCAGCUAAAGUCAAGCAAUGCAAGUUGGGAUUAGGAGAUUCAUGAAUAUUCAUUAUAUAUGCUAGUCUUUUUAAUCAUAUACUUAUUGAAAAUCAUCAAAAAAAGAAGAACCAUACAUGCAUAGAUAUAAAUGCCUGUUCUUAUUGUUAAUUGUCUAUAAAGCUGAAGCUCGAGAAUUACAUGUUGAAUAUUAAACUCAAUCUAGAUGGUCAAGGAAGACAACCACCAUUUGCAGCCACAGCUGCCACCAGCCGCAGCCGCCAGCUACUAGCUGCCACAGCCGCCAGCCGCCAGCUGCCUUCACACUUGAAGGUUGAAUUUUCUAGUUUUUUGAUUUCGUGUAUGAAUAGAGUGCCCAGCUUCUGUUAAUGUGUAUGGAGAGAAUUGAGAGAAACACUAGAAAGAGAAAAAGAGAGAGAGAGGGCGUGUAUUGUGUUAAGCUUUUGUUGUUUAAUUGUAAGCUUCGGUUUCUUGUAAUAAAACCUUGUGUUUUAUCCCCUCUGAGUGUUUCAAAGCCACCACCAGUGGUUUCUCCCACCAACAAUUGGUAUCAGAGCCUCGUUCGUUAGAAAACAGAAGAGUUUUGGGGUAUAUCCGAAUUUUCAAAGUUGUCAAAAACAAGUUUUGAUAAUUCCACAGUGUAGAGCUCAUCAAGAGGAACUCACUGUCGCAAGAAUAAGCCUGAUCGGAGACCACGGUGAGCCACACGCGCGGCCUGAAGAUUCUGCACAAACGCCCACGCGCCCAGAGGUAGACGACGACUGAUCCACACGCGCGCCAUAUUUGAGCCGCGCCGAGCCGUUCACGCCGAGUCCAAGCCGAGCCGAGAGCCGUGCCGUACAGCGCGCCGAGAGAAUAUUUCCCAGAAUAUUCCUGGUUCAACCCAGCGAACCGCCCGCCUUACAUAAUUGGUUUUUUGAUCGGUUCACCCAUUUUUUGACCCGAUUUCAACAAAGUCAGACCGGUUCCCUACUAUUUGGACCAUUCUGGAUCGAUCUACAGUGUCCGUUUGGCCAAAUUCGGCUCCCAGAAGGUGAUAUAGUCAUUAAAAGAGCAAAAUAACUAUAGAAAGUACACAUACACUCAUCCCGAAGCUGACCAAAGACAAUUAUGAUAGUUGGUGCAUCAGAUUGAAGGCAUUCCUUUGUUCACAAGAGUGUUUGGAUAUUGUACAACAUGGUUAUGAUGAACCAGAGUCCAAAGAAGCAGAAGAUGCUUUACAAGAGGCACAAAAGCAAGCCCUCAAAGUCAACAGAAAGAAAGACAACAAAGCAAAGACCAUCAUCUAUCAGGGUGUUGAUGAAGACACAUUCGAGAUCAUAGCUUCCGCUGAAACAUCACAUGAUAUAUGGGAGGCUCUCCAACAGAAAUACAAAGGUGCUGACAGAAUCAAGAAGAUUCGUCUUCAAUCUUUACGAGGUGAAUUUGAGUUAUUGCAAAUGAAGUCCUCAUAAUCUAUUUCUGAUUAUCACACAAGGAUUAUGGUAAUAGUCAACCAGAUGAGGAGAAAUGAAGAAGCCCUCAUCGAUUCUCGAAUUACUGAGAAAAUUUUGAGAUCCCUAGAUCCAAAAUUUGAUUUUGUUGUUGUCGCAAUUGAAGAAUCCAAGGAAGUGGACAAGUUGACAGUUGAUGAGCUUAUGAGUUCGUUGCAAGCUCAUGAGCAGAAGAUAGUAAAGCGAAAUGAAGAUAAGGCCAUCGAGCAUGCCUUACAAGCAAAGCUGUCUCUCAAAGACAGAUAUGAGCAAGGGGAGACUUCAACAAGUGGCUACACUACUCAAGCAGGAAGUUAACAAUCUAGAGGAGGAUUUCAGAGAUUCCAAGGAAGAGGUUCUUGGAAUACAAGCUUUAAAGGAAGAGGUGGCAGAAACAUCACCAGAGGAGGCCGAGGACAACAAGCAUUCACUCUUAGAGGAAGAGGAGGCGGUUACAAUAACCGUGACAAGAGGAAUAUCCAAUGUUAUAGUUGCAAUCAAUUUGGGCACUAUAGCACUGAAUGCAGAAGGAAAGCUCCGUUGGAGAUACGCGAGCAAGCCAACUAUGUAGAGAAGGAUGAUAGAGAAGAAGCUGCAUUUCUUGUCCAACAAGGACUUGGCGAGAAACAGGAAAAUACAUGGUAUCUAGAUACUAGAGCCAGCAAUCACAUGUGCGGCUACCGAGAGUUAUUUGGCGAUCUAGAUGAGACCAAGCAAGGUCUAGUUACUUUUGGAGAUACCACAAAGGUUCCAUUCAAAGGUAAAGGCAGCAUCCCAAUUAAGUUGAAGAACGACGAUUCCAGCUACAUCGCCGAUGUGUAUUAUGUCCCAGCCAUAAAGCAGAACCUGAUCAGCUUAGGUCAACUUUUGGAGAGAGGAUAUACUUUUUACUCGAAGAAUUGUCAUCUGACAAUUAGAGACAACAAUUGGAGAUUAAUGGCCUACGUGAAAAUGUCUAAGAAUAGGAUGUUUCCUUUGAACAUCCAGUAUGAUGCAGCAAGGUGUUUGAGUGCCAUCACCAACAGUGAAGAAUGGCUUUGGCACCUGAGGCUUGGACUUCUGAAUUUCACAAGUCUGAAGAUGCUAGCAAGCAAGAAGAUGGUCAAAGGUUUGCCUCACAUUGAUCAUCCAGAUGAAGUCUGUGAGAGUUGUGUCCUCAGCAAACAUCACAGAUCCAGUUUUGCCAAAGAAGUCAACUGGAGAGCAAAGAGGCCACUGGAGUUAGUACACACAGAUGUGUGUGGCCCAAUAACGCCUAUGUCGACUGGACAAAAUAGGUACUUCCUCACUUUUACUGAUGAUUUUAGUAGAAAGACGUGGAUAUACUUUCUGAAGAGGAAGUCAAAGUAUUCAAUUGUUUUAAAGAUUUUAAAGCAAUUGUGUAGAAGCAAAGUGGCUACAUGAUCAGAACCGUGAGAUCUGAUCAAGGUGGAGAAUAUACAACCAAUGACUUUGAAGCCUUUUGUACACAACAAGGCAUCCGACAUCAAACGAUACCAGCUUAUACACCACAGCUGAAUGGUGUAGCCGAGAGGAAGAAUCGAACGAUUCUUGACAUGGCCAGAAGUUUGCUCAAAGCAAAGAAGCUGCCUAAGCAAUACUGGGCUGAAGCUGUAUCAUGUGCAGUGUAUCUAUUGAAUCGCUGCCCAACCAGAAGUUUGCAAGGAGUCAUUCCAGAAGAAGCAUGGAGUGGUCACAAACCAAGUGUAACUCAUCUACGAGUCUUUGGUUGUGUGGCAUAUGCAAAGAUCCCAGAUACAAGAAGGAGAAAGCUCGAUGAUAAAAGCGAGAAAUGCAUCUUUGUCGUAUAUUGUGAAAGAAGGAUGGGAUACAAGCUGUAUAAUCCCAUCACGAAGAAGGUGAUUAUGAGUAGAGAUGUUAUCUUUGAAGAAGAUAAAUCUUGGGAAUGGAAUGAUGAUCAAGAAGCAGUCAAAUGGAUCAAUCUUGAUUUGAUCCUUGAAGGUGAAGAAGUACCAACAGUACUUGUAGAAGAACCGAUUGUGCCAGCAUCUGAACCACAAAGUCCGGUGUUUAUACCAGCAGCUGAACCACAAAGUCCGGUACACAGAUUCCCUGUAUUCAACAGGAGGAACACACCAGGAGCAUCAUCAUCAACACCACCAUCAGCAUCCUCAUCAGAAGGACCAAGAAGGAUGCGAAAUCUUGAAGAGUUGUACGAUGCCACUCAAGUCAUGGAAGAUACAACUCUGUUUUGUUUCCAUGCAGAUAGUGACCCAUUAAGCUUAAAUAAAGUUGUCACUGAAGAGAAAUGGAUUAAAGCAAUGGAUGAAGAAAUACAUGCCAUUGAGAAGAAAGAUACCUGGAAGCUGACUUAUCCACCAGAAAACAAGAAAGCAAAAGGUGUCAAAUGGGUCUACAAGACGAAAGCCAAAUUAGUGGAUAAAGGCUACAAGCAGAGAGAAGCCAAAUUCAAUCUAGAUGGUCAAGGAAGGCAACCACCACUUGCAGCCACAGCUGCCACCAACCGACCAGCCACCAGCCGCAGCCGCCAGCCGCCUUCACACUUGAAGGUUGAAUUUUCUAGUUUUUUGAUUUCGUGUAUAAAUAGAGUGCCCAGCUUCUGUUAAUGUGUGUGGAGAGAAUUGAGAGAAACACUAGAAAGAGAAAGAGAGAGAGAGGGCGUGUAUUGUGUUAAGCUUUUGUUGUUUAAUUAUAAGCUUCGAUUUCUUGUAAUAAAACCUUGUGUUUUAUCCCCUCUGAGUGUUUCAAAGCCACCACCAGUAGUUUCUCCCACCAACAUUACAGACUCGGCCAGUAAUGGCUACGAUGCUCUUCAUAACGGAGAAACUCAUAACAAGAUUAAUUCCAAGGUCACUUCCGUACCUGCAAUUAAUGUGAUGAUAUCAAGUCCUUGACAACCUAUUUUAACAUCACCAUGCAUACCAAGUGGACAUCGACACUUGUAAUUCCCAAUGGUGUUCUUGCAUCUACCAUGACAUGGAUAGCUUUCUGGAUCCUUGCACUCAUCGAUAUCUAAAUGUUAAAAAAAGUAGUGAGUAACAAACCGCUACUAUUUUAUGCUUAAUCAUGGAAUGAAGAUUGAGAUUGAUGGAUGUUUAGUACUUAAAUACUUUGAAACUAUAUCAUGCAACCAUUUUAAUUAAAAAUCUCAAACUGUUUAAAGAAUUUUCAAAAAUAAAUUUAUAUUACUCUGUAGGCUAGUUGCUUAUAAAGCUACAACUCGGGAAUUAUAGAUAGUGCAAGUAAUGGCUGCAACGCCUCAAAACGGAGAAGCUCAUAACAAGAUUAAUUCCAAGGUCACUUACGUACCUGUAAUUAAUGUGAUGAUACCAAGUCCUUGACAACCUAUUUUACCAUCACCAUACAUACCAAGUGGACAUCGACACUUGUAAUUCCCAAUGGUGUUCUUGCAUCUACCAUGACAUGGAUAGCUUUCUGGAUCCUUGCACUCAUCGAUAUCUAAAUGUUGAAAAAAGUAGCGAGUAAAAUCUGAUUAUAAAUUCGAAAAAUAAAUUAUAUAAAAAAUAAAUCGUGCCAAUUAAAUGGAUAUGAUUAGGCAAUGAAAGAUUUGCAUGUAUAUUAACCAAUUGGUCUAGCAUGAAACUCAGGUAGUGCUUAAGUUGAAAUGUUUAAUAAAAAACACUAAUCAUGAGAUGGAAAUUUUAAGCAAGCUCAAAUUUCAAACUAGGCCACAUGAUUUUUUUUAUUAUUAUUACACAUGACGAGAGACAAACAGGGAAAGAGCAUAACCUGCAAAAGCAUAUAUAAAAAGUACUAAUAAUGGAAAUCAUACCAAAAAUCAAUAACCAGUUUACCUUGGCAUCCUUCUUGGAGAUAGGGAUUUCCUUCGAACCCUUCAUUGCAUAAGCAACGAUAUCCUUGACCACUCUCCGGGUACGUGCAAUUUGCAUUAGCGCCACAAGCAUAUGCACUUGCAUUAGCUUUAGCCUGCUCGCAAGUCUCAUUUUUAACUACCCAUUCAAUCACAAUAUCUGUUCUAUAUGCAUCUUUUCCAUAUUUUGGCUUGCGAGAGAGCGGCCAAUCUGAAAUCUUCAAGGAGUUCUUGUCCACUAAAAAAGCAAAUCCACAGAGAUUGAAGUCCGAAACGUUCGUGUAGUUGUAAAAACUAAAUAAUGAAAUAUCAAGUGAUUUGAGGCCCUUGGGGAUUGAGCUUUGGCAGCAUCCAGAACCUGAGCAAGGAUUUACAUCGGACAUGCUCACAUAUUCUGUGCACAAGGAGAGACAGGCAGCUCCAUAUGUGAACUCAUAGUUGGUCACCUGGGCAAAGGUAUCGCAACCAAUAGCUGUGAAGAUAUUUCGGAGGUGUGAGAGCAUGAAGGGGCCUGAUCCAAGGGUCAUAUACUGUGGGAAAGAGUCUAUCUGUAUCCCUGAUUUGUUAUAGCAUUUGAAUGCUGCAUCAAUGCCUAGAGUUACUGUGCCCUCCAGCUGUGAUAUAUUGUGAAUAGCCAUGCCAGUUCCAAACCACAGCUGUGAUUUGGAGAUCUUCUGGUUUGAUAGUUGCAAGGAAUUUCCCGGUGACUAUAGAUUGGUAAAGAAACUAGGAACUUUGGGGAAAAGAUUGAGACAAUGGAACAAAUCCACCUUCGGUAAUCAAAAUUCAAAACUUGCAGACAUUCAGAACUCCAUCACAACCAUCGAAGACUUAAGCGAGGUACGCCUCUUGUCUGAGACUGAAAAAACAAAGCUCAAGAAUCUAAACUCUGAACUUUGGGAGGUUAGUAGGAAUGUCGAGGGCAUUUGGAGGCAGAAAUCCCAGCAAAACUGGUGCAAAAUGGGGGAUAAAAACACUCGGUUCUUCCAUCUUUCGGCAAGUUUGAGGAAUGGUCGGAACCACAUUAGCAAGAUUGAGCAGAAUGGCAGAUUUUUAGACUCUCCAAAUGACAUCAAAGAGGGUGCUGUCAACUUCUUCUCAACUCUGUUUGCCAAGCCACAAUGCAGAAGAAUUGAAAUGGGAGACUCAGGGUUCUCUAAAAUUUCAGAAGAAAGUUCAGUUUGGUUAGAAAGACUACCUUCAUUGGAGGAAGUGAAGCAAGCCGUUUGGGAUUGUGAUGGUUCAAAAGCCCCCGGUCCUGACGGGUUCACCUUCUCCUUCUAUAAAAAGGAAUGGAAUCUUAUCAGCCCUGAAUCUUUGUGAUGGUCACAGAAUUUUUCAGAACAGGUAAAUUACCAAAGGGGAUCGGCUCGUCCUUCGUGACUUUGAUUCCAAAGACCAAGAGGCCGAGCACUUUCUCCCAAUUUCGACCAAUUAGUUUGAUUCAUGGGUUAUAUAAAAUAGUGGCAAAGCUCUUGUCCAUUAGGCUCCGAAGCAUUCUACCAGAUGUGAUAAGUGUAAACCAGUCUGCUUUCAUUGCCGGGCGUCAGAUUCUAGAUGGGUUCAUGAUAGCAAACGAGGUUGUCCAUAGUAUUCGUAGCAAAAAGGACCACGAGUUUUUGCUGAAGGUAGAUUUUCAUAAAGCCUUCGACUCGAUUUUAUGGGAGCAUAUCGAUUCUACCAUGGGUUAUAUGGGUUUUGGAUCUCACUGGAGGAAACUGAUCUUUGAAUGCAUGUCCACUUCUAAAUUGGCCAUCCUGAUUAAUGGCUCACCAAGCAGAGAAUUCAGUAUGGAGAGGGGUCUCAGGCAAGGGGACCCUCUCUCUCCUUUCCUUUUUGACAUAGCAGUUCAGGGGUUAACAGUUCUAUUCAACAGGGCAUCAGAUUUAGGUUACUUUAAAGGUUUACAGACUUCGCAAGGACAUCACAUAACCCAUUUGCAAUAUGCAGAUGACACUCUGAUUUUCCUGUCGAAUGAUUAUACCUCUCUACUGCAUGUCAAGAGGAUCCUCCGCUGGUUUGAGAUCAUUUCAGGACUGAAAGUUAAUUUCUAUAAAAGCUCACUUAUAGGAAUUAAUUUGGAUAACGAAUACACUUCAGGUCUGGCUAACACAAUUUUCUAUCGCAGUGACUCCUUCCCAGUCAGAUACCUUGGGUUGCCUCUUGGUGCUAACCCAAAUAGGCUCUCCACUUGGAAACCGGUAUUGUCCACAAUCAGAGCAAAGUUAAGCAAAUGGAAAUGGAAGUUUUUGAGCAUGGCCGGUGUCGCUCCCCAAAAAAAAUCAGUGCGCGGCAUCGGCUGGCGAUUUAAAUCUCGUUUGUUGUGUUUGCUUUGAAUUGGUUCGUUGGAGUCGCCACCUAGUAAUUGAAUGCGGGCUACUAGGAAACCGGAUGUACUGGUCUUGUCAGAGAUUCGCGGGUAAGGGACUGGUUGUGGCUAGGGAAGGUAUUAGCACCCCUAACGCACCCUACCUGAGGUAAGCUGCUUCGUGAAUUCGAUGUGUUAAAGAAGUUUUAAUAAUUGUCUUUUCAUCGGAAAUUAGAAAUAUCACUUACGUAUAAGUUAAUAAUUCUUAACCGAGAUUCGAUCAAAAUAUUAAAUUCUUCUUUAAUAUAUUUUCAAUUUUAUCAUAAAAAAAAUAUAUAUAUACAAAUGAAUAAAACAAAAUACAAACAAACACAUACACUUUCACCAUUUUUGUUUCUUUUCUUUUUUCUUUUUUUCUUUUUUCUUUUCUUUUCUUUUCUUUUCUUUUACAUCCAUAUUUACAAAAUACAAAAUCAUAAAAAACUCAAAACUAAAUAAAUAUUACAUUAAACAAUUUAGAAAUUACAAAAUGAACCAAAACAUUCCGGAACAGUGCUGGAAACCUCUAAAUCGCCGGAACAGUGGCGUGAAGCCGCUGGGACAAUAGGCGGCGCGUCUUCCCACGUGCCACCGCCAUUGGCGGCGCGUGAACCCACGCGCCGCCACAAAAUACCUGAAAACAAGCGGGUCUUGCUCAGCUUCUUCUCUUCCAACCGGUGACGACCUGUAAUCAAGAAUAGAACACACACAACAGUUGAUUUUACUCCAUUUUUGUCCGAAUCUAUUCUGAUUAUUUUGUUUUUUAGAUCUGUUAUUUUCUGUAUUCUUUGUUCUUCGUGCGUUUGUUCUUUCCUUCUUCAACCGGUGGCUGGUCUGGCGGUGGUGAAGAGGGUGACGGCAGCCAGGCGGACCGAUCUGGGAUCUGUGGAUGGUUCUGGAGGGAGUCUGUUGGCUGCGUGCUGCUGACUCUCCGGCGAGAUAGCUGGUUCGGGUGGUGCUGCAGUCUCUCUGUAGCAGUAGAAGGCUGACCGGCGAGAGGAGAGUGAGGGUGUCUUGUCUGGCGACAGUGACUACUGCUAGUGGAAGAAGGCUGGACGAUUUGGGUCCGUCAGCGCUACUGUGUUGGGGCUGGUCUAGGUCGAUUAUGAUGGAGACAGGUGGCGGUGUUGAGGUGCAGCGGCGGCUGUGAGGGAAGGAGACCGGCGAUGGGGUUGUUUGGGUCGUGAGCGGGUGAAGGGAGAAGAAACCAAAAAUCAAAACAAAAGGGGGGUCGGCUGCAGAGAAAAUGAAAAUUGCACAGGGGAGAGGGUCAUGGCUGCUUGUGUCCGGCCAAAAGAGAAUAAAGCUGGCGUUGAGGGAAAACGGUGAUGGAGGGGGUUAUGUGCAGAGUUUUUUUUUUCUUUGGGCAGAGGGCAAGGGAGAGAAGAGAAAAAAAUGUUGGAGAGGAAAGGGGCGUCGGUGGAGAGCUGAAAAUCAGAGGGUGGGGGCUGCUCCGAUUGAGUGAGAAGAGAAAAAAAAAAUUCAAAAGGUGAGGGGGGCUGGCUUGGUUCAGCGGCUGCCAGGGGGAAAAUCUUUUAGGUUUAGGGUUUUUGUUCUUGUGUUUUCUCUCCCACAAUCUCAAAAUUGCCCCCCUCCCUUUGUGUGAGUUAAAGACCAGUAUUUAUAGGUAAAAAAUGUUGCCAAGUUUUUCAACUUGGUCCCUCAACUUCUUUCUUUUUGUAAAUUUUGAUUUUUCUUAGUUUUUUGUAUUUUUUUUUUUAAAACGAGCAAUAUCACCGUCGACUCAACGAGGAAAAUCAAUGUUUUUAAAAAUAACGCGUGAAAAGUCGAACGCGUUUGAAAAUCUUUUUAAAAAAAUUUAAAUUCUGUUUUUUUUUAGACGACGUUGAAAAUGCUAAAAGGACGAAAAUAUAAAAAAACAUAUUUUUUGGAUUUUCAUUGUUUUUCUCUAUUUUUGGAUUUUUUGAAAAUAUAUCAAAAACAUUGGUCAAAAAUUGAGUAGCUACAACCGGAAGGAUAUGUCUUAUUAAAUCUGUCUUAAACUCUCUACCUCUAUACUAUAUGUCGGUCUUUAUUAUGCCAAAGGGCAUUGCAAAAGCAAUAUCCUCAAUCAACCGUUGUUUUCUCUAGAAGGGCUCCUCAAAUUCACAUGGUUUUUGUAAGGUUGCUUGGCAUAAGGUAAUUAAGAGUAAGCCACUUGGAGGUCUCGGGCUUGGUUCUAUUCACAGUAAAAAUCUGGCUCUGAUGUUUAAAUGGCUUUGGAACCUUGACAAAGGAGUGGCAGGAGGUUGGCAAGAACUCAUCUUACGAAAGUAUCAACCACAUUUUACAAAUGGCCUUCCUGUGUUUGCAGGUUCCUUAUCUCCAACUUGGCGUGGCAUGGUAUCUGCAAUUUCCUUAAAUCACAGCAUAGCCGCUCCCAUCCAAUCCAAUGUUGGGUUUAAGGUGGGUGAUGGGAGAAACAUCAGGUUUUGGUCUGAUUCUUGGCUAGGCUAUGCAACCCCUCUCCAGUUCAUGUUCCCUAGGCUCUACAACCUCUCCCUACAGCAAUCUUUAAGCGUUGCAGAAGUUCAUAACCCAAUAGAUAACUCAAUCAAUCUUUCUUGGAGAAGACCACUUCGAUCCCGAGAACUCUACAUGUGUGAAAGCUUGAUAGCAGAAGUGGAACGUGGCCUAGUCUUCUCUGAUGGUGAAGACAACAAGAUUUGGAAACACCAUAGCUCCAACAAUUACACAGUCUCCUCUGGGUGCCAUCUCUUUGACGGUUUAAAUGUUUCAGGACAUCUUCACUCCCUGCUUUGCUUUGGAAAGGGUUUGCGCCUCCACAAAUAGAUGUGUUCAUAUGGCAUCUUUUCAAUGGCAGUGUCUGCACAAAGGGUUUCUUAGCUGAGAGGAGAAUCAUCAAUUACAAAGGAAGCUCUUUGUCCUUUCUGCUACAAGGAGAUUGAGACUACACAUCAUCUUUUCCAUCUUUGUCCAAAAUCAUGGUCUCUUUGGGGCAGACUAUUUAGUUGGUUUGGGUGUGUAGGUUGUCUGCCAAAAGAACCAUAUCAUAACGUUCAGGAAUGGUCCAACAUGGUAAAAGGAAAAUUCCAGCGUCAGGCAAUUACCCUUCUCUGUAAAGGAUUAUACUGGUCAAUUUGGAUAGCGCGCAACCACAUGAUCUUUGACAACAAAACUCCAGACUGGGAUGUGAUUUUUGACCUCACCUUUCAUCGGUUGACCUUUUGGUUGAAGUCCUUUAUUAAAAAUUUCAGCUAUACGGGCUCUGAUCUUUAUAGGAAUCCUGAAUGUAUUAUGAACUGGACUAACUAGUCAGGUAUUUAGAUUCCUUGUUUUCUUAAUGUAUUUUUAAUUUCCCAUGUAAUCUUCCUUAUCAGCCCUCAUCUCCUUAAUGGGGGCGUAUUAUUUAUAAUAUUCUCGAUUACUAUCAAAAAAAAAAAAGCCACAGUUCAUGAUGACCUUCAUCGUUAGAACUGCAAUUUAGGAAGAAGAAGUCGUUCAUGGCACAACUUCGUUCCAAAAUCCCAAACGGGUAAGGAACACUAACAUUCCCACACGUUUCUAGGCAGCCAGGUUUCACAUCUGACCUAGUUGUAGCUGCCACCGCAACAACAACAGCAACAUCAUCAGCCAAGACACCCACAUGAUCUGCAGGAUCAUUUUUUAUGCACUCCUCAGCUUGUGUGGCUUAGAAAACUAUCUCCCUCUAAUUUGUGUGGCCUUUUUUCCUGCUAGAGAGUUUAUACUGCUAUGGGAAACUAUCCAAUUCAUGAGCAUGACGAAUGCCAAUUCUAAAAACAGAAUAAAACAUAACAAAUGGAGAGCGUGCUCGGUACACCGAUGAAGACCUAACUACCCAUUGCAACAAUUGUUCAACGUAUCCUCCCUUCUUUUUUUUUGCCCCCCUUUCUUCUUUGUCUUAAAAAAGAAAAAUGACUUGUAUAUAUAAUGAAGUCCAUCUGACAAUAUUGAAAAUUCGCCUCCAUCCAAUCUGUGUUCUGUCUCGUCUGAUCAGUAGAUAAUUUGUUCUGACCCAAUCUUGAAAACAACGUAGUCAGCUCCUUCGAAAAUCAAUGAAAAAUAAAAAAACAUUUUGCAUCUAAUUAUAUAUUAAUAUUUGAGUUUGUUGUGUAAGUCAGCUGCCAAGUCGACUACAUCAGCCGCAUUAACCACUUGCGAAGUUGCUUGCCCUUUGGCUAGAGGCACGCAUUGGUUUUUUAGCCUUGUUCAAAUAAUCAUUUAAACUUAAUAAGCCUAACAUUACAAAGCACCGUUAUUCACAUUACAAGUAAUCAUUUAAGGUCGAGAUCUCUUAUUAAGAAAAAAGAUGUUAUCAAAACACCACAAUUUACAUCAUAAGGGAAUUUAGAUUUAUUGACCAUGGAUAUUAUUAUAUAAUUUUAUUGAUCUAGUUUGCAUUUGAAAUCAAUUUUAUGGUGUGUUUAAAUAUGUUUUGGUGUUUCGAAGAUAUUAUAUAUAAUUUUUUUUAUAAUGAAAGUGAUUGAAUUCACUAAGAUUAUGAGCGGUUAUUAUGAAAUAAAUCCUUAAAAAUAUCUAUAAAGUAUAUAUGUGAUGAGUUUAUGAUUUGUACCUGUCGGAUAAGUUCAUGUUAGAAUUAUUUGAGUUUAAUGUAUUUGCUUUGUGUUAUGAGUUACGCAAAUGAUGAGAUGAGUUAUGUUCUAGGAUGAAAAUUAAUAAUCAAUGUGUGCUUGAAAUUAAUAUUGUUCUUGAGUGUAUUUAUUUUGAUUACUAACUAAGUCAUCAAAAGUUGGUCUUCUUCAUAAUUAUUUUUAUUUUAGGCAUAUAGAUUUAAAAAACAUGCAUGACAUGGCAAAAAUACAAUAAUAGCAAAUUAAACAUGAUUAUUUUUUAUGCACUGCCCAACUUGUAUGACAUAAUAAUACUACUUCCCUCUCUAAUCUGUGUGGCCUUAUUACGUGGUAGAUAAUUUAUACUCCUACGGAAACCACUCAAUCCAUGAGCAUGAGGAAUGCAAAUUCAUAAAACAAGAAAAAUAUAAAAUAUAUGGAGAGCAGACUCGGUCGAUCGAUGAAGCCUUAACAGCCCACUGCAACAAUUUUUCAACAUCUUCUCUGUUUUUUCUUCUUCUUCUUCUUUUUCCACAACUGUAACUUAUCAUAAGAAAAAAAGACUUGCAUUUGGAUAUAUAUAUAUAUAUGUUACAAAAAUUAAAGACAAUUAACUUGCACCCAUCAACAUCAAUAUCAAUAUUGAUCAAAUAUAGUAAACUCACGACCAUCGAGAAAGAAUGAAAAGUAAAAUACUUGCACCUAGCUAGGCUUCUGAUAUUUUAUAAUAUGUGAGUUUGAAGUAUAUGUCAGUUGCCAAGUUGACUAGAUAUACAAACAUUAACAACUUGUAAAGUCCAUGAAAAUAUAAUUGCAUUUUUAUAUAUAUAUUCCCUCGGGCUAUAGCACGCAUUAUAAGUUGUAUACUUCGCUGAGUUGAUCAUUUAAAAUUUAAUAAACCUUAUAUUAACUCUUCCACUUGAGAAUGAACGUCCACAGUAAUUUAUAUUAUAAAGAAUAAUUUCGACCUCGAGAUAUCAUAAAAAUAAUAAGGAAUACAUUAUUAAAGUACCAUAAUUUACAUUAUAAAGAAAAAAAAAUAAAACUCGAAGUCUUAUUUUAACACCAAUUACUGGUUGGGCUAGAAUAGGUAAGAACUAUAAUCACACAAGUUGGCUUAUGAAGAUGAUUUUGUUUUUGAGCUCAAUAACAAUACCACGCAACAAAUUAAAAAUCUAAACUGAUUCAAAAUCCGAUUGCUAGUACGUAGUGGGGAAGAAGGAAAAAAGUUCCAAAAGGAGGAUAAGAAGGUUUGGAAACACACUAGAUGAUCAUAUUUAUGAUGAAAAUAGAUCUUAAGUAUGGAAUUUUAUUAUAACAUUUUAAAAACCCUAUUUCCUAUUAGAAUUCCAAGACAAAAUAGAUCUUAAGUAUGGAAUUUUAUUAUAACAUCUUAAGGUUUGGAAACACACUAGGAUAAGAAGGUUAUCAAACAGGCAACAGUCCGCUUAGUGUUCUCCAUUGCAGUUUCGAGUGGUUGGAAAAUUCAUCAGCUUGACAUUCAUAAUGCAUUUCUAAAUGGAGUCCUUGAUGAAGAGGUUUACAUGAAACAACCUCCAGGUUUUGUUGAUUCUGCACUCCCAGGUCAUGUAUAUCGAUUGCAUAAAUCUCUAUAUGGGUUAAAACAAGCUCCGCGGGCUUGGUACACUCGUCUGAAUGAUUUUCUAUUAUCCAUUGGUUUCCGUGCUUCUAAAGUGGAUACCUCAUUGUUUAUCUUCUCGGUUGGUAGUGAUAUUUGUUAUCUUUUGGUUUAUGUUGAUGAUAUUCUGCUUACGGGUAAUAAUGGAACUCUGCUACAACGACUCAUUCAGCUACUGAGCUCAGAAUUUAAACUUCGGGAUUUGGGUGAUGUUCAUUAUUUCUUGGGUAUUGAAGUGCAGUGUACUGGUCUGGGACUUAUGCUUUGUCAACAUAAAUAUACACUUGAUAUCCUCACACGAGCUGGUAUGUUAUCCUGUAAACCAGUUGAUACUCCUAUUUCGGCAUCCAAAGCCACCAUUAUGCCGGAUCCAUUGUUUUCUGAUGCUACUCGUUUUCGGCAACUUGUUGGUGCUCUCCAAUAUCUCACUUUCACACGCCCGGAUAUUUGCUUUGCUGUUAACCGGGUCUGUCAAUUUAUGCAUGCUCCUACAGAAUCCCAUUGGGCUGCCGUGAAACGCAUCUUGCGUUAUCUCCGUGGUACGGCAUCACAUGGUUUACAUAUUACUCGCAGCUCUUCCUUUGCUUUACACGGUUUUACAGAUGCAGAUUGGGCAGGUAGUAUUGAGGAUAGAAAGUCUACAGGUGGUUAUCUUGUGUUCUUUGGUCAGACGCCAAUUUCAUGGAAAUCGAGUAAGCAACGCACUGUUGCUCGUUCUUCGACGGAAGCUGAGUACAAAGCCUUAGCCGAUGGCACGGCUGAAGUUAUCUGGCUUCAGUACUUGUUAACGGAUCUUCAGAUUCCGACUCCUUCUGCCCCUAUUAUCUGGUGUGACAACCUUGGUGCCACGUAUUUGUCCGCAAACCCUAUAUUUCAUGCUCGCACAAAACAUAUUGAGAUUGAUUAUCAUUUUGUCCGAGAUAGAGUUGCGAAGAAGGAGAUUCAGAUUCGUUUUAUUUCCUCUCAGGAUCAACUUGCCGAUGUCUUCACUAAGCCACUUCCUGCUGCUUCAUUUACUGCUUUUAGAUUCAAGCUUCGGGUUGAUCCUCCACCCUCAGCUUGAGGGGGCGUAUUAUAGAAUGUAAUUAUAUAGGAAAUAUUGUAGUCAUAUUCUUAUGUGGUAAUCUCCACCUUUACUAUUGUAUAUUGCCCUAAUCAUAUAUAUAGAAAGGGUUGGCUAACCUAUUAGGUUAAGCCUCCUAAUUAUUCUCAACUUGGUAUCAGAGCCUCCUAAUAUUUUCUCUCUUUGCAGCCGGCCCUAAUUUUCUCCCCCAUGGACUCUCCUCCUACUGCCGUUGCUCCAAUCUCUCCCUCCACCGGUGAUGCAUCAUCACCGGCCAGCCCUUUUCCUGCUGCUGGCUCUGCCGUUUCUCUGCCUCUUAUGGGAACACAAUCUUCAAUGGUUCCUCUAUCAAACACCCACCAUGUUGUGUCGUUGAAACUUACGAACACAAACUAUCUUUAUUGGAGAAUGCAGAUGAAGUCAUAUCUCCUUGGUCAAGGUGUUUUUCAAUUUGUUGACAGCUCCUUGCCAUGUCCUCCAUCUCAUAUGAUUGAUGCUUCGGCUGAUUCUUCUUCUGCCAUCAGCCCCUCUUUUCUUCGUUGGAAGCAACAAGAUCAACUUAUUUUGAGUGCUCUACUCUCCUCUCUUUCCGUGGAUGUGCUACAUCUUGUAGUCGAUUGUUCUACUUCACAUUGUGUUUGGCGCACGCUUGAGAAGGCACUUGCCUCUCCAUCUAAUUCGGAUCAUGCAACUACAUGGCUCCUUUCAAGACCUUCGGCAAGGUGAUGCAUCGGUUAGUAUGUAUAUGCAGCAAGCCAAAUCGUUAUUUGACGAAUUGGCUGCUGCUGGUCGCCCAAUGUCCCUUGAAGAUUUCAAUCUCUAUGUGUUUCGUGGACUUCGCGGUGAGUUCAAAGACUUGGUAACUAGUCUCAUAACCAAGGCUGAACCGCUAUCGUAUGCUGAUCUUCAUAGCCAUCUCCUUACCCAUGAGUUUCUGCACAAGAACUCUUUUCACUCCAUGGCUGUCGGUUCAUCCUCUUCAUCACUGUUGUCUUCUUCUUCUCUACCGCAGCAGCCACCAUUGCUGCCAACACCUCCGAAUUCUGCUUAUUAUGCCAUGACUAAUCACAGCCGAAACAGGGGACGUUCUAGAGGUAAUUGGCGCUCAAACACCAACCGAUUUCAGGCCCCAAACAGAGGUCACUCCGCUGUAGAUUGGAGGCAAAAUCAGUGGCAGAACAGGCGCACCUCUGCUGCAGAUUUUCGGCCAAAUCAGGGGCAGUGGUCUGGACAUGUCCGCUGCCAAUUAUGUUCCACUCCUGGCCAUUCAGCUCUUCAAUGCUAUCAGUUUCGCAGCAGCACACAGCAGCCCUCUGCUCACCUUGCUGUUGCGAAUGAUUCUACUGCAACGACUUGGUUUCCCGACACCGGCGCGAAUCAACAUGUGACGCCUGAUCUUGCAACUCUAACUGAUUCUGCUCCUUAUCUUGGUAAUGAUUUCUUGCAUGUUGGUGAUGGUAAGGCCCUUGACAUAUCCCAUGUUGGACAUACUACUUUAUAUUCCCCCAAACGCUUGUUUACAUUAACUAAUGUUCUUCGUGUGCCUCACAUUACCAAACCGUUGUUAUCUGUUCAGAAAUUCUGUCGUGAUAAUCAUGUUUAUUUUGAAUUUCACGAUUCUGUGUUUUAUGUGAAGGAUCUCGUCACCAAGGAAGUUCUUCUUUCCGGUCGGAGUCAUGAUGGUCUUUAUGUUCUCUCCGAGUCCUCGGCUACGUCAGUUCCUCAAGCUUUUUGGUCUCCUUGCAUUUCCGCGACUGCCGACUUGUGGCAUCGUCGUUUAGGUCAUCCAACUCCUCGCAUUCUAAAUUUGUUAGUUUCUGAUAAUAAAAUUAUUUGUACGUCUAAACGAUCUUUUACUCAAUGUCAAGCAUGUCCAUUAGGCAAGUCAUCCCGUUUGUCAUUACGACCGACGGGUCACAAAACUUCUACCCCACUUGAAUUAAUUUUUAGUGAUGUUUGGGGCCCUGCUCCAAUGUUUUCUUCUGAUGGUUUUCGUUAUUUUGUUAUCUUUGUUGAUGCGCACACUAAAUAUAUCUGGUAUUAUCCGCUUGUUGCGAAAUCUGAUGUAUUUUCCACGUUUCAACGUUUUCAGACACUUGUUGAGCGUCAGUUUUCUCUUAAAAUUAAAUCUGUUCAAACUGAUUGGGGUGGUGAAUAUCGUAAAUUAAAUACAUUUUUUCAAACAAUUGGUAUUCAUCAUCGAUUAAUUUGUCCUCAUACUCAUGAACAAAAUGGCACAGUUGAACGUCGUCAUAGACAUAUUGUCGAAACUGGCCUAACCCUCUUAGGCCAGUGUAAUGCCCCAUUGCGUUUUUGGAACUAUGCUAUGGAAUCAUCGGUCUAUCUUAUUAAUCGCAUGCCUACUCCUGUUCUUCAAAAUAAAUCUCCUUUUGCGUGUCUGUUUCAUCGCACUCCUGAUUAUAAUUUCUACGCACUUUUGGGUGUCUUUGUUUUCCAUUUUUACGUCCAUAUCAUGCUCAUAAAUUAGAUUUUCGGUCUUCUCCUUGUGUGUUUUUAGGCUAUAGCUCGUCUCAUCUUGGUUAUCGGUGUCUUGAUUUAGAGUCUGGUCGUGUCUAUGUCUCCCGUCAUGUUCGUUUUCAUGAAUGUGUCUUUCCUUUUAAAAAGUCUGAACAGGUAACAACACCCCCGGUUCCCCCACUCCACCUACCUAUCUUCCAUCACUGCAACCCCCUUCCUGUUUUCAGCCUCUUCCUUCCCAACUCGGCAAAACACACAACCCACCUUUGCCCCUUGCCGCAACCCCCAGCUUGCUCCCCUGCCCGUUGAUUUAGCCGACCCUGCCUCACCACCCCACACAGCCAUACUAUCACCACGUGCUUGUCUUUCCAAUGAUUAUUGUGCAGGAACAGGUUCUGACUUGCAGGAUUCAGUAGCGGCACAACCCGCACCUCCCCGGCUUCACCUCCUGGUCUGCAACUUUGUGUUGAUCUCUCCUCUUAUCCUCUUCAGCACAUUCCAGGUACAGGUGUUGCUACUCAUGCUCCAUCUCCCAGCUGCUCCUAAACACCCAUGGUUCUUCGUCUGAGACAGCCCAAGACAGCGCUGAUCACCACCACGGUAGCCACCUCUACUGCUUCCUUCAGUCGGGUAACUUCUCCUCCCUCGCAUGAGCCACUUAUUUUUCCUGAUGCUAACAGAUAUGAGGCGUGGCAUAAUGCUAUGCGAGAGGAAAUCCAGGCCUUACGCGCAAACAGAACAUGGACUUUAGUGCCAUUUCAUCCGUCCAUGAAUGUUGUUGGUAGUCGUUGGGUCUACAAAAUUAAAUGCAAAUCUGAUGGUAGCAUUGAGAGGUAUAAGGUGCGCCUGGUUGCUAGGGGCUUCACUCAGCAAGAAGGUAUUGAUUACUCAGAAACUUUUAGUCCUGUUAUCAAACAGGCAACAGUCCGCUUAGUGUUCUCCAUUGCAGUUUCGAGUGGUUGGAAAAUUCAUCAGCUUGACAUUCAUAAUGCAUUUCUAAAUGGAGUCCUUGAUGAAGAGGUUUACAUGAAACAACCUCCAGGUUUUGUUGAUUCUGCACUCCCAGGUCAUGUAUGUCGAUUGCAUAAAUCUCUAUAUGGGUUAAAAUAAGCUCCGCGGGCUUGGUACACUCGUCUGAAUGAUUUUCUAUUAUCCAUUGGUUUCCGUGCUUCUAAAGUGGAUACCUCAUUGUUUAUCUUCUCGGUUGGUAGUGAUAUUUGUUAUCUUUUGGUUUAUGUUGAUGAUAUUCUGCUUACGGGUAAUAAUGGAACUCUGCUACAACGACUCAUUCAGCUACUGAGCUCAGAAUUUAAACUUCGGGAUUUGGGUGAUGUUCAUUAUUUCUUGGGUAUUGAAGUGCAGUGUACUGGUCUGGGACUUAUGCUUUGUCAACAUAAAUAUACACUUGAUAUCCUCACACGAGCUGGUAUGUUAUCCUGUAAACCAGUUGAUACUCCUAUUUCGGCAUCCAAAGCCACCAUUAUGCCGGAUCCAUUGUUUUCUGAUGCUACUCGUUUUCGGCAACUUGUUGGUGCUCUCCAAUAUCUCACUUUCACACGCCCGGAUAUUUGCUUUGCUGUUAACCGGGUCUGUCAAUUUAUGCAUGCUCCUACAGAAUCCCAUUGGGCUGCCGUGAAACGCAUCUUGCGUUAUCUCCGUGGUACGGCAUCACAUGGUUUACAUAUUACUCGCAGCUCGUCCUUUGCUUUACACGGUUUUACAGAUGCAGAUUGGGCAGGUAGUAUUGAGGAUAGAAAGUCUACAGGUGGUUAUCUUGUGUUCUUUGGUCAGACGCCAAUUUCAUGGAAAUCGAGUAAGCAACGCACUGUUGCUCGUUCUUCGACAGAAGCUGAGUACAAAGCCUUAGCCGAUGGCACAGCUGAAGUUAUCUGGCUUCAGUACUUGUUAACGGAUCUUCAGAUUCCGACUCCUUCUGCCCCUAUUAUCUGGUGUGACAACCUUGGUGCCACGUAUUUGUCCGCAAACCCUAUAUUUCAUGCUCGCACAAAACAUAUUGAGAUUGAUUAUCAUUUUGUCCGAGAUAGAGUUGCGAAGAAGGAGAUUCAGAUUCGUUUUAUUUCCUCUCAGGAUCAACUUGUCGAUGUCUUCACUAAGCCACUUCCUGCUGCUUCAUUUACUGCUUUUAGAUUCAAGCUUCGGGUUGAUCCUCCACCCUCAGCUUGAGGGGGCGUAUUCUCGAAUGUAAUUAUAUAGGAAAUAUUGUAGUCAUAUUCUUAUGUGGUAAUCUCCACCUUUACUAUUGUAUAUUGCCCUAAUCAUAUAUAUAGAAAGGGUUGGCUAACCUAUUAGGUUAAGCCUCCUAAUUAUUCUCAACUAACACCAAUUACUGGUUGGGCUAGAAUAGGUAAGAACUAUAAUCACACAAGUUGGCUUAUGAAGAUGAUUUUGUUUUUGAACUCAAUAACAAUACCACGCAACAAAUUAAAAAUCUAAACUGAUUCAAAAUCCGAUUGCUAGUACGUAGUGGGGAAGAAGGAAAAAAGUUCCAAAAGGAGGAUAAGAAGGUUUGGAAACACACUAGAUGAUCAUAUUUAUGAUGAAAAUAGAUCUUAAGUAUGGAAUUUUAUUAUAACAUUUUAAAAACCCUAUUUCCUAUUAGAAUUCCAAGACAAUGCCAUCCGAGUUUCGAGAACAUACCAGAUUUGAUCUAAAAGUUACUACCAAGAAUUUUUCAUUAUUUUUCUAAUUUUUUAGGAUUUUUCUCUCAUUAAGUUAUAGAAUCUUAUAUGGUUUAGAUUUCUAUAUCCAAAUCAGUUUUAGUUAUUUUUUUACAAGAGGGGAUUGAUUAUUUUAAAUCUUUAUAUUUGUUUGGGAUAAUUAAAGUUUGUACUUGUAGUAUAUAUCAAAAGACUUGAGAACAAUUGAAGCAGGUAGUUAGGCAGGCUGCUUUUAAAAUAUCUACCUUCAACAAAAGAGUAUAAUAAUGAUUAAUUGUUAAAGUGUUUUUUUUUUAAUGUAUUAAAAUAUAUAUAUUUUUUAUUUUUUAAAAAUUAUUUUAACAUUAACACAUUGAAAUAAUUCAAAAACAUAAAAAAAAAUAUUUUAAAUAUUUUAAAAAAAUCAUGAAAAACAAGUUGCACCGUAACCCUAAACAGCCUCUUCGAUGAAGACUUUACAAUUUCAAAAUUGUUAUACACUUGAUAUGUAUUUAUGCAUUUACAUUUCAUAUUAUUGUCACAACUUUUUAGUAGCAAUAAGACUCUCAUAUCUUUGAACAAGUAUUUAUCUAUUAAAGUUCAUUUUUUCUAUAUUAGAUCUUAAACAAAACAUUCACACAUGCUACUUUUAUUUAUAAAAUCAGAACUUUUCUAGCAUCAUCUUAAAAAGAGAUCAAUGUAAAUUUUGGGGGCGUAAGCCCUCUCUCAAUAAAUUUCUUUUAUUGCCCAAAAAUAAAUUGAGAAGAAGAAAGAUGGUCAAUUGAUGUCAUUACUGAAUCCCAAGUUUUCAGUCUAUUUUCUUUUUCUCAAGGAAAGUUAUUAGUGUACACGUACGAAAGAUACAAAAAUAGAAAAGAAAUUGAUUAUUUUAAGUCAAAAUUAAAGGCAAUCAGAUUAUUCCUUUUAUUCUAUUCUAAAAAGAAAAUUCUAUUCUAGAAAGAAAAAGAAAUUCUUAUUUCUACAUGAUGAAGUAACUGUUUUAAAACUCUAACCGGUUUGAUUGUUAACCUAUGAUUCUGGUGACUCAAAGCUGAGACCAAGAAGGAUUUUGAUAAGAAUAGAGAGAUAAUUGAUCGAAUUAAAAAUUUAAAUUUUUAAAACUAUGUUUGUAGCUGCUCAUGCAAUGGCUAGAAAAUGAUUGGAAUCUUGUUUCGGUAAGAAUUCGUAUGCUAGGGAAAUUUGAGGUAGCUGUGGAGCUUUCUCUAUCUGUGAAUGGAGGUAAACAUCAUUGAAUUUGGUUUUAUUAGGAAAUCGAAGGUACUCGUCAAUUUCUUUUUGAGAGAGUAGUGUUGGGGGAUCCGACCGGUGAUGUACUGAUAGUUGCCCAUUGGAGUCUAAGCACACUGACACAAUAUUUAACGUGGUUCAGCAAACUACCUACAUCUACGGGAGAGGUAUAUAUUAUUAUAGAUGGAUAGAGAAAGGGUUACAACACACAUGGAGGAGGAGGAUCACUUCACUCUAACUCUACUCGCAUUGCUCACACACACUGCUGGACAUUGCAGCAGGGCUUCCGCCCUUGGCAGCCACUCAUCUUUCUCUCUUCCUCUCUUUUCUUCACACUCUCAUUCUCUCUCAACUUUGCUAUCUAAAUUUUGCCUCUAUUUAUAGGCAUCAAUGAUGCUGCUCCAGCUCAUCUUUAUUAAUGGUGGUCACCUAACAUUUGCCUACUUUGUGACUUUUGGUUGUUGCACCAACAAUCCUUUUUGAAAAUGGAAGCCAUCUUCUUUGUUGUAACCCAUUUCCGGGUCCCCACAAAAAUAAAUAAAAUAAAUAGCCAAAGGAGGUUAGAAAAAUAACAGGAGGCAGAAGCGCUCAGAAAAUGGUCAGAAAAAUCGGUCAAGGAGGUUAAAAAUACAAAGAUGGAUUUUUGACAAUAUAUUCUUGAAUGAUAAGAGCCCUGGUGGAUAAGAAACUUUGAUUUUUGAGGAGAAAAGUCCAAAUUUAGAGGUUUAUGGACUUAAUUGGAUUUUUAAUUGAAUUUAUAGAGGAUUUGAUUGCAAGAAAAUUUGAUUUUUAAGUCAAUUUGGGCUUUAAUUAGAAGAAAUUUAAGUUCUGGGCCAAAAUAUAUCUUUAGGAAUUUAUUAAGUCAAAUCAGGGGCUUAAUUGCAUAAAUAUUGAAGUUUAAUGGCCAAUCAGGGACUUAAUUGUGAAAAUCCGAAACUAGGGACCAAUUUGGAAAAGGCGCGAAGAUAGGGGGCUGUAUUGAAUUGAUUCAGGGGCCUAAUUGAAGAAAUUGGAAGUUUUUUGAUCAAUUGAGGGCUAAAUUGCAUAAAUCAGAGGCCAAGGACUGAAGUGAAAAACACGGCCAACUAUAGGGGCGGGGACAGAAAUUGGCAGGGACGCAAUUGAAAUGAACAAAAAGUAAUUGGGGGCUAAUUUGAACAUUGGCGCGUUUCUGGCGCUACAUUUAAAUGAAACGGCGCCUUUUCUCCAAAACGACGCCGUUUCAUACACAUAAAAAAAAAAGAGAGAGAGAAAGACCGAACGGUGCCGUUUUGAACGACAUUGUUCCCCUUUCUUCUUCCCCCCGAACAUGCAGCGGGGAAGAAGGAAAAAGAAUGCAUUGUUUAAUUUCGUCGGUCCCUCUAGCCCACCGACCAACCGAGGCCCCACGUUGUUGAACCACCAACCGAAGACACUGGCCGACCACCCGCCGCGCUACCGAAACCGAGGGAGGCACGCCUGGACAGCCGCGCCCCGACCAGCCGCUGCGUGACCCGCUCCCCAUGCUCCACAAUGAAAAGCCACGCUCACUGGCUCUAUAAAUAGGACCCAACACAGCAGCAAAAAGAAAGGAGGAGAAAAAAAACAGAGAACCAGAAAAAAAAAAACAAAAAAAAACCGAAGAGGGAAGAGAGGAGAGAACCCGAAGAGAGAGAGAGAGAGAAGAAACCGGAGAAGGAACGGACAGAGAAGAGAGGGAGGAGGAAACAAAACAAAAAAACAAGCAAUGAGACAGUGAGGGGACGACCGAGAGGGGAGACCCAUUGUACACAGAGAUGAUUGAACAGCUGACAAAAGGAAACACCCGAGAUCAAGAGGAGAAGAACCAGACAUAAGCAAAAAGGAGGAAGACAGAGGUACAUGUGUCUGCAUAAAGGAGAAGAAAUAAUGUAGAAAACAGUUGCGCUUCCCAGCCACUGCCACCGUCAGCACCACCGGGAGACGUCGACUGCCUCUCCACCGCCACCAGCAUCACUGGGAGUGUUCGCCAUCGUCUUCAACAUCGUUUCUGCCACCAGGUUUGCACCCCCUUCGUCGCUGUGCAUGCACCAUUUCCUUGCAUUUCACUGUUCAAGUGAAAUAUAAUUCACUUGAACAGUGAAAUGCUAAUUCACUGUUCACAUUAAAUAUAAUUCACGUGAACAGUGAAAUGCUAUUUAACUGUUUACAUCAAAUAUAUUUCACUGUUCACACGAGGCCUGCUGGGUUCAGCCCAGCCACGUGGGACCUGCUGGGUCCAGCCCUAAAAAAAUAUAAAAAAUAAAAAUUCUUCAAAAAUUGUUUCAAAGAAUUUGUGAUUUUUCUGUAAUUUUAUUACUAUAUUUUGGUCAAUAUCGGUUUGUAUUUUUAUAUUAUAAAGAUACAAAUCCGGUAUUAAAAUACCCGGUUUUCGUCAACAAAAAAAAUGUUUAUUAAAAAAAAAUGUUUUGUUUUCAUGCAAACGGCCAAUACUCUAACAUGUUUUGAAUGUUCUUUUUAUAUAAAAAAAAAAAUUGGAAGUUUUGAAAAUGUGUUUUCGCAUAGAUUUCUUAAACACAAAUUAUUUUCUUGCAUUUCUGGAUUUUACAACAUAUUUGUAAAACUCCAAAGGGUAUUGGCCAAUAUUCCAAAAACUAUAAAAAUCUUAUUUUGGGGGGGGAAUUCAUCUAUUAUUCACCGCUAAUGUUUGGAUAAAGAAAUCCUUAAAGGACGAAUAUCCAAAAUAUUAUUAGGAGUAAUAAAUCUGCACACAUCCUUGAAAGAAGCCUUGAUUAUAAUUGAGGACAUUUCAAAAUUUCAAAUUUUUUACUCCACGGUUUACGAGCCGUGAAAGUAUGAAAUACUAAGGAAAAAGGAGGCUUUUAAAGCGCUUUAAAUUUCCUUAGAUUUCUAAAUUUUUUUGUCCCUCCUCCUUGCGAUUUACGAGUCGUAAACUCUUGAAAUACUAAGGGAAAAAUGAGCUUUCAAAGCACAUGGAAUCUCUUGAAAUAAAUUUCAUUUGAAUCAAACUUAGGAAAAUUGAUGGGAUUAGGAAACACCAACACCAUAGCAAUUAUAGAGCAAGCCAAACACCAAGCAGCUUACCUUAGGUAGGGCAUACUAGGGGUGUUAAUACCUUCCCUUUACACAACCAGUCCCUUACCUUAGAAUCUCUGAAAGACCAGUUAGAGUUCCUAGUGACCAAAAUACUAGGUGGCGACUCCAAAGAACCAAAUCAGCAAAACAAAACAAAAUCACCAAUCGAACCUGCAAUAUGGAUUUUUUUUUAGGGUGCGACAUUCUUCUAGAAGAUGGGCUGCAAAUGCUGCCACAUAAGUGGUAAUAUCCCAACAAUCACCCCCUUUGCCAUUUAUGUGGGGCAAUUGUCCUCUUGCAUUUUCAACACAAGCUUGCAUCCUGCAGCUCUUCCAAGCUUACCAUUCCGAGAGAAUCUGUGGCCAAGUUUACAGGUACUCGCCAAACCUUUCAAUCACCAGAGUUACCCAAGCACACCUUUUCUCACACCAAAGGAUCACUUCAACCAGAUGGUCUCCAACAUCACAUCUGAAUAGUGUUAACGCUUGUCUCUAUGACACUACAUUUCCUUUCGAGCGUAUCAACCAUGCUCGGUCCAGAAACCACGCUUUACUCAUCCCAGAGUUGCAUCUGCCCUCUGUUCCACCAUAGAAACCACGCUUUACUUCUCAGUGAGUCUUCCACUCUUAGUCUCAAGAGUCCAGGUAGCUCUCCACCUUUAACCAUGGGGGCAUCCCAUUAAAGGUUGAUCCAUAUCUGUCUUCAUACUCUGAGUAUUACAAUGCCAUCACCGAGCUCGCCACCUUGACAAGAGUCAACUUGUUCCCCGAACCUGCGCAUGCCCUCUGCUCAUUCCUAGCAGUCACGUCUUAAUACUCCACAAGUCACCCAUUUAUUGUCCAAGGCAAAUAUCUUCUAGCUCAUUGAUCUUUAGCAUGGGGGAAAUAUCCAUGAAAGUCAAUCCUGCAUAUGUCUUCAUAUUCAUCAUAGCCACUUCAUUUAGCUAUACACUUGUCCACUUAUAUCCAGCCAUCACAUUGGCUCUAGGGCAUUCUGAACUGGGGCUCCUAUCAUGGCCCUCACACCUUCUCUAAGGUGUCUUCGCCUGUUGUCAUAAGACGGUCUGAACUGGGGCUCUUAUCAUGGCCCACACACCUUUCAUUUCAGGUGUCUCUGCUCGUCGUCAUGCGGCGGUCAGAAUCUGGGCUCAUAUUAUAGCUCUCACACCUUCCAUCCGAGGUGUCUCCGCUCAUCAUGGAGCAAUCUCAUCCUCCUUCAUCAGGGAUAACUCCAGUGGCUCCAAGAUUCUCUACCACUAUGUGGACUUGGGAGAGAUCACAACUGUCGACUAAAUAAAAAGAGAAAGUUGCGGUAUACUCCUCACAAUCCUCCACCUUGAAUUCUAUAUUUGGAGCUUCUACGCCUUUCUGCUUGACAGCUCCACCUACACCAACUCUCUUUGGUGUCUUCGCCUUUCAUAGGCGGUCGCCAUUUAUCAUAAGCGUUUGCACCCCCUCAAUUAGGUGCCUCCACAACAGCUCAUCUUUCCAUUGUUACAUGCAUUAGAAAGGUCUUCGACUGUUGCCUUUACCAAGAGCACAAGAGACUUCCUGUUGUAUAUCAUUCACACAAUCUCUACACUGAGCUUCAUUUGGGAACUCUUCUUCUCUUUUCACUUGUUGUCUCAUUACAGUACCUCGUUAGAUUCUACGGGUACUCCUGCAUAAUCUCCAUAUGCUCUCGUGCAAUAUCUGUUCUCUAGAUUUCUCCCUAUUCUUUGCUUUUAUGUUUGACAACAGCUUAUCAUGUCACAACGCCUACCAAGUCAAAAUAGGGAGCCAAUCUUUAUCCCCUUGUUGUAUUUCUCUUCCAUUAUCAGGGUCUUCAUCAAUUCUCCCCUCGAGAAAUUACAGUCACCGAAUCUAACUUCUUUAGAGAAAUCACCACUCCAUUAGAUCCUUGAUCAUACGGAACCCAAUUGUUCCUUUGUGCUGUCAUCUUGCUAGUCUUCAAUAGUUUCAUUACAAACUGUUACAUAUACGAAAAUAGUACCAUAUGGAUAAUCCUUCAGCUAAGCAAGUUCCCAGGAAAGAUUGGAGGGAUUACAACGGUCUCGUUUAAAACUUAAUAUCCUAGCCAGAACUUCUUAGGCUAUAUCUAUCUAUCGUACUACCUUUUCAUAUAUACAACCAUUUGCUAGCUUUGUUGCAACUUUCUUUUAUAAGUGAUCUGGAAUAUUUUUUUUUAUACAUGAUUUCUCAACAUCUGGUGAGACUACCAGUGCUUAGAUUCGUCAAGAUUGGUCUUCAUCAAUUUUUCACACUCCACCUCAAAUCGUCUAUAUGAUCGGGUGUUUAGAGUGUCCCAAUUUUACUUUCCUUUAAGGCAAUUAAAAUUUCCCCAUUUAACAGCUUAGCACAUGCAAUUGGAUAAACAUGUGCACCUUCUUCUUCAUCUUCAUCUUCAUCUUCAUCGACCACCAUGAUGAUCUUCAUCUUCUUCAUCUCGAUCGGGCAAUCUCUCUUAAUAAUUCACCACCACCAUUUUUGGUCUCAAUCUGAAUGAUCAGACUAUACCAUUGUAUUUAGAAUGAUCAAAUUAGUUGGAAAUAAGUCUGAAAUCGUGCAAAUCACAUUUCAGACGUCUAGGAUUUGAUCAAAACAAUUCUGGCCUAAUCGACGGGCUAGAUUUAAUCUUAUAUCUAGUUGCAAGUAGACUCCGCUACACAGAAUCCUAUCCCUCGGCUCUGCUCAACCUAGCUUGGCUCACGACUGAUGACAUCGCAGGUGGGUCCCACCUGAUGAUGUGUCUGCUGACUAGUCGCUGACAUUGAAUGCCAACUGUGCAUGAUGAUGUCAUCCUUAUCCGAGUAAGGCACAUGGGUCGGUUCAUCUGGUAUUCGGGUCUAGUCGGCCCAUCCGGGCGAAGAAGACUCGUGCGGCAUGUGGCUUGCGUCUGUGCGCGUGGAUAGCCAGUUGGCUGGCGUGUGGGGGAGCGUGCAGCCAUUCCUGGCGUCUGAUUUUGACGGGGUUUUCACUAGUGUGCUCGUCUCUUCCUCCUCUACAAGGUGGUAUGGUCAAAACCCAAUUUAAAAACUUUCAUUUAUGAGCAAAAAUCAAACACCACUUUAAACCAAAUGCUCUGAUACCAAUUGUUGGGGAAUUCGACUGAUGAUGUACUGAUAGUUGCCCAUUAGAGGCUAAGCACACUGACACAAUAUUUAAUGUGGUUCAGUAAACCGCCUACAUCCACGGGAGAGGUCUAUAUCAUUAGAGAUAGAUAGAGAAAGGGUUACAACAUACAUGAAGGAGGAGGAUCACUUCACUCUAACUCUACUCUCAUUGCUCACACACACUACAUGACAUUGUAGCAGGGUUGCUACCCUUGGCAGUCACUUCUCUUUCUCUCUUCCUCUCUUUUCUUCACACUCUCAUUCUCUAUCAACUUUGCUCUCUAACUUAUGCCUCUAUUUAUAGGCAUCAAUGGUGCUACUACAGCUCAUCUUUAUUUAUGGUGGUUACCUAACAUCUGCCAACUUUGUGACUUUUGAUUGCUGCACCAACAACCCUCUUUGAAAAUGAAAGCCAUCUUCUUCUAGAAGAUGGGUUGUAAAUGUUGCAACAUAAGUGUCAAUAUUCCAACAAGUAGUACGCCAUGUAAACACACAAUUUUUAUUUGAACACAGGUGACAAAAGAAAUGGAAAAUUUGGAUUCUUGAAAAAUGUCAAGCUUCCAAGUUCCACGAGAAUUACUAGAUAACUCAAGAACAUCAUCAGCCAUAAUCUACAAUUUAUUAAUGGAGCUAUCUGACUUAAUUGAAUGUUGGAAACUGAUUGUGGUCUGACUUUAAUUGCUGUUAGUGUAGUUCUCGAUCUGCAAUGACAUCACAGUCUGGGAUGGUUCAUAUGAGGACUUGCAUUCUUGCAGAAAGAGUGUGAUGAUUCGCCUAACAAGUGUUCUGUUUCCUCGCUAUUUUGCUGAGCCAAUGAUUUCUGAUGAAGAGCUUUCAGCUUAGCAAGCUCAUCGGACACUUCCUUCAUGGUUGGCCGGUUUACUCCCAUGCUAUUCAGACAUCCUUUUGCAAGCUUAGCUACAGCUUCUAUCUCAUCCAUUUCGCCUUCAUCAGCUGCCUGGAAAUCCAAAAUUCUGAAAAGAUUAUUAGUUUCCAGUGCUGAGAUAAAGUGUUGAAUGAGGUUCCGUUUCUCUCCAGACUUGGAAAUGGAGUUUGGCAUCUCUCCGGUGAGAAGCUCCACAAGAACUACCCCAAAGCUAUAGACAUCACUUUGAACGGUUAAAAUACCCGUCAUAAGAUACUCAGGAUCCAGGUAGCCUAGAGUACCUUGUAUUUUUGUAGCUAAGAUAUCGGUUUGGCCAGGAGACAUCAGCACCGAAGCUCCAAAAUCUGCUACUUUUGCUGUGUAAUUACUGUCUAGAAGUAUGUUUACUGACUUGACAUCCCCAUGAAUAACUGGAGGGUCUGCCAGAGAGUGCAAAUAAUCAAGCGCAAGCGCAGCCUCCGAUGCCACCCUCAAACGAUUGGUCCAGGAAGCCAAUAUCCGGGAACCUUUGUUGUGGAUGUGCUUGGAAAGAGUUCCAUUUGAGAUGAACUCAUAGACCAGUAAUGGAACUUUGGUCUCUAGACACAGGCCCAAGAGCUUUACCACAUUCCUGUGAUUGACCUGCGAAACAAUGCUCAUUUCCUUUUGAAAUUCCGCAUUCAUCUGAGCUUUGUCCAUCCCUUUGGACUUCUUGACAGCAACCACUGUAUUAUCUGUUAAAACUCCCUUGUAAACAGAACCAAAACCACCCUCCCCGAGUUUCUGAUCAUCAGCAUAAUUGUUGGUUGCCUUGGCCAGCUCUGCCUCGCUGAAAAUCCGUACUCGUUGAUUCUUUAAAAAUUUUCCCCCGUUCUCUUGGAAGUUCUUGUCCUUUAUUCUUUUCGUGCAGAUCAUGUAGAGUAGCAGACAAAUAACCACGAGGAAAAUGCUUGCGCCAACGGCUGCAAGCAAAUGUCAAAGAAGGACGUUAGUUUCAAAAUCAAAUGAAGGGAAAAUAUUUAUUUACUAACUUUCAAAAUCAAAGAAGGACGUUAUAAUUGAUCGCAAGCCUCCUGAUGUUUUAUUUUUUAAUUUAUUUUGAUCCCUCGAACUAUCAAGUCAAGUUAAAAUCAAGCCUUCGUUAGCCUUCCGAUCAAAAGCUACUUCAAAUGUCGUGGUCUCCUCAACACCAAUAGCAGCCAGAAGGAGAAGAAAUGAAGCAAAGCUAAAACAAUUAAUCGAAGAACACGAGAGAGAGAAUGGGGGGGGGGGGAGUUUUUUUUUAUUUUAAAUAAAACCAUUAAUUUAUAAAAAUAAUUAAUUUUAACCCAUUUUUAGUUUUUUUGUUUGCAAAUCAUGUGAUUCCACGUGUCUCAUUUAAGUAAUUUUUAGAGGGAACCUUAUGGUCAUGAAAACCCUGUACACUUUAUAUAUAUAAACCCUGUAUGCUUUAUAUAUAUAAACCCUGUAUGCUUUAUAUAUAUAACCUUCAUAAAUUAAUAACUCUUAUUGAAUAGUAUUUUUGUUUAAUCCCAACUUAAAUUUGAAGUUUAAACAAUAUAUCUUAAUUAAUUAAUUAAUUUUUAUGGUUUGAAAAGGUAUUAAUUUAUAAUGGUUUAAUUGUAGUUUAAAAAAUCAGUAUUAAAAAAUUAAAAAGUUCAGACCUUUUUAAUUACUAAUUGAUGGCCUUGAGUUUUUCAAAAAACAUGAGAGUAUCCAUAUCUCUCUUUUUUUUACAUCAAAUAUCUUCAAAAUAUGUUUAUGACUUUAUGCACGAAAAUUGUUAGUCUAAUUAUGUACAAUAAAAAACAGGCUAUUCACGUUAGAAUCAUGGGAUUCAUGAAUAGUCACUGUACUAAGCCCGUGAUUUGAUGCGGAGCCCAACUAUUUUCUUACAUAAAAAAUAAUAUUUAUGUAUUGUAAUUGCAUUUCAAAAAAAUUAUAUGAUUUUGAAUUAUAGAUCCAACUAAAAUAAAUAAGUUAAUUUUAAUUUAAUUAGAUGAAAAAAAUUAAUAAUAGAUGAAUCAACAUCCCAUUAAAUAUAUAAAAAAAUAAAAUAACAUAAAAAACUGAUCAACCGGAGUUAGCUGAAUUUCAAUGCUUACAAGAAAAUGCAAAGAAAGCUAAUUACCUGCAAUAAUUGUGAUGAUACCAGUUCCUUUACAGCCUGUUUUACCAUCACCGUGCUUGCCACGUGGACAUCGACAAUUGUAAUCUCCAAUCACAUUCUCGCAAGUACCUUCUUUACAAGGGUUUUUUAAAACCUUGCAUUCAUCUAUAUCUGUUGUAAAUGUUAAAAAUAUUAGUGGAAAAAACCUGAAUAUACAAAUUAAAAAAAAAAAAAAAACUGUAAAAAACAAAUAGUGCCGAAUAAAUAGAAGCAAGAACCAGGUUACCUUGGCAUCCUUCUCGGAGAUAAGGAUUUCCUCCGAACCCUUCAUUGCAUGAGCAACGAUAUCCUUGACCAAUCUCAGGGUAGGUGCAAUUUGCAUUAGCGCCACAAGCAUAUGCACUUCGAUUAGCUUUAGCCUGUUCGCACGUCUCAUUUUUAACGACCCAUUCAAUCACAAUAUCUGCUGUAUAUGCAUCUUUUCCAUAUUUUGGCUUGCGAGAGAGCGGCCAAUCUGAAAUCUUGAAGGAGUUCUUGUCCACUAAAAAUGCGAAUCCACAGAGAUUGAAGUCCGAAACGUUCCUGUAGUUGUAAAAACUUGAUAAUGGAUAAUAAAGUGAUUUGAGGCCCUUGGGGAUUGAGGUUUGGCAGCAUCCAGAACCUGAGCAAGGAUUUCCAUCGGACAUGUUCACAUUUUCUGUGCACAAGGAGAGACAGCCAGUUCCGUACGUGAACUCAUAGUUGGUCAUCCAGGCAUAUGUAUCGCAACCAAUUACUGUGAAUGCAUUUCGGGUGUCUGACAACGUGAAGGGGCCUGAUCCAAGGUUGAAAGACUGUGCGUAAUUUUCUGUCCUGCUCCCAUUUUUGUCAUAGCAGGCGAAAGCAGUGUAUAAGCUGGCACUUAUUGUGCCCUCCAGCACUGAUAUAUUGCGAGCAGGCAUGUUUCUUCGAAAAAACAGUUCAGGUUGCCCAUCAGCGCCUGAACUGCAGUUUAGAAGGAAGUCCUCGUUCAGGGCACAUGUUGGUUCUCCAAUCCCAAAGGGGUAAGGAACACUAACAUCCCCACACUUAUCUUGGCAGCCAGGUUUUACAUCUGCACUUGCCGUUGAUUCUGCUACUGGACACAAUAAUAGCGACACCAUCAUCAGCAAAAACACCCACAUGACUAUGCAACUCCCAACUUAAUAAGUACAGUGAUUGACCCCUAGGAGAUUUGUAUAAAGAAGCUCCAAACCACUAACCUCUGCAACUUCUUUUCUUGUAGAGGACAUAUAUAUAUAUAUAUAUAUAUAAGCUAAUUAACACAGACCACUAAAAAACACGACCAAGUCCAAGACUACAGGGUCGAUAGAGUCUUGAGAGUCCUUUCCUAGAUCUUUCUUUUCAGUUGGCACGCAUACAAAGUCAUAACAUUGACCAAAUCAAAGUCUACAAUUCCUUAUAACAUGUGUGGACAAACUAUGAAAACCCCAGUGAAGUCAUAUCACAGCCACCAACCUCGACGUCUCGGGUACGUAGAGUAAUUAAUGAUUAAGAGGAUUUUUUUAAUUCAUAUUUUAAAAUUAAUAUUUAAUGGAAUUGGAUUUUCUAAUUAAAUACAUUAAUGAUAUAAUAAUAAGUAUGUAUUCUUAAAAUUAUUAAAAAAAAAACUUAAUCUCAAGUGACUUUGAAACUAAUUAAAGAUACAUUGAUUGUUAAGGGAAAACUAUACACAAACACCAAACUAAAUGCUUGUUUGUAAAUGUGGUUUAACCAUGUUUUUUUAAAAUAUUUAUAUUUUUUUAUUUAUAUUUUUAAUUAAUAUUUUAUUAUUUUUAUUUUAUUAUUUUGAAGUAUUCACUACCAGAAAUUCGCUAAAUACCAACGGACUCACCGACAUAAUUUUUUCUGUCGGUAUUUUUCGGUCGAAAUCACCGACGGAACAUUUUCGUCGGCCGAAUUACCGACAGAAAAUUCAGAAUUAAUGAAAAAAGAGCGGGUAGAUGGCGCCAAGGUUUUGGCGGGUGAUUUUGCCGACGGAAUUAAAACCUGGGGCCCGUACGCGUGAUGGGACCUAUUCACCGUCAAUAAUACCGACGGAAUCACCAACGGAUUUGAAAUGCCAGAUCCGUACCGGUGACGUGACCGGUGAACCGUUAAAAACAACCGAUGGAAUCACCGAGGGAUUUGAAUAGCAGGUCCGUGCGGUGACAUGUCGAUUGCCCGUUAGAAUUAUCGACGGUUUCGCCGACUUAUUCACCGACGGAAUAAAACCGUCGGUAAGUCCGUUGGCAAAAGUGAAUAUAUGGCCACUCUGCCGACACUCUCCUCCCCCAUUUCUCCUUCUUCUUCCUAAUCCUAACCCUCCCCAUCUGCAAAUAACCAGCCCCCCUCGCCCCAAAACAAAAAUCUUCUUCAUCUCAGCACAACAAGUUGUAUUUCUUGAAGUUUUGUGGUCACAUCAUCCGUGUUCUGAUUUACCGAUGGAUUUUAUCAUUUUUUAUAAGUAAUUCUAUCUUUUAAAUUUUUAACAUUUAAAUGUCAAUUUUAUUGUUUUUUUAGUAUAUGUAUUUUUUUUUAGUAGAUGUACAUGUUUUAUUGUUAUUUCUCAAACAAACUUGUAGUAUAUGAAUGUAUAAUUUUAUACUUGUUAUGGUUUGUUUUAGAUUUUUUAAGAUUGUAUUUGUUUGUAAAUUGUUAAAACUUAAUUUGUAGAAUUACCGAAUUACAUGUUAUGUUUUGAAAUAAUUAAGAGCUUGCUUAAUGGGUCCUUUUUAUAGAGGUUCGAUAGAAGUCAUGGAUGAUCGUUCAUGGAUGUAUCUAGAUUCAUUCCCGUUACAAACCCAGAACUGGUAGGGGGAAGACUCUAGUGGCAUAUAAAAAACUUAGAUAUUUCCUGAUCACACCUAGACUGCAGAGGUUAUUUAUGUCACCAAGGACUGCUGAGCACAUGACAUGGCACCAAACACACGAUGCCAUUGAUGGUGUGAUGGUGCAUCGUUCUGACGGCGAAGCGUGGAAACGCUUUAACAGUGUUCAUCCUGACUUUUCUGCUGAAUCAAGGAAUGUUCGACUUGGGUUGUGUACAGACGGGUUCAACCCAUUUGGGUCAUUUGCUGCUCCCUAUUCUUGUUGGCCGGUCAUUCUCACAGUUUAUAACUUGCCACCUGGAAUGUGUAUGAGACCGGAGUUCAUGUUUCUAUCUACUGUCAUACCCGGUCCAAGCAGCCCGGGGCGGAAUAUAGAUGUUUGUCUUCGACCGUUGAUAGAUGAGCUGGCGUAGUUGUGGUCCUCCGGAUCUCUGACUUAUGAUAUAUCAAGGAAACAAAAUUUCCUUAUGAGGGCGGCUUUGAUGUGGACUAUCAGUGAUUUUCCAGCUUAUGGAAUGCUUUCUGGUUGGAGCACGCAUGAGAAACUCACAUGUCCAUACUGCAUGGAAAACAACAAGGCAUUCACGCUAGCAAACGGAGGUAAAGCUUCUUUUUUUGACUGUCACCGUCGCUUCUUGCCACUUAAUCACAGGUUCAGAAAGAACAUAAAAGAUUUCUUUGUUGGUAGAGUUGAAAAAGAUGCUGCAUCCCCGCGUCUUUCUGGUGAAGAAUUGCAUCAUGUUGUAUCAGAGUACGGUGACAUUGUGUUUGGCCUUCAAUCAGGUAAGCAAAAGUUUCCUGGUUUUGGUUUGACCCAUAAUUGGGUAAAGCGAAGUAUCUUUUGGGAGCUUUCGUAUUGGAAGACUAAUCUUCUCCGCCAUAACCUUGACGUCAUGCACAUCGAAAAGAACGUGUUUGAGAAUAUUUUCAACACCGUCAUGGAUGUGAAGGGGAAGACAAAGGACAACAUGAAGGCUAGAUUGGAUAUAGCUUUAUACUGUAACCGUAAAAAUAUGGAGUUGGUUUAUGACGAGUCACGGGUUGCAAAACCAAGGGCAAGCUUCGUGUUAGAGAAAAACGCACAACUGCUAGUCUACAAAUGGCUUAAGAGUCUGCGUUUCCCGGAUGGACAUGCAUCGAACAUAUCAAGGCUUGUUAACAUAGAGGACUGCAGAUUGUAUGGAAUAAAGAGUCAUGACUGCCACGUGUUUAUGCAAACACUAAUCCCAUUAGCUUUUCGUGAUUUGUUGCCAAAGAGAAUAUGGGAUGCACUAACGGAGAUCAGUCAUUUCUUCAGAGAUAUAUGCUCCAGCAAGAUGAAUGUUGAGCACAUUGAGAUGCUUCAAACGAAUAUCAUCGAGACACUAUGCAAGCUUGAGAUGAUAUUCCCUCCUUUAUUUUUUGACUCAAUAGAGCAUCUCCCUAUACAUCUACCGUUCGAGGCAAAAGCUGGAGGACCGAUCCAGUAUAGAUGGAUGUACCCAUUCGAACGGUGAGAUAUUACAGUUGCAAUGGAAUUCAUAUCUUAAGGUAUUUUCUAUGUUUUUCUUAAUUGAAAAUACUUGAAUUGUACUUCAAUGCAGGUACUUGUUUAAUCUAAAAAAAAAGGUUAAGAACAAGGUGCAUGUUGAGGCUUCGAUAUCUGAGGCCUAUAUUGUUGAAGAGAUAUCAACAUUUAUCUCGUACUAUUUCGAACCUCAUCUGAGAACAAGAAUCAAUCGCGUUCCACGGCAUGAUGAUGGCGGUGAAGUGCCUUCCAGUGGGAACUCGUCAAUAUUCUCCAAUACUGGACGACCCACACCUAAAAAUGCCGUAAGAGGAAGAUAUUUGUCGGAAAUAGAAUUCAAACAAGCACACAACUAUGUUCUAUUUAACUGUGAUGAGCUGAGACCAUUUAUUCACUAAGUCUAUAUAUGUGUAAUACUAAUUAAACUUUGUCAGUAAUAUACUGUUAAUUAUAUAUUGUAAUAUCAUACACUCGCAGGCAACAUCGACAAUAUUUUCUCUCUAAUAUAUCGCAGCUGACCGAAUCCCUUAUCAAAUGGGAAGGAGUGCGCCCAAGUCAUUGUCUUCACUAAGCCUCGACCCUGAAAGAAAAGUUAAGUGCUACAACGGGUAUUUUGUCAAUGGAUAUGUUUUCCAUACUGAAGAAUACGGGCAAGGAAGAAAGAUAUACAACUGCGGUGUUUGUGUUAAGGGAUCCACAAGUAGCCAGUUAGAAGUUGACUACUAUGGUAGAUUAGAAGAGGUCGUCGAACUGCAAUAUCAUAGCGAGCAGAAUAAAGUGUUUUUAUUCAAAUGCUAUUGGUAUGAGACGACGGACAGAGGAAUUAGAGUUGAUCCGCACCAUGGUUUGGUCGAAAUCAACUCAAAAGCUAGACUCUGCAACAUAAACGAUGUCUUUGUUUUCGCAAAGCAAUGUCAACAAGUUUAUUACACAUACACCCCUUCAUUUAGAAAGGAUCGAUCAAGAGUUGAUUGGUUGUCCGUUUUAAAAACGAAACCACGGGGUCGUGUCGAGGUUGUUCAGGAUGAGAACGAAGACACAAGUGUGCGAGAUGAAGUCUUUCAAGUUCGUGAGUUGGUUGAAUCAUAUCGAGUUGCUCCUUCGAUUGAAUUGGAAGAAAAUUCAAAUUUUCGAGUUCUCGAUGAUAGUCUUGUUGAUAUUCAAUGAGAGGAGUUGAAUGUUGUUCUCAGCUCAAGCGGACAAGCAAAUGUCGAUGAAGAAGAUGAUAUCCAUAUUGAAGAUUGCGAUGAAGAUGAUGACAAUUCAAUUGAUGAGGAAGAAGAAGAAAAUUCCGACUAAUUAUGAAAAUGAAGCCCUAUGUAAAAACAAUUGUCUCAUGUAAUUUAGAUUAUAGAUGAUGUAUUUUGUAAAACAAAAUAUUUAUUGUUUAAGCAAUGUGGUUAUUGUUUUAUGUGAUGGACAGUUUAUCAGUUAAGUUUUUGCAGGAAGGUAAACAGGCAAUACAAAGACAACUUUUCCUGCAUAAUGCAAACUUACCGACGUCCAUACCGACGGAUAACCAUCCGUCGGUAUCUCACAGAGAGUUCGAAAUUAAUUACGCGAAAUGCCACCAACACCGACGACAUUACCGACGGAUUCACCGACACCUACACCGACGGAUUCUAGUCUGUCGGUAUAUCACAGAGAGUUCGAAAACAAUUACAACAAAAUGUCACCUUCACCGACGGAUAUACCGACGUCAUUAAAUCCGUCGGCAUCUCACAGAGAGUUCGAAAACAUGGAACAAUCAUCGACGGGAAUACCGACGGAUUAUAGUCCGUCAGCAUUGUUGCUACCCAAUUUUUGACCCAUGUUUUGAUAUAUUUUAAAAAAUCCAAAAAAUUGAGAAAAACAAAGAAAAUCCAAAAAUAUGUUUUUUAAUAUAUUUUCGUCAUUUUAACAUUUUCAACGUCGUCUAAAAAAGAAUUUAAAUUGUUAAAAUAUUUUCAAACGCGUUCGACUUUUCACGUGUGAUUUUUAAAAUCAUUGAUUUUCCGCAUUUGAGUCGACGUUGAUAUUGCUCGUUUUCAAAAAAUAUAAAAAAAUAAGAAAAAUCAAAAUUUACAAAAAGAAAGAAGUUGAGGGACCAAGUUGAAAAACUUGGCAACAUUUUUUCCUAUAAAUAUUGGUCUUUAACUCACACAAAAGGGGGGGGGGCUAAUUUUGGAAACACAAAAAAAAUAACAACAAAAAAACCCUAAACCUAAAAGAUUUGUUUUCUCUGCAGCCGUUGAACCAAGCCAGCCCCCCCCCCUCACCUUUUGAAAUUUUUUUUUUCUCUUCUCACUCAAUCGGCCAAACAGCCCCUCCCCGGUUUGAAUCAUUCUCCAAUCCCUGGCCGUUCCUUUCCCUUCUCAAUAGCAGCGCCUCCCAACUCUGUUCCCAAUUCCCAGCCAACGAAAGCCAAAAAGAAAGCCAUAGCCAGCCGGCGUCCCUCAGCCUUUGAAGAAAAAGAAAGCCAUAGCCGAUCCCCCAUCAUCAGAUUUUUUCCCUUCUUCUCAGCCACUUCACAACCCCCCUCCCCCACCGGACUUUUGAUUUUUUUUCUUCCCCUUGGUUCUGAUUUUUUCAGACCACGCAGCCAUCCCAGCUCUUCUUCUCCUCCCCACUUCUCCCAACGCCAGCUCUCCUCUCACCGUUCACCAGAGAUUUCUUCCUUCACAGGCCCGGCGCCUCAUAGGUUCUCUCUCUCGGCCACGAUCUCCACCGCCUCUCGCCGCCCGUCAUUUGGGCGAACCAGUGGCGUCUCCGCAGUAGCGCCGUCCAAAGAUCCAGCAGACCCAGCUCCACAGAACCGGCUUCCACCGAGCCACACAGCAGCAGACGAUCUCCCCACCGACCGGACAACCACUCCUCACUCCACAGCAGGUCGGCCACAGAAGAAGAAGAAACCCACGGACUGAUCUGCAACGAAGAAGAAGAGAAAGAGGAGCAGAUCGAAAACGAUGCAGAUCUAAAAAAGGAACAAAAACAGAUUUGAAAUCAAAGAAAAAAACUAAAAUCGACUGCUGUGUGUUUAUUUCCUUGUUCUGCAGAUCACCGAUGGUUUAGGAAGACAGGAGAAGAAGAAGCUGUCUGGACCAGCUGUUUUCCAGCUCCUUCUCACGGUGGCGCGUGCACCCACGCACCGCCAGUGGCGGGGGCGCGUGGGAAGACGCGCCGCCAGUGAUUUCUGCCCCAGCAGCCUUCCCGAGCACUGUUCCUGCGGUUCUAAGUGGACUUCCCUGCACUUCUUGGACUAUUUAGGGACUGUUUUGUAGUUUUAGAAUUGUUUAAUGUAAUUUGUUUAGUUUUGAUUUUUUUUGUAAUUUAUAUUUUUGUAAAUAUGGAUGUAAAAGAAAAGAAAAGAAAAAAGAAAAAAGAAAAGAAAAGAAAUAAAAAAAAUAGUGAAAGUGUAUGUGUGGGUUUGUAUUUGUUUUUUAUGAAUGUUUUUUUUAUUUUUCUUAUGAUAAAAUUGCAAAGAUUAAAGAAGAAUUUAAUAUUUUGAUUGGAUCACGGUCCAGAUUUAUUAACUUAUACGUAAGUUGUAUUUCUAAUUUCCGAUGAAAAGACAAAAUUUUGAAACUUCUUUAACACGUCAAAAAUCACGAAGCAGCUUACCUCAGGUAGGGUGCGUUAGGGGUGCUGAUACCUUCCCUAACCACAACCAGUCCCUUACCCGCGAGUCUCUGACAAGACCAGUACAUCAGGUUUCCUAGUAGCCCUCAAUAAAUUACUAGGUGGCGACUCCAACAAACCAAUUCAAGCAACGAACGCAACAUACGAGAUUUAAAUCGCCAGCCGAUGCCGCGCGCUGAUUUGAUUUUUUUUUGGGGUGCGACAGAAUGGCGACUCCACUAGGGAAGGUAUUUUUUCGAGUAUUGGACUAAGCUUUGUGUAUUUGAUGUGUUUAAGUUUUUGCAUUUUUAUCUUUUUAUUAAUAUUUAUUUCCAUGCAUUUUAUAGAAUUGUUUCAUGCAUCACCUGUAUUUAUUUUUAAAAGCACACACAAGCUUCUAGGUUAGGUGGGGAACUAGCGAUCUGCCCUAAGACUAUCGGUCAGGGUUCAGAUGCGUGAAACACCCAACUCAUAUCUGAGUGCCUGCUUGGUAAUGGUGGGUAUACGUGCCUUAACCAUUCCUUGCAACGCCCCCAUACUGUCUUUACGAAGAACGUCACUGGGCAGAUAUGAGACCCUUUUGAGACCAGAUAGAAAACCUAUCCAUGUUCACAUAAUGAAUAGAACCUGUCCUUAGGUUGUAUGUGCUAUCGUUUUUUGCAUAAGAGCAAACCCUUCUUGAAGCAUCUUGAACUCAAGACUUAUUGGUGACACAUUGGCCGUUGCUCCGAAAAUUUUCAUUGUAGAGUUUGGGCAAAAAUCACGAUUCUUGUCCAUCAUACAAGAGUUACGACCAUAUUGUCACCUCUUGAAGGGUGAGUUCAUCAUAUAGAUUACAUGUUCAUACAUUUGUCAUGCAUGCACCGGGUUGAAAAGUAGGUUCCCCCGCACAAGCUGUGCUGCAAGGGAUUAAAGAAAGGAUGGAAGUGAAGAAAGAUGUCAAAUAGAGGCUCAUUAUCAGUUUGAGUGUGAGAGCAUCAAAGGUGAAGUAGUUGGACUCAGAUCUGCUCGAACAAGUGUUGAGCAUCAAAUGGAAAGAGAAUGUCUGCAUAGUCUUCUUUGGGAACACUGUUUGUCCACGUCCAAUUGAAGUUGCCUCUCCUUUUCAGUCAUGAACAACAACAACAAUGCCUUCAAUCAUCAACUAAUGACAACUCUGAUUCCUGUCCAGUUGCGCUGUUAAGUAUUCAUCGCCUCCACAUCAUCUAAUGGAACCAAACGACUACUAGCCUCCUGUUCAUGGUGCAUUAGUCUGCUUUGAAGUUACCCCAAUUAUGAGCUCAAUUCCAGUUCAACAGCACAAGAUGGUUUGAAAAACCAUGAUUAAACACUGAACUUCAAUGUGGCAGAGCUCUCUCUACAAAAAUCCAUUUAUGGAUCUGCCAAUUGGGAAUGCAAGAGGGGAUUUAUAAGUUGCAUAUGCUACAAAUAUUUCUCUCAUCAGUUUCAGCACGAAGACCUUUUAGUAGGUUGAAGAGCCAGACCUGGUCCGAAAAAUAUGAGCAGACAUCAAACUUCAACGUAGCAAAGCUCACUCAACAGGAAUCUGUUUGUGGAUCCGCAAGUGGGAAGUCCAAGAAGGAAUACAGUAGUUUCAGGUCAUCUAUGAUUUUCCUCCAACAGUGUCAGUAUUAAAACGCAAAAGUAGAGAGAGACAUGCCUAGACUGAAAAACAUGAAGAAUACUGAAACUUCAACAGAGCAGGACUUCCUCUAUAGGUGUUUGUUUGCUGCACUGUCAGUGAGAAAUCGAAGAAGGGACAAAGGAGUUUUAGAUUCAUCAGGUGCUCUUCCAAUAGAGACAAUGUGUGAUUCCACACGUCGGUAGUGGCGAUACUACAAGUUUCUGGGCGCUGCCAAGAUUACCAAGCUGUUAGAAAGUUUUCUAACAAUCCUCAACCAACCAUAGCAACAUUGGAGGAUUGAAAUAAUGUUGUGAGGAUUUGCCGAAGAAUUGAACAAGCUAUGAAGAGAAGAAAGAUUGAAGGAUCUGCCAUGGAUUUUAGAACAAUGAUGAGAUGUGAAUCAGGAGAUGACUUUGACGGUGUGAGCCCUUUAAUUAUGUGGUAUAGCCAGGUCUCACGGUAGCAUCAAUUGCUCAAAUAUCUUUGCCAAGAUGGGACAUUCCUCUGCCAUUUAAGUUUGUCGACCAGCAUCUGCCAGAUUCCAGAAUUUUGCUUGACUCCGACAAAUCCUAUGCAACCACCAUUUUCUGGGUGGUUUAAUCCAGACAAGAUGUGAUGUCAUGAUGGGGUUCUCAACCAUUUCAAUUGAGCAAUUGCAAGAAUGGCAACAAUUGAGUCUGAAAGUUGGUGAGCAAGGGAUAAAUGGAGCUUGCAAAGGAGGGUGUCAUUGGCUAUAUUGUCCCCCGAACAUCAUCAAAAUGACAUGUGAUCGAAAGUGCUUGGCAAAACACAGAUAUUGCCAGAAAAGCUGAUUCGAGAAUGGUGAUGAACAGUCAAUCAUAUUGUUAUGAAAUUCUGCAUUUUGUUUUGGGAUCACAUCUCAUCCUUCAACGAAACAUGCCUUGCUUUUGUCUCUUUGUUGUUUUGAAAUCAACAGAUGUUUAGCAUUUUAUUCUGACAAAAUAUUUUGAUCAAACUCCAACAUGCGAUAAAGGUUAAUCAAUCCGGAAGAUUAGAAGUGUUUUGAUUACAGAAAUGACUCUAUGCUUGAAAAUGACAUGGGGUGACCAAACAAUUUUGAACUCAUACCUUUUGAAACUGAACCACACAUCAUAUAGCUAAGUUUUAGCAGUAUGCAUAAUGACAUGUAGUGGAUUCAAUAGUUAUGGACUCGUGAAUCAUGAUUCUUGCAAGUACAAAUCAUUACACUAGAUGACGUCAAAAUUUAUCGGUUCUAACCGACCUUGCUUGAAAUGAGAAAAUGCCAUCUUUGAUAUCUCUUCACUUUCUAAAAAUUAUAUCCCUUGUAGUCCCAUUUUGAGCUUGGUGAGAUAUUUUCUUUCAAAAGGAAACCCUGACUAGGAUCACACCCCAUACUGGGGGCAAAUGAGAAAUGUUUUGGAGACACAGAUAAAAUCAAUGGAUCAAAGAAAAGUUUAGAACAAAAGUCCAAUGUUUGAGAAAGGGCUAGAAGAAGAAAAUCCAUAGAUUGAGGGUCAUCCAAGAAAAACUUUGAGGAAGGCUAUGCAAAAAAAUGGAAAGGAAAUGUAAAGGAAAGAAAAUGCCUAUCAAUUCUAAAGAGAGGCAAGAUAGUUUUCGAUUGAGAAAAGACAAUAAUUGCCGAAAGUCAACACUAGAAAAAUCGAUGCUUCAUAUUUCUUGGUGUGUCUAGGAUAAAGCCUCUAAUGUCUUCAAAAUUAGAUUAGUUAUUCAUCAAAGAAAAAGUUGGAUUUACAUUAUGACCUAUGUUAAGAGAAUUCUGAUAUUUGAGAUUAACAGGGUUAUAUGUCACUUUCUCUACAAUGACAACAAGAGAAAGAGAAUCGAUGAAUAGUUAAUGUUGGUCCUAGGUCGUUGAAACCCUCAAACACCUUUUGAGCCUAUUGAAAUUCUUUUCUUUCAUAGCCAUGAACCAUAGCCUACAUUACGUGCUUUUAAAAGCCCUUUUUGAUCAAGUAAACAAUCUGAACCGAUAAAUGGCGCUCUCAAAACUUGAAGAGCUUUUCCAUAAGGGUCGUGACUUCAUGAAUUAGGCUACUGGUUAUUAUGCAUGCUUGUCGCACCCGACAUCGCGGCGGCCUUAAAAAUUAAUUCUUGAAUUAUGGAAAAAGAACCGAUUUCAUGCAUCGUGUUCUUUUAGGGGAAAAGGUCUUUAUUUAAGGAGUCGCCACCUAGUAUUAUGGUCACUAGGAACCCUAACUGGUCCACAGAGAUUCUAUGAUCCGAGACUGGUUACGUAGAAGGGAAGAUAUUAUCACCCCUUAAACGUCCUACCUAAGGUAGGCUGCAUUGCUGGUCUUUGUUAUUAAUUGCUAACAUCUUUAUUGGUUUAUACUAUGAUUUCUUGUGUACAAUAUUCCUGACUCUGGUGCCAGUGAAUAUUCAACUACGUAUAUUUCCAACUCUGGCGUUGGUAAAUAUUACGUAGGUAUCAAAAUAAAUUCAUAUCAUCAUUUUUAUUAUAUUCCUGACUCUGGCGUCAGUGAAUAAACAAGUAGAAAUCAAUUUUUUUUUUUUUAUGCAUGCGAAACAAAAUAAAAUAAAUUUAUCCUAGUAUUUUUUUUUUAUUCCCGACUCUGGCGUCGGUGAAUAUACUAAAUAAAUUUAUCCUAUUUUAUCUUAUGUGAAUAAAAAAUCAAUUCAUUUCUUUAUCAAAUUAUUUUUUUAUGCAUGCGAAACAAAAUAAAAUAAAAUAAAUUUAUCCUAGUAUUUUUUUAUUCCCGACUCUGGCGUCGGUGAAUAUACUAAAUAAAUUUAUCCUAUUUUAUUUUAUGUGUUUUUUUUUGUCAAUGAAUAAAAAAAAUUCAUUUAUGUAUAUAUUUUUUACAUACACAAUUUUUAUUAUAUAUUUUUAAUAUUUUAUAUUUUUUACCUUUUUUUUAUUUAUUUUUGGCCUGGGCUGGGCUAAAUCCAACCCAGCAAGUAUAUAUAUUAGUGGCUGGGCUCAGCUCAGCCCCACAAGGGCUGGGCUGAACCCAGCCAGCCCGGCCCGGGUCACUGGCCCAAGCCAGUGACCUGGCUACACAAGAUGCACGCGUGAAACAGAUCACGCGUGCAUCAACAGUGCGAAGGUAAUUAAAUUACCUUCGCACUGUUCAAACAAUUAUUUGAACACGAAGAGCAGAGAAAAAAUGGAAAAGGAAGCGAACCUGUUUUUGGAGAUUGAAGAAGAUUGCAACGCUGGUUUGGCCGCUUUGAGUUGACUGCUUUCUGUUUCUGGCGAUGCUGAGGCAGGUUGAGGCGACGGUGUGGCUCGACUGCUGUCGAUACACGACGUCGGGCGACGGCUCCGCUCAUUUUUGUUUAUUUAACAAAAAAGAGAUUGUUUAAUUGGGGGAAUGAAAAUUAUAUUGGAGUCGCCAUCUAGUAAUUUGAGGGAACUAGAAAUCCCAAAUUAGACACUGGUCCCAGAGAUUCAGGUACUGGGUUAGUUAUGAUUAAGGGAAGGUAGACACCAUCCUUAAAACAUCCUUUCAAAAGAAAGGUUACCCUUACUUGUGUGUUUUUUUUUAUUUGAUUUAAAUGCUAUUAUAUUUUGAGCUUAUUUGCAAUUUUGUUUUUUUUUAUGGUUAACGUCGGUCCCUAAAAAUAGGAGACACGUUAAAAAUGACAUCAGUCCCUAAAAAUAGGAGACUUGUCUAAAAUAUUGACGUUUAACCCUAAAAAGGAGAAGUACGUCUGAGUUACCAAAAAACUAUGGACAUAAUCCAUAUUUGGGUAUUUAAACUUUUGACAUCGGUCCUUUUUAAAAAGAGACGUGUCGACAAAAUAUUUGUUUAUAAAAAAAAUAUUUUAUAUCGUUGAGAUAUGGGUAUAACUAUAUUUGAAAAUUGGGCUUUGGACCCACGAAUGAUGACAUAAUAGGAUGGGUGUUGGACCCGCGUUGUUAUUUUUUUUUUAUUUUUUUGUUUUACAACAUGCAAGAAAAUUUAUAUACAAAAUAAAAAAAAUAUUAGCAAUCUAAAUAAAAUUACAUGAGUGACACAGUAUAGGUAAAAGACUGAAAUACCCUCGGAUUUAUCAGAAAUUACGAAAAUGCCACUGGCGGCGCGUGUGUCACGCGCGUCACUGUUGGUGGCGACGAGAUUUUCAGGCGAGAUUUCUGGCCAACCGAUGGUCGGUUCUGGUAGAUCUGAGGUCGAGGAUUCUGUUGGUGGUGGUCUCGACGGUCGUUGAUGGCUGACGAGGGAGAAUCGUCGACUUGAAGCUUCGGUGGCCGGCGAGAAUCGCGGCCUUUUUCCGGCCAGAUGAGGCGGCGAAAACGGUUAAAACCACCGGGGUUUGCUUUAAACAGUGGAUCAACCUUUCUGUGGUGGUUGGAGGUGAUAUGGCCGGAAAGUGGAGAUCGAGGAGAGAGAGAGAGUCGCCGGCGAGAGGAGAGAGAUGCUCCGAGAUUUGCUACGGUGCGGACGCGUGUAUGGUGUACCGGUGCCGCUGAAGGAUGUUAACCGUUGGAUCUUGGAUGAAACGAUCGGAUGGCUGUGAUUGGCUAGAUCAGCAGGUUGAUCGGACGGCCCAGAUUGUCUGGUUUUGAUCUGUGUGGCGCGGUGCACCGAAAGCUCGGUGCACCGGAUGACGUGGCGCAACGGAUUAAAUCCUGGAAUAUGUUAACGGCUGAGAUGUGUUGGGAUAUGUUUGGUAUUUUUUAAAUUGUUUUUUUUAAAAGACAAUAUCCUACUCUCCUGAAGAAAAACUAAAAAAUUAGAAUUAUCAAUCGAUUCUUUCUUUUUUUUUCUUUUCUCUUCCUCCUUUUUUUUUUUUCUUGCCCCCCUCUCGUGGCUAUUUAUAGCCACGGGACAACAACCAUAAAAUUCUAUUUUAUUAUAUAUAAUAAUAAAUAAUGCACACAACUACCAUAAUUUUGUUUUAUUAUAUAUAAUAAUAAAUAUUGCACACAACUACCAUAAUUUUGUUUUAUUAUAUAUAAUAAUAAAUAUUUACAUGGGUAAAACUAAAAAUUCAAAUCAGUAUUAGAAAAAUCCCGUUUCAACCGCCAAAAAAUGGAAUACCAAAAAAAACAUUUGAUGGGUAUCGACCCGAUGAACCGGGUUUUGGUCGAAAAUGACGGUUUUGACCCAAGACAGCCCGAAACUCAUUUUUUACCCUGGUCGACAUGGUAUGACCCGUAUUGACCCGGUGAACUCGGUUUUGGUCGAAAAUGAUGUUUUUGACCCGAAACAGCCCGAAACUCAUUUUUUACCCUGGUCAACAUGGUAUGACCCGUAUUGACCCGGUGAACCCGAUUUUGGUUGAAAAUGAUGUUUUUGACCCGAAACAGCCCGAAACUCAUUUUUUACCCUGGUCGACAUGGUUUGAAUGAAGAGAUGCGGUUGACUCGAGAGAGAAAAAAAAUAUUUUUAAAUUUUCAAAUUUUUCUUAAUGUUUUUUUUGGAUUUUUUGAAAAUAUAUAAAAAACAUGGGUCAAAAAUUGGGUAGCAACAGAUGCCCCCUCUUUACAAUGCUUACGAAGCAAAAAUCCUCGAUGUUUUGCAUAGUAAGCUUUGUAAAGAAAAAAAACUUGUCUUUCUGUCUCUCUUUUUUCGUUAACCUGAGAUCCCAUCUGGCGACCUCCUUUACCAAAACCAAAGAAUGUGUAAAACGUGGUCUCAUUGUAAUGGGUAACCAACCCAGGUGGAAAGAAUGUGAAAAAAAAAUGGUCUCAUUAUGAUGGGUGACCUACCCAAAGGAGAAGUGGUCUCAUUGUAAUGGGUACCCAAAAGGUGAAAAAUGUGAAGUGUGUCUCAUUGUAAUGGGUGACCUACCCAGAUGGAAAAAAAUGAAGUGGUCUCGUUGUGAUGGGCGACCUACCCAAAUAGAAAGAAUGUGAAGUGCGGUCUCAUUGUAAUGGGUGACCUACCCAAAAAUGGAAAAAAUAUGAAGUGUGGUCUCAUUGUAAUGGGUAACCUACCCAGAUGGAAAAAAUGUGAAGUGCGGUCUCAUUGUAAUGGGUGACCUACCCAAAAAUGGAAAAAAUAUGAAGUGUGGUCUCAUUGUAAUGGGUGACCUACCCAGAUGGAAAAAAUAUGAUGAAGUGGUCUCGUUGUGAUGAGCGACCUACCCAAAUAGAAAGAAUGUGAAGUAAAGAAUUUUGUGAGUGGUCUAAUUGUUCCAGGCGACCUGCCCGAUGAUAAAAUGCGAGGAAACUCGCAAGUGGUCUAAUUGUUCCAGGCGACCUGCCCGAUGAUAAAAUGCGAUGAAAAUCGCAAGUGGUCUAAUUGUUCCAGGCGACCUGCCCGAUAAAUGAAAAAAAAAAUGCGAGGAAACUCGCAAGUGGUCUAAUUGUUCCAGGCGACCUGCCCGUUGAUAAAAUGCGAGGAAACUCGCAAGUGGUCUAAUUGUUCCAGGCGACCUGCCCGAUGAUAAAAUGCGAUGAAAGUCGCAAGUGGUCUAAUUGUUCCAGGCGACCUGCCCGAUUGAUAAAAUGCGAGGAAACUCGCAAGUGGUCAAAUUGUUCCAGGCGACCUGCCCGAUAAAUGAAAAAAAUGCGAGAAAACUCGCAAGUGGUCUAAUUGUUCCAGGCGACCUGCCCGAUGAUAAAAUGCGAUGAAAAUCGCAAGUGGUCUAAUUGUUCCAGGCGACCUGCCCGAUGAUAAAAUGCGAUGAAAGUCGCAAGUGGUCUAAUUGUUCCAGGCGACCUGCCCGAUUGAUAAAAUGCGAGAAACUCGCAAGUGGUCUAAUUGUUCCAGGCGACCUGCCCGAUAUGAAAAUGCGAGAAAACUCGCAAGUGGUCUAAUUGUUCCAGGCGACCUGCCCGAUGAUAAAAUGCGAUGAAAAUCGCAAGUGGUCUAAUUGUUCCAGGCGACCUGCCCGAUGAUAAAAUGCGAUGAAAGUCGCAAGUGGUCUAAUUGUUCCAGGCGACCUGCCCGAUGAUAAAAUGCUUGAAAGUGAAUGAGCUUCAGGGUUGAUGAAAACUUCUAAAGGAAGUCAUACCUGUACGGUUGAGAUUUGAUCUGUAAAUCGAUCUCAAAGAUGAUGUAAGCUUUCACGAAAGUCGUAUAUGUAAAGCUGAGAUCUGAUUUGCAAAUCAAUCUCAAAGAUAACACUCAAGAAAGUCUUACAUGUACAGUUGAGAUCUGAUUUGCAAAUCAAUCUCAAAGACGACGCUCAAGAAAGUCUUAUAUGUACAGCUGAGAUCUGAGUUGUGAAUGGAUCAGGAAAGCUUCUCAAGAAAGUCUUGUAUGUACGGUUGGGAUUUGAUUUGUAAAUGGAUCCCAAAAGAUGAGGAAAGCUUCCCAAGGAAGUCUUGUAUCUACGGCUAAGAUCUGAUCUUCUAUUGAAAAUGAUGGCCGGAGCAAAUUCCCUAUAAAUCACGCAAUAUUGGGCAAAAGACAUCAUCCACUUCUCACAUUUUCAAUACUCUCAAAGUUCUUAACUUUUGAAGUUUUAACCAUGUCUUCCUCUUCUUCCAAUGCUAAUCCAAACCUUGUUCCUGCGGCAGAGCCUGUAGUUUGGCGUACAACCUUUGAAGUGAAUGGUCGUCCAGUUACAAUAGAGGAUACUGUAAUGGACGAUGAAGAUACCGCUGUAGCCGUGGCUAGAGACAUGAUCCUUCCUCGUGAUGAAAUGAUGCUGGCAGCGAGGACCGAUAUUGAAGCAGUGAAUCAGUCACUUGCUCUUAGUAUCAGAGCUACUUCGUCUUUGGUGAAUGUUGCGGAGCGUCUUCAUGCCAGAAGACUUGAGUUGAAUACUCAAAUUCCUGAGCUCCAUAAUCAGAUUGAGAAUUUAAGGAAAAGGCUCCAUGAUGAGAGACGUUACAGGAACGAAUUGGAGAGGAGAAACCAAGAGCUCAAUGCACGUGUUGACUUUUGGAGGGACUAUGUUAACACUCGACACCUCGAGUUCGAGGAAGAGAUGGAGCGCAUGCAUAAGCAAUUUGAGGAAUUCCGAGGCAUGAUUGGCCAUCAAGAUGAAAAUAUCCCUAAUCGUCCUCACAGUGUUUAACGUUUGUACUUGUAAACCAUUAUGCCUAUGAAUAAAAAUCCAUCUUCUCGUCUUCAUUCAUGAAUUUUGCCUUUGUGGAAUUGCCAUAUUUGAUAUGAUUUAAAAGAACUUCAAUUCAUCUUUGUCUCGUUGGAUCCCAUGAGGAGUUUUGUUUCGAGAGAUAUCUGCAAAACAAAUAUGCGAUGCUUGUGAAGUGAGAUGAUAUGCAAUGCAUCUUACCUGUUUUUGAAAUAUAGAUCCCCGUUCAUCUUGUUUGAGGGUUUUGACUUUGAGUGAGCUCUUUUGAUUUACGCGUACUUCAAGUCUACUCAAGCUGACCCAUGUUGUCCAUUUUUUGAGUUUCCCAACAGUCACUGCACGUUUCUCUAUUGGUAACUUCACUAAGAGAAUCAGCUUCUCCGUGGCCCGACAUUGUCCUGAGAUUUCAUCUGCAUUUCUCUUACUGAAGAUGUAUCAGUUAUCUUGUUGUCUAACUGAUCAUAUUGUAAGAGUCAACAAUCUCCUUUCAUAGAUACUGAAAAUCAUACUAUUUCAGUCCGCAUGCUAGAAGAAGUCCACAGUUUUAUCAUGUGUAUUUUCCACUAGGGAAGCAAAUUUCUUUGUGUUUAAGGAUCUGGUAACUGCUUCUCUGCCCCCUGGGAGAAUUAACUGCCUCAUUUCAUUUCCUCCUUUGCUCUUGUUGUCAUUAGAAUCUCUGAUUUUCUAAUGGUGCCUUAGUGUUAUAUUCAUUUUUCUUACAAAGAAAACCUUUUUUCAAAAAUGAUUUUUUAAAAGAUCUGUUUUGUUCCGAAAACUGAAACUCUCAAUGUCUGUUUAUAACAAUGUUCAGGCAAUUCUGGGGCUUUAUGUCAAAUCUCUUGGUAAAAGUAAUCUAAGAUGAAGGUAAGUGAUGAGAUGACCUUCUGCUUUGGUUUUCAAAGUGUUCAAGCGAUUGCUUGAAGGUAUUUUGAGAGAAAAGAAACAAUUUGCCUUUUAUCUUUAGAAACACUCUUUUUAACAGCAUGAAUAAUAAUGAGUAAUUAUUUGCUAUGCUAUGACUCUUUUGGAAAAGUCUCUUAUUUUGAGAACGCCGUUUAUUGAUCCAGGUCGCUUACUUGAUUAGAAAGGACUUCAAAGGCACGUAAUGUAUUUAUGGCUCAAGGCUAUAAAAGAAAGAGUAUUCCAUAAGCUCAAAAAGUGUUUAAGGGCUUAUAAACUAUAGAUCACUAUUAUCUUGUCUUGGCAUUUUCUUUUGCUACCUUGACAACAAAAAUGAUGAUGAAUAUUCCAAAUGAGGAACUUCUGUUUUCUUUUUUGUUAUUCCCAUAUUUGUUAGGAAUUCUCUCAAUUGUUUGGAAUUUAAUUGAAUUCUUUGUUGUCAGACUUUCUUUAAAGCUCACAUGCCUUCAAGACAAUUUUCUUAAUCAUAUUUCUCUUUUUGCCCCCUAGUGUAGGGUGUGAUCUUAGUUAAGGUUCUUGUGAAAGAAAAGGCUUUAAAUAGACUCAGCUCAAAUUGGGACUGCAAAGGAUAAUUUUAAAGAAAGUGAAAGGAAUAUCAAAGAUGGCCUUUCCUCAUUUCAAGUAAGAUCAGUUAAAACCAAUAAACUUUGUCCAUAUCCAACGUAAUGCUUUGGAUUUGUAAGAUACCAUGUUUUGCGAGUCCAUGACAAACUAAUGUACUACCAACCAUUAUUCAUGCUGAUAAAAUGUGGAUCCAAGACAUAAUUUGGGUGAUAGUUGUUCCAAUUGCAUGUUUUUUUUUUUUUUACUUGUUUGGUCAUCUCUUUCAAGGGAAUUGCUCUGAACAUUAUUCCAAACAAAUCAUUGAUUUAUUUCAUUGAAAUCACAAACAAAAUCAGUUCUUUUAAAACCUCAUUUAAGAAGAAUGGAUUCUCCUGUAAAAAAAGUUUGAAAGAUCAAAUUGUUGAGCAUUGAGAUCAUGCAUGAGGCUUUUUGGUGAGGUAUAAUGCAAAGGAAUUUCCUGGCCAAAACUUUAUUGAUUUGAUUGGAUGAAACCAAUCAUACAUAAUACUUUUUCACAGAAUCAGAGUUCACAGGCCUAGGUAAAUCAUCUCCAUCCAUCCUACUUAACAACAGAGCUCCUCCAGAUAGUGUUUUCUUCACUACAUAUGGGCCUUCAUAGUUUGGUGCCCACUUGCUUCGGUCUUCACUUGGUAAUGGCAAGAUUUUCAUAGUACAAGAUCCCCUUCUUUGAAUUCUCUUGCAUGAUUGGGCAAAGGGUUGGACUUCACAUUUGGUGCAUCAUCAAAAGAUAUCCAUCCAGCUUUUAUCAAUUGCAAAAGCUUGUUCUUAAAUGCAUUACAACUUUCAAUGUUAUGCCCAGCAGCGCCAGCAUGAUACUCACAUUUCAGAUCUGUCUUAUACCAAUUUGGGUAUGGAGGUUGCAGUGGGGUUAAGGGAAUAGGGGCUAUUUGCCCAAUACUCAACAACUUCGAGUACAUUUCUCCUAAGGGAAGUGGUAAUGGUGGCAGUCGUUCUUGGGUUCUUUGAAAAUUCCUUCUUGGAGGAUUAACAAUCUGGUUACUUUCUUGGUUAUUUGGUUGAUUUUGUUGGUUGGUAGGGAAAUGUUUAGUGAAGUUUACACUUGCAACUUGUUGGGUAGGUAUUUGGAAGUUAUAAUGAUAGUAAUUCUUUUUCAUACCCUUAUACACUUCUUCCACAUUGUUCACAUCGGCAUCCUUUUUCCCAGUAAAGCCUUUCUUCUCAGUAGGCUCUGACAUUCUCCCCGCUCUUAUCGCUUGUUCUAUUCUCUCAGCGAUAGUUACAGCAUCAUAGAAAUGCUGAGCUGAACUACCCACCAGGUGUUCAAAGUAUGGAGAUUUAAAAGUGUUAGAAAACAGAGUGACCAUUUCUUUUUCUAACAAAGAGGGUUGCACAUGCGAUGCUUUUUCACGCCAUCUCAAAGCGUAUUCUCUUACAGUCUCUUUGCUGCCCUUCUCCAUGACUAACAAGCUUGACCUGUCCGGGGCUACCUCCAUGUUGAAUUUAUACUGCUCCACAAAGGCUUUUACCAAAUCUUUCCACUUUCUGAUCUUGGUGUUAUCCAGCCUUGUAUACCAGCUUAAUGCCGAUCCAGAAAGACUGUCUUGAAAGAAAUGGAUGAGAAGUUUCUCAUCAUUCACUACUUCUGCCAUCUUAUUGCAGUAAGAUUUAAGAUGCGUGACUGGGCAUUCAGUUCCCGUAUACUUGAUGAAUUCUGGUACCCUAAAUUUUCUGGGUACAACUACAUUUGGAACUAAACACAUUUCUGCAGCAUAAACAGGAUCAUAUAAGUCUGCCCCUUCUACUGCCUUCAAUCUCUCUUCCAGAGCGGUCAAUUUAUCAUAAUCGAUAUUUUCAGAGAAUUUCAUCCUUUGUGGGUCAUCAGUUGCCAGGUUUACAUUAACUGGCACUUGUGCUGGUGGAACAUUGGCAGUGAACUGUUGUUCAAAUGAAGAGGGAUUUGCCCCUAAAUUUUGAGGCGGGAUAACAAAGGGAGCUGAUGGCAUAGAUAUAGAUGGAGUUGCAACUGCCGGCUGAGUAGAGGUGCCUUCCCCAGACUUGGAUACUAGGGCCUGCUCGAGUAGACUUGUAAGUCGUGCUAUAUCAUUUUUCAUGUUCUCCAACUCUCUUUGAUAAUGAGCCUCCAGGUGUGCCCUUUCUUCGUUCUCCAUUAUCUUCCUUCGUUGUCGAGUGUAAUGAAUUUUACGGCCUUUUGGGGGAUCUAUAUUUUAACCUGAGUGAAUGCAAGUAAACUAAAUGAAAUGCACAAAUGGAUGCAAAAUGCAUAUGCUUUAUGCAUGUUGUUAUUGGUUUCAAUUUUUUUUUAACUUAUACGAGGAAUAGACCAGAUCAGAUUCUCUUAAGAAAGUUCUCACUGAGGACUCCAAACCUACAGGGACUUGAACCGAUUUAGGGGAGAAAUUUGAUGCAUGUUCUGAUGGCAAACAAUCCCUUCAUCAUGUUGGUUCAAUUCUGAUCUGGUCAAAAAUUCCUCAAUAGUAAUGUUUUUUUAAUCUCACACUUCCUAUGAGGAUCGGUGGAGAUUUAAUGAGAAUAUUAAAUGUAUAUGAACAUGUAUGUUAAUGCAUUGAUAUUUGUUUGUGUCCUAAAGGUAUAUCCUAAUUGAUAGGAUCUAGCUCAUAGGGUUUGGCUCAGUUGAUUCUAAUCUUAAAGAUCAUCUUUGGUUCUUAGAUUGCCCGAAUUACCCAUGGGGUAAUCGGCCUCUUAACCUUAUACAACAUGAGUAUGGGAAGAAAAUUCCACAAUACCGUUGCAUAGGGUGAGUUACAAUCCAAGCGAAAGUCCAAAUGAGCAUCAGUGGACAAAGUCACACUUGCCACCUGAAUCUUUCUUUUCUAAUCUUAAAAAGGACGAGCUCGGGUCCAGAGCUUUUAUGGGUUCACUGUGAAGUGUGUGAAUACACAAAUAAAUAACAUGCAUGCAUGUGUAAUUAAAAAAUGAAAUGAUUUACAAUUGAUAUUGCAUAAAAUAAAUAGUGCAAAUAAAAUAAAUACUCAAAAAAUAAAUAGCAAUAAAAAAAAUGAAAAGCACACACAAGCAGUUGGUUCAACCCUGUCCCCAGUGGAGUCGCCAUUCUGUCGAUACACGACGUCGGGCGACGGCUCCGCUCAUUUUUGUUUAUUUAACAAAAAAGAUUUGUUUAAUUGGGGAAAUGAAAAUUUAUUGGAGUCGCCAUCUAGUAAUUUGAGGGAACUAGAAAUCCCAAAUUAGACACUGGUCCCAGAGAUUCGGGUACUGGGUUAGUUAUGAUUAAGGGAAGGUAGACACCACCCUUAAAACAUCCUUUCAAAAGAAAGGUUACCCUUACUUGUGUGUUUUUUUUAUUUGUUUAAAUGAUAUUAUAUUUUGAGCUUAUUUGCAAUUUUUUUUUUAUUAACGUCGGUCCCUAAAAAUAGGAGACACGUUAAAAAUGACAUCAGUCCCUAAAAAUAGGAGACUUGUCUAAAAUAUUGACGUUUAACCCUAAAAAGGAGAAGUACGUCUGAGUUACCAAAAAACAAAUAUGGACAUAAUCCAUAUUUGGUAUUUAAACUUUUGACAUCGGUCCUUUUAUAAAAAGAGACGUGUCGACAAACAUAUUUGUUUAUAAAAAAAAUAUUUUAUAUCGUUGAGAUAUGGGUAUAACUAUAUUUGAAAAUUGGGCUUUGGACCCACGAAUGAUGACAUAAUAGGAUGGGUGUUGGACCCGCGUUGUUAUUUUUUUUUAUUUUUUUGUUUUACAACAUGCAAGAAAAUUUAUAUACAAAAUAAAAAAAAUAUUAGCAAUCUAAAUAAAAUUACAUGAGUGACACAGUAUAGGUAAAGACUGAAAUACCCUCGGAUUUAUCAGAAAUUUACGAAAAUGCCACUGGCGGCGCGUGUGGCUCACGCGCGGCUACUGUUGGUGGCGACGAGAUUUUCAGGCGAGAUUUCUGGCCAACCGAUGGUCGGUUCUGGUAGAUCUGAGGUCGAGGAUUCUGUUGGUGGUGGUCUCGACGGCCGUUGAUGGCUGACGAGGGAGAAUCGACGACUUGAAGCUUCGGUGGCCGGCGAGAAUCGCGGCCUUUUUCCGGCCAGAUGAGGCGGCGAAAACGGUUAAAACCACCGGGGUUUGCUUUAACAGUGGAACCUUUCUGUGGUGGUUGGAGGCUGUAUGGCCGGAAAGUGGAGAUCGAGGAGAGAGAGAGAGUCGCCGGCGAGAGGAGAGAGAUGCUCCGAGAUUUGCUACGGUGCGGACGCGUGUAUGGUGUACCGGUGCCGCUUAAGGAUGUUAACCGUUGGAUCUUGGAUGAAACGAUCGGAUGGCUGUGAUUGGCUAGAUCAGCAGGUUGAUCGGACGGCCCAGAUUGUCUGGUUGUUGAUUCUGUGUGGCGCGGUGCACCGAAAGCUCGGUGCACCGGAUGACGUGGCGCAACGGGAUUAAAUCCUGGAAUAUGUUAACGGCUGAGAUGUGUUGGGAUAUGUUUGGUAUUUUUUAAAUUGUUUUUUUUAAAAGACAAUAUCCUACUCUCCUGAAGAAAAACUAAAAAAUUUAGGAAUUAUCAAUCGAUUCUUUCUUUUUUUUUCUUUUCUCUUCCUCCUUUUUUUUUUUUUUUCUGCCCCCCUCCCGUGGCUAUUUAUAGCCACGGGACAACAACCAUAAAAUUCUGUUUUAUUAUAUAUAAUAAUAAAUAAUGCACACAACUACCAUAAUUUUGUUUUAUUAUAUAUAAUAAUAAAUAUUGCACACAACUACCAUAAUUUUGUUUUAUUAUAUAUAAUAAUAAAUAUUUACAUGGGUAAAACUAAAAAUUCAAAUCAGUAUUAGAAAAAUCCCGUUUCAACCGCCAAAAAAUGGAAUACCAAAAAAAACAUUUAAUGGGUAUCGACCCGAUGAACCGGGUUUUGGUCGAAAAUAACGGUUUUGACCCGAGACAGCCCGAAACUCAUUUUUUACCCUGGUCGACAUGGUAUGACCCGUAUUGACCCGGUGAACUCGGUUUUGGUCGAAAAUGAGUUUUGACCCGAAACAGCCCGAAACUCAUUUUUUACCCUGGUCACAUGGUAUGACCCGUAUUGACCCGGUGAACCCGAUUUUGGUCAAAAUGAUGUUUUUGACCCGAAACAGCCCGAAACUCAUUUUUUACCCUGGUCGACAUGGUUUGAAUGAAGAGAUGCGGUUGACUCGAGAGAGAGAAAAAAAAAUAUUUUUGAAUUUUCAAAUUUUUUCUUAAUGUUUUUUUUUUUUGAUUUUUUAAAAAUAUAUAAAAAAAACAUGGGUCAAAAAUUGGGUAGCAACAACUGCUCUAUGUCAAUGAUCUACGGUUUGGUGAUCAAUUGGGUUUCUGUUUUUGGAGAUUGAAGAAGAUUGCAACGCUGGUCUGGCUGCUUUGAGUUGACUGCUUUCUGUUUCUGACGAUGCUGAGGCAGGCUGAGGCGACGGUGUGGCUCGACUGCUCUAUGUCUACGGUUUGGUGAUCAAUUGGGUUUCUGUAGGGGUGAAAACAAUUCGGAUGAAAAUUGAUUUCUAGAAGGGAUGAAAUCUGGUUGGUGAUACUGUUCUUCUCUGACUUUUUUUUUUUGUGUUUUGUUUGCUCUGUUUUUUUUUGUGGGUGCUGCCUUUUGGGUUGUUUUUUUUUUGUUCUUGACUCUGUUUUCUGGGUUUAAUUCUCUGCUUGCGACUAGGUUUUCUGCUCCCUUUUAUAGACUACCCAGCUCCUCUCCUUUAACCAGUCCUGUCUUCGCAGGACUCUUAUCUUCCCCGACGAGAUCGUGUGCGAUAGACGUGGUCCACGAUGGGAUCAACUUCGUUGCAGAUCUUCAGCCUGUUGAAUCGGGAUGCAGAAGACGAACACGACUGUUCCACCAUCAACGACGACGUUUCGGUAGCAAUGGAUUUCACCAGUAACGGCGACGUUUCAAGCAGCCAUGGACAUUUUCAAUUUGACCCCUGGACUUUGGAAAUUCGGCAAUUAGACCCCUAAGCAAUUAAAAGUUUCUUUUAAUUUUUCCCUUUUUUGAUUAAUUUCAAUUAAAUCCCUAAAUUAUAACACUAUUUACAAAAUAGUCUUUAAUUUGUGGAUUGUCCCAUUUGGCCCCUUAAUUAAUUAAAUUUUUUACUUUUAAUUCUUUCAAAAUUGAUCAAUUAACUCUCAAGUUACAUUCCCCAAACUUCAAAAUUUAUUGUCUUAACCCCAUUGUCAACUAUAUUUAAUUUUUAUUAUUUGUUCAAAAUUUGGGUUAUGACAGUUGCCCCCUCUUUAUGAUAUUUACGAUGCAAAGAUAUUGAAAAUUUUCAUUUUCUUUAACUUUGUGUAGUAAAUUUAUAAAGAAAAUUAGAUACAGAAAGAACCCUUUUUUUUUUUUUUUUUGUGAUGGUAUAUUGUAAUGGGUUACCAGCCCAAAUGGUCACAUUGUAAUGGUUACCUGCCCAGUAUAUGAUGGUAUGUUUAAUGGGUUACCGGCCCAAAUGGUCACAUUGUAAUGGGUUACCUGCCCAGUAUAUGAUGGUAUGUGUAAUGGGUUACCGGCCCAAAGGGUCACAUUGUAAUGGGUUACCUGCCAGUAUAGGAUGGUAUAUUGUAAUGGGUUACCUGCCCAGAUGGUCACAUUGUAAUGGGUUACCUGCCCAGUUGGUCACAUUGUAAUGGGUUACCAGCCCAGUUGGUCACAUUGUAAUGGGUUACCAGCCUAGAUGGUCACAUUGUAAUGGGUUACCUGCCCAGUUGGUCACAUUGUAAUGGGUUACCUGCCCAAUAUAGGAUGGUAUAUUGUGAUGGGUUACCGGCCCAGUUGGUCACAUUGUAAUGGGUUACCUGCCCAUUGGAAAAAUACAAGGAUUUUUUUUUUUUUUUUAGUAAGACGAGGGCUCGAAGGCGCGCUCGAAUGGAGGUAGGAUAGAAAAUGCACUACCUUUGGUGGUCGAGGGCUCGAAGGCGCGCUCGAAAAGAACUCAGACGAGGGCUCGAAGGCGCGCUCGAAUGGAGAUAAGACGAGGGCUCGAAGGCGCGCUCGAAUGGAGGUAGGAUAGGAAAUGCACUACCUAUGAUGGAAACUGAAAGGUGGUGAAAAAAUACAGAGAUUUUUCUAGUGGCCAAAUUCUCAUGGGCGGCCUGCCCAGGUUGAAAAAUUCUCAAAAAUAAAAAAUUUUCAAUAGCAAUUUUGAGCUUUGGCCAUUUCAAGUUGGCCUUCCACUUGAUGGAUUUCGUUGGAAUUUUCUCAUAUGAAAUUUGCAAAACUCAUUGUUCAAUGUCUCAAAGUUAAAUGAUAUGCAUGCAUCUUUACCUGAUUUGAAAUAUAGGCCCCCAUUUCUUCACAAUCUUCUUGUUGAUUAGUUGGUGAGAUCUUGCUAUCUGAUUUGAGUCAUCUUUGUCGCUUGACUUCCAGCCCACUCGAGUUGGCCCAUGUAAGUCUACUUCCAAAUUUGUUUGCAUAACUCAGCAUUUGUGGUGCCCAUCGUGACCCACUUGCUUGCUAAAGAUUUUUAUUCGUCAAAUAAUUUGAGAGGAUUAUUCAUUACCCCUCGUCUCACUGCUAAAAACAUUCGGUAUCACUUACUGAAAGGAUCGAGCUAUCUUGUAAACCAAAAUGCCCCCUUGUCUGGUUGAAGGAAAUUACCAUCUCCUUUUCUAGAAUCUUUCCUUCUAAACACAAUGUUGCCCCCUUGUAUUGGUUAUUGCCCCUAAGUGUGCUUCUGUCAGCGACUUAGAUAAAUAAAGGUUUUAAGAGGCCAUUCUCUCAUUUCUCUCCUUUUCAGUUUGGUAGAGGAAUAUGGGUCUAGAAUGAAUCUUGAAAUCUUGAUCUUGCAUUUUGAAAACAAAAAUUAUUUCGAUUUGAGUCAAAUAACAAUUUGCUUUUGAAAUCUUGCAACUCCUUGGUUAUUUUCUUUCUGGGAAAAGAGAUUAUUUGCUCUUGUGUUUGGUAACGAGGUCUUCGGUGAAAGUAUAUCAUGAGAUGACCUUUUGUUUUGAAGUGAAGGGCUCGAGAAAAAGCUCAAGGUUUUGUAUGAGAAAAACUUGUCUCUUUUUGAACAUUUAUUUUUAUCAGCAUGAAUAAUAAUGAGUAGUUUAUUCUUGAUGUCAUGAAUCUUAUGAAAAAGUAUUCUUUGCAUUUUAAGAGCAUUGUUUAUUGUUCUAGAUUGCUUGCUUGCUUGAUUAGAAAGGACUUAUACAGGCACGUAACAUAGGCUGUGGUUUUUGGCUAUGAAAGAAAAUGAUUCAUAAGGCUCAAAGAGUGUUUGAGGGUUUCAAAGACUGAAGAUCACAAUCAAUAGUUUGACUUUUGACGUCAUGCAUAUUUUCCUUCGCCGCUCUUCUUUGAUUUGCCCCUUCUUUUUCUUCUUUUUCAUUGCUUCGCUAGAGCAUACUCAUUUUCUCUUGGUUAUCACUUUUUCUUGUGAUUUGGGCAUGCCCCUAGUAUUGGGGUUUCUUGGGCUCUUUUGCCUUUUGGCUUUCUCACGGCUUUAUCCUCCUUCUUGAUCGUCGAAAUUUCACUUGCCCCUUGCUUCGCUAGAGCAUACUCAUUUUAUCUUGGUUAUCACUUUUUCUUGUGAUUUGGGCAUGCCCCCUAGUAUUGGAGUUUCUUGGGCUCUUUUGCCUUUUGGCUUUCUCACGGCUUUAUCCUCUUUCUUGAUCAUUGAAAUUUCACUUACCCCCAGUGUAGGGUGUGAUCUUAGUCGGGAUUUUUAUGAAAUUAUUCAGGCUCAAAAAGGGUUUGCAAGGGAUGUACUUAUUUUAGAAUGUGAAAGGAAUAACAAAGAUGGCCUUUCCUCAUUUCAAGCGCAAGCGGCUAUGAUCAAUAAACUUUGACCUCGUAUAAUGUGAUGGUUUAUUCUUUUCAAAGAUGCCUUUCAUGAGUUAUGAGCAACCAGAUCACUACAUACCAUUAUUCAUACAUUUAAAAACACAUUAUUCAAGAGUCAUGGGGUAAGGGUAUUUUUUUCUUUUCCCUUUUUUUUAGUUUGGUCACCUCUAUGAAGGAGUUGCUUGAUUCACUUGUCAUUCUACAAGUAGAAUGUCAAAAAUAUCGGUUUUUGAAUAAACAUCAAACCAUUUUCGAAAUCAAAAUGCCAGAUCAAUUUUUUCAAAAUUCCAAUAGUGAAACUGACUUUGGUAAAAGUAAUGAAUUGAAUCUAUGAGAUCAUGCAAGGCUUCAAGGGUGUAUUUAUUGAUUCUUUGAAAUCAAUAACAUUUAUGAGAGAGAGAAAAGAUAUACAAAGUGAAUUUCUUGGCCAAACUUUAUUGAUUUGAUGAGAACUUAUACAAUCAUCAAUGACUCAACAAUCAUGGAUAAUAUUUCUUUACAGAAUCAGAAUUCACUGGCCUACUCAAAUCUUCUCCAUCCAUUCCUGUUAGUAUCAAUGCUCCUCUAGAAAAUGCCUUCUUUACUACAUAAGGACCUUCAUAAUUGGGUGCCCAUUUGCUGUGGUUCUCACUAGGUAGUAAUAAGAUUUUUCUCAAUACCAGAUCUCCUUCUUUAAACUCUCUUGAUCGAACUUUUCUGUCAUAUGCUCUUGCUAUCCUGUUUUGAUACAGUUGGUGGUGACAAAUCGCUGCUAAUCUCUUCUCACUGAUCAUAUUUAACUGUUCAUAUCGUAUCUCAGCCCAUUUAGCCUCUUCUAGCUCAGACUCCAUUAGGACCCUUAGAGAAGGAAUCUCUACUUCCAAGGGCAUCACUGCCUCCAUUCUGUAAACUAGUGAAUAAGGUGUAGCCCUAGUUGACGUCCUUACUGCUGUCCGAUAUGCAUGUAGAGCAUAAGGAAGCCAUUCCUGCCAAUCUUUGUAAGUAACCACCAUUUUCUGGACAAUCUUCUUUAUGUUCUUGUUAGCAGCUUCAACAGCACCAUUCAUCUAUGGUCUGUAAGGUGAUGAAUUGGAAUGCUUGAUUUUCCAUUUAGUGCAUAAUUCCGCAAUCAUCUUCCCAUUGAAGUUCUUGGCGUUAUCGGUUACUAUCCUUUCUGGCAGACCAUACCUACAAAUUAAGUCUCUCUCAAUGAAUCGCUUGACCACCUUCUGAGUCACAUUAGCAUAUGAGCAGGCCUCUACCCACUUUGUAAAGUAAUCAAUUGCGACCAAGAUAAACCGAUGCCCAUUGCUGGCUUUUGGAUUAAUAGGCCCAAUCACAUCUAUUCCCCACAUCGCGAAUGGCCAAGGUGACACCAUAUUGAAUAAGGGCACUGGUGGUGCAUUGAUUUUGUCGCUAUACACCUGACAUUUAUGACAUUUGAUGUAACCAUAUUAUUCGAUAGUUUCACCCGCAUUUAACUAGUGUUUUGCAUAUGUUAUUUAUAUAAAAUGCCUUGAUAUUCUUUGUUUUAUGUUUUGAAGGCAUUUUUGGAUGAAAGAUGCAAAAAGGAGUAAAUUGGAGGUAAUUGGCAGAUUUGACGUUCAGUCGGUAUUUUGUGCAGAGCGUGAGUUCCAGAGAUCGAAAUGAAGUGAUUCCAGUGGCAUUAAAAAUUUAACAUCCAUACCUUUUUGGAAAUGUAAUGCAAGAAAAAUAAAAAGAGAAAGAUCAUGGAAAUCACAUCCUUCAAAGUCAAAUCUCGCAGUCUGCCAAUGUUGACCUUUGCCCAUUCAAAAUUCAAUAUCUGGAGCUUCAGAAGUCCAAUUGAUGCAAACUCAAUUGGGUUGGAUUCCUUACUCAAAGAUCUAUAAACGCUCCAAAUUUCAGCCAAAAACGAUGUCAUAUGAGGGAGAUAUGAUUUUUCAAAGAUGACAGCUGAAUUCUGCCAGCAAGCAGGUUGCGUGAAGAAACGAAUCAAAAUUUCAUCCAGAAGCAUCCAAACCGACCAGCAAUUUAGCUCCUCUAGUAAAUAUUCUAGAAGGUCAAGGAAGGCAGCCACCAACCUCAAGGCAGCCACCAACCUCAUGGCAGCCACCAACCUCAACCCAGCAGCCAGCAGCCAGCAGCCAGCAGCCUUCACACUACCACCAUCUAUUGAUGUUCACACUUGAGCUUUGAUAUUUUCUUACUUACAAUUUGUGUAUAAAUAGAGGGUGAGUAGAAGGAGGUAGAAAAAAGAGAAAGAAAAAGGAAGAAACACAAACUCUCCUCUCUACAAAUCAGAAAUUAUGUAUUCUUUCAUCUUUAGGAGUAGUUGUUCAAUAGAUAUGCAAGGCUAAGCUCGUUUUCUUGGUUGCAAGGACACAACAAACCUUCGGAUUUCAAGAACCGUGAGAUUUAUUCUUCCUUUUAUUUUCAGUUUAUGUUAUGAAUGAGUAUGUUUGUUUUCCUAUGCAUAUUUCCUAUGAUUGUUUAUCUUAAUUGCUAGAGCGGACUCUAAGUUAUUAUUGUGAACAAUCUAUUGCUAAGUUUGAUAUCAAAACCGGAGUUGUGGUAUAUAAACUUGUGAAGCAACUAAGCUUGAUAAUUGUAGCGGAACUACGUUAUUAAACUUAGGGAGAACAUUCGAUCAUAGCAACACAAAUUGACAACUUGGUUGUUAAGAUUAAUGAAUUUAUCUGGAUCUUAAGGCUGCCAUUGGAUUAAAUCAUUAGUGCGGACACUGUGAUUGUUUGUUGGUUAGGGAUAGUUAUACGGCGGAUCCGUUAAUUAACCAAUAUUAAGAAAAGAUAAAAUUCAUAAUAUAAACUGGAGUUUCGUUUCAAGGAUCGGUUCUAAUUUCCGUUGGUGGAUGUGUGCUUGCAACCAAGGUUUGUUUUCUUGAUAUAUUUCAGUUUCAAUUGAUUUUGUUUGCUAGUUUAAUUUCUGCCAUAGUUUAAAUCAUUUCAAAUCAAUCCCCCCCAAUUACAUAACGUACAACAUAAAAAUCUAACUUCAAACUUCCUCGUGGGAUCGACCCCUUGCUUGCUCUAUACUAUCUUGUGUGUUUUAAGCUAGGGUAAUUAAUUUGUGCGACCGCGACAUCGCAACAACAUUUUCGGAAAAAUUCUAUACAAUCCUUCUCCAUGGUCAACCAAAAAUACCUAGCUCUUUGCAUUUGUCUCGCCAUCAUGUGUCCAUUUGCAUGGGUGGUGCAAAUUCGUCCAUGCACUUCAUACAAGGCUUUAUUGGCUUCUGAUCUGUCUAAACAUCUUAGUAGAGCCCCAUCAAAUGACCUUUUGUAUAAGAUUUCUCCAUCUAUAAAAUAUUCCAUUGCCAUUCUUCUCAGAGUCUUCUUAUCUGUUUUUGAAGCUUCAAAAGGAUAUUCCCGAUAUUGGAUGAAUCUUUUUAUAUCUGCAUACCAAGGACUUCCAUCCCCUUCUUCUUCUACUAAACAACAAUGAGCAGGAGAACUUCUGAUAUCAAUGCCUAUAGGAUGUACUUUGAUACCGCAAUCAAUUGUGGCCAUGGAGGCUAAGGUUGCUAAAGCAUCUGCAAACUGAUUCUUAUCCCUUCCUAAAUGAUUGAACUCUAUCUCUUCAAAGUCUUCAGCCAAUUUGGAGAGAUAUUCUUGAUAUGGUUUCAAUUUCUCAUCUUUCGUCUGCCACUCCCCCUUUGUCUGGCAGAUUAUCAACAUAGAGUCUCCAUAUACCUCUAAUUUCCUUAUCUUCAACUCCAAUGCAGCUUCCAAUCCAUGAAUACAAGCCUCAUAUUCAGCUGUGUUGUUUGUGCAAUUGAACUGCAACUUAAUGGAUAUGGGAUAUUGUUUUCCUUCUGGAGAAAUUAUUACAGCACCAGCUCCAUUACCAGAUAUAUUCACCGCACCAUCAAAGUACAUGGUCCACCAAUCACCUUCUAUUACAAGCACAUCUUCAUCAGGGAAGUCAAAAUUUAAUGGCUCAUAGUCUUCAACAGCAUUAUCAGCUAAAUGAUCUGCGAUUGCACUUCCUUUCACGGAUUUUCUUGUUUUGUAAAUGAUAUCAUAUUCAGCCAACAACACUUGCCAUCUGGCGAGCCUAUUUGACAUGUAUGGUUUUUCAAAGAUAUAUUUGAUAGGAUCUACCUUUGAAAUUAACCAAGUGGUAUAGUAUAGCAUAUACUGUCGGAGCCUUUUCGCACUCCAAACCAAACCACAACACAACUUCUCAAUCAUGCUGUAACGAGAUUCACACUCAGUGAAUUUCUUACUCAGGUAGUAGAUGGCUUGCUCCUUUCUCCCAGACUCAUCAUGUUGGCCAAGCACACAGCCCAUUGCUGAUUCAGUCACUGUUAAAUACAAAAUGAGAGGCUUUCCCGGCACCGGUGGAACCAAUAGAGGUGGUUUCUGCAAAUAUUGUUUAAUCUUAUCAAAGGCUUCUUGACAGUCCUCAUCCCAUACUCCGGGGUUUCUCUUUCGAAGUAAUCGAAAGAUUGGUUCACAAGUGACUGUAAGUUGUGAAAUAAAUCGAGCAAUAUAAUUUAAACGUCCCAAAAAGCCUCGAACCUCUUUCUCAGUUUUAGGAGCUGACAUAGCUUGUAUGGCCUUCACUUUAUCAGGAUCUACUUCUAUGCCAUUAUUGCUCACCACAAAUCCCAAUAACUUCCCAGACUUCACCCCAAAUGUGCAUUUUGCAGGGUUCAGCUUUAAUUGAUAUUUUCUCAGCCUUUCAAUAAAUUCUUCAGAGCUGGGAUAUGGUUUUCCUCAUCCUUAGACUUAGCAAUCAUAUCAUCCACAUAGACCUCAAUUUCUUUAUGCAUCAUAUCAUGAAAUAGUGUCACCAUUGCUCUUUGAUAAGUUGCCCCAGCAUUUUUCAGUCCAAAUGGCAUAACUUUAUAGCAAUAUGUUCCCCACGGGGUAACAAAUGUUGUUUUUUUCUUGUCUUGCUCGGCCAUUUUAAUCUGAUUAUACCCAGAGAAACCAUCCAUAAAAGAGUAAGUAGAACUCUUAGCAGCAUUAUCUACUAAUACAUCUAUGUGGGGUAAAGGAAAAUUAUCCUUCGGGCUUGCCUUAUUCAAAUCUCGGAAAUCCACACAUACCCUGAUUUUGUUGUCUUUCUUGGGUACUACUACGAUAUUGGACACCCAUUGAGAAUAAUCAACUACUUCCAAGAAUCCAGCAUCCCACUGUUUUGUUAUCUCUUCUUUCACUUUGAUUAGUAUAUCCGGCCUUGUCCUCCUCAACUUUUGCUUAACCGGCUUACAACCUUCUAUCAAAGGUAGUUUAUGUACCACAAUAUCAGUAUCCAGACCAGGCAUAUCAGCGUAUGACCAGGCAAAAACAUCAAUGUAUUCUUGUAAAAGAGCAAUCAAUUCACUUCUAACGUCAGCAGAGAUUAGCUUCCCUAUUUUCAACUCUCUUUUAUCAUGUACUGUGCCCACAUUUAUCAGUUCUAGUUCUUCUUUUGCAGGCUUCCAUGUGCGAUCAGAUUGUUCCGCUAACUUUGCGAAUUCAUGAAUAUCCUCCUCACCAAAUUCUUCCUCAUCCAUGGCAAUUAUAGUUUCAUCAAAGUUAGGCCAAUUAUCCACAGUGCAAUGAGUUUGUGGGGUGUACGACGAUCCGCUUUCAGAUUUCUUUUUGAAAACAAUUGGGACUUCUUGAAUUUCCCAAUUUGCUAAAUCUUCUCCCUCGGCCAGUUUUCUCACGAAUUCUAAUGAGUCGUCUUCCAAAACACCAAUAGUCAGCUGGGGCAACUGUUCAUGAGCAUUAUCCUCUUCCUUUAAAUCUUGUUCACCGACGUAUUCAAGAUAAUUAAUAGUAGCACCAUUGAAUUCUUUUCUUAGUCCCUCCUCAUAAUCCUCUGUUUUUAUCACAUAUGCGGAUCUUGGAAAUGUUACAUGGAUUGGUGGGAUCUCUAUUCGAUCUUCAUCUGGUUCUCUUCUCUCAAUCCGGGCUAUUCUCUUUUCUCUUCUAAUUUCAGCUGCUCUUUUGAAAUCUGCUUUCCCAGGCUUAAACCCUAAGCCAAACUUUUGAUCUGCGCACUUCAUUUUUAUCACAUUAAUCCUCUCAGGCAUUCCGGUAGUAUGGUCAUAUUGAAAUGGCAGUCCAUGCUUUAAGAAGUAUUUAGCAGCCAUUUUUGCUGCUUCGGAAACUUCUGGCUUUCUUCGUACCGUAUUUUCUGGUACCCAUUCAGCAUUUACAACUUCAAAUGCAUGCAGAUUUUCAUCCUUACUUUCUUCAGUUUCUAUGUAAGGGAUCGAGACAUUUUUUAUCAUUGACAAAGUUUCCUCAGCUCUCACAGUCACCAAAUUCCCAUUGAUGAUAAACUUGACCCGUUGAUGUAAAGAAGAUGCGACAGCUCGGGCUGCAUGGAUCCAAGGUCUCCCUAGUAAAAUGCUAUAUGAUGGAUGAAUGUCCAUUACUUGUAAUGUGACUUGGAAUGGUUGUGGGCCAAUGAUUAGUUCAACAUCAAUGCUCCCAGUGAUUGGUCUAGAUGACCCAUCAUAUGCCCUAGCAGUCAUGGUACUUGGCUUCAUGUGAGAAGCAUCAACUGGCAUUUUAUCAAGUACAUGUCUUGGCAAUACAUUAAGAGAAGAACCAUUAUCUAUAAGCACCUUAGCAAUCACACAAUCCUUGCAUUUUACCGUGAUAUGCAAUGGUUUAUUAUGACCGGUUCCUUCAUGAUCAAGCUCAUCAUCGGUAAAAUAAAGGUAAUUGGUGGCUUGAAUCCGACCCACCAAAUGUCCUAUGGAAUCUUGUGUGAUAUCUUGAGGAACAUAUGCUUCAUUAAGAACCUUCUGAAGGGCGUUCCUAUGCAAUUCUGAACUCAAUAUUAAUGACAACAAAGAAAUCCUAGCGGGUGUUUUCUUUAGCUGAUCAACCACACUAUAUUCGCUGUGCUUCAUCAAUUUUAGAAAUUCAUUAGCCUCUUCAUCACUUACUGGUUUAUUAACCUCAUCUGUCUUUGUCAAUUCUAUCGUAUCCUUUCCUUUGGCUUUUCUAUGGUUUUCCAACUCUUCAGGAGUAAAACAUCUCCCACUCCGAGUGAGUCCUCCUACUUCCGUAUGGAAAACAGGGGCAGGCUUUGUGCUGUGAAAGGAAUAACCAUAAUUAUAGGGUUGGGCAUUAUAGCUUCCGCUAACAAUGUUCGUAGGCUUUGUUAGGAUCAUUUUUGGCGGACCCCUUUCAGUUGGUAUGUAUCUACAAACUUCCACUUUUCUGUUACAACCAGUCAUUGUUCCUACUAACUCAUCUUCUUUGGGUUUCAUCAAUCUUAACAUUCCCAACGCCAUCAUAUUUUCUACCUCCAAAUGAAACUCCUCGCACGAGUCAAUAUCAUGCCCAAACUGCUGAUGAUAUUUACAAUAUUCAUUCGCAUUCCCUACAGCUUGUAUUUUGACUGGUGUCUUUAGAUAAUCUGUUUGCCUUAACAUCCCAUACAAUCUAUCCAUAGUCACCCUUAAAGUUGUUGUACCUCCCUUUCCUAUCUCCAAGUUAUUAACUCCCCCACCUCCAGAAGCGUGAUUUGGUAGAGGGUUAAAAUUCACAUUUGGAGACUCAUCAAAAGAAAUCCACCCAGCUUUGAUGAGCUGAAGGAUUUUUCUUUUGAAUGCAACACAUCCAUCAAUAUGAUGACCAACAGCACCAGCAUGGUAUUCACAUUUUUGAUCGGGUUUAUACCAAAAGGGAAAUGGUGGUUGUAAAGGUUCUAAGGGAACAGGUGCUACCUGACCAAUACUAAGCAAUCUUUGGUGCAUUUCAGUAAGAGACAUGGGUAAUGGUGGAAGUUGCACUUGAUCUAUUGGAAAAUUUCUUCUCGGACGGUAGGCAUUAUCGGUUUGGUUUUUAUUGGGUUAUUUUGGGUGUUUGUAGGUGAAGAGAAUUUUAUAUUGGAUAUAGAGGGGGUAGGUGUAAUACUUUUGGAGCUGUAAUUAUCUUGGUAAGUGUUCUUCCCUCUACUUUCCCUUUCAACAUUGUGAACUUUCGCUUCUUUUCUUUUUCCAAUAAAACCUCUUUUUUCAGUAGGAUCCACGAUCCUGCCCGUCCGAACAGCUUGUUCGAUCCUUUCAGCUAUAACAACCAAAUCAGAGAAAUUUUGUGCAGCACUACCUACCAAGUAUUCAAAGUACGGGGCUUUGAAAGUGUUGGAAAAUAAACCAGUCAUCUCCCUUUCCGACAAUGGAGGAUUUACUUGCGCGGCUGAUUCCGCCACCUUUGGGCAUAUUCUCUUACAGACUCCUUAUUGCCUUUUUCCAUGGCUUGCAGACUUGAUCUAUCUGGGGCAAUGUCCAUGUUGAACUUAUACUGUCUAAUAAAAGCUUCAGCUAAAUCCUUCCAUCCUUUAAUCUUGGUAUUAUCCAAACGCAUAUACCAAGCAAGAGCAGCAUCACUUAAACUAUCCUGAAAGAAAUGGAUCAAUAACUUCUCAUCAUGGACUACUUCAGCCAUCUUAUUACAGUAUGCUUUAAGAUGGGUGAUUGGGCAUUGAGUUCCAGUAUAUUUAACAAAUUCUGGAACUCUGAAUUUUCUGGGAAUAACCACAUUAGGCACUAAACACAUUUCAGCAGCCUUUACCGGAUCAUACAAACUAUUCCCCUCUAUUGCCUUCAUUCUUUCUUCUAAAGCAGCUAGUUUUUCCUGACCAUUUUCCUCUACGAUCUUGUUCCUUUGAGGUUCUUCUUCUAUCAACACAGUGUGGGGGACCCUCAUUGGAUGUGCUGAUUGAGUAGGUGCGAAAUGAGCAGCAUGUUGAGGCUCAAAUAGCGGAACAACAGGAGGCGGAGGUUGAGGUGUAAAUGUUUGUUGAGAAGAUGUCCCUUCUCCAACUCUAGGCCUCAAAGCUUGUUCAAGCAAGCUGGUAAGCCUUGCUACAUCCUCUUUCAGGCUUUCCAUCUCUCUUUGGUGUUGAACCAGCUCUCUUUGGUGUUGAAUUUCUAGCUGAUUUCUCUCUUCAUUUUCCAUUUUCUUUCGUGAACGAGUAUUAUGAAUACGUUUAGGUUGGGGACCUAUAUUUCACCUGUUAUAUGCAGAAUAUGACAAUCUAUAAGCAAAUGUAUGUGAUGCAUGAAUGUGAAUGCCACAUAUUGGAUAUAGAUUCGCUUUUUGUUGGUGACAUAUGGCCAUCAUUCUUUGGAUAUAUGGGUUGAACUUGAACUUGAUAUCAUUGUUCGAUGCCGAGAAGAAAUCUGCUUAGCUUUUUGACAUUUGGGCUUUCAGCUAUAUACACAUAUCUUUGCAUUGAAAAAUGUGGGUCUCAGCCCUCUUAUUACUUAUUCAGAAACUUACAGUAAAAAUUAAUCUAAUCUAUUACAGGAGAAAAAACACUGCCUCUAGUAGCUAUUGCUUUCAAAAAAAGAUCGGUGUUAUCCAUGCUUCUUCGAUAUUUCAUUAUAUCUCCUCCCACCUGACGAGCUUCCACUCGUAAUAAAUGGGCUUCUGCAGCUGCUCGAUUAAUCUGAUCUUGUAGUUCCCUUAUCCUCUCAGUAUGAAUCAAGUUGUUUCUAGACAAAAAGUUAUUGGCAUCAUCCAAUGUUUGAUUAUGUUGCUUUAUCAUUUUUUGGUUUCCCAUAAGUUGUACGGUCUUUAAUUUUUCUUUGUCCAACUUAGAUCUCAACGCUUCUGCUUCAGCCUUAUGACUGUUCAACUCUGCUUUCUGCUCUUCGUGCAUUUUAGUUAAAGCCUCAGCUCUUCCUAAUUGGUCUUUAAACUUAACAAUGUCUGCCCGACGCAUUUUCAAUAUUGCUUGUGUCUUGAUGGCUGACUCUUCCCAAUGCUUAGCUUUUUCCAUGUAAUAUGUCAUGUCCUGAUUAAUUGUCUUUUGUGUUUCCAAGUCAGUCUUUGCCUUUAUCAAGUCUUGACCACCAGAGUCCCUUUCUUCUUCAGCUAUUUUCCUUAAACCCUUUUCUUUGGCUAGCUGCCGCUCUAAAGACACUCUAUGUUCCUCAUUUGCUUUAAGCUCAGCUUGUAACGCUUUUACUUGUUUUCUUAAUUCUUCUUCACAGUUUACUCUUUUUCUUCGAAUGCCCACAGACUCAGAAACUUCUGCCAUAUAAGAGACUCCUCCAUUACGCCAUUCAGAAUACUUUUCACUAACUGUAGGAUUCCUUAAUCCAGUCUCCUUUUUCACAAGUACCAAAGACUUCCAAUCCUGUUUAAUGCUCUCCAACAUCUCCAUGGUAGCUCCUUUGUACACUCCAGUAAAUUGAGAUAAACCAACCGUUCUUGGGAUGCUUUGUAUGCCCCCAAACUGUCUUGCAACUAAAGCAGGCGCAUAGCUAAUAUAUCCAGUCACUCCAAUCAAAGGUACCCAAGGCUUCUUUCCACAACUCAUUAAGUACGUUACAUUUCUCAUCCAAGGAGCUCUCCAAUUAAACUUGCUUCGUGGAAUUCCUUGUAAUUUUACCCCCCAGUCAUCUUCAGAAAAUAUUUUCCAUUCACUUGAUACCAAUAACUCUAGUGGCCUUUGAUCAAACCACCAAAAAUUCCGGAAUAUUGGUGUCUCGGAUUCUAUAUGACUUACCAUCCAAAUGAACAAUAAUGGCACACAACAUCUCAUAGAACCUUUUCAAGUCUUUUUGCAAUGAUUGAGGGACAAAAAAGUUUCAGCCAAAAUCGCAGCAGAAGGAUUAAUUUUAGUCUUCUCAUACUCAACAAACAAAUUGGCUGCCUCUAAACUAACAAUUCCAGCAGAUGAAGGGCACAAAAUCAACCCAAAUAUUCCCAAAGCCAAUAUUCUGUAUACUUCUACUUUAGCACAUGGAUUAGACUUUUUAGCAAUCAACAACUCUUCUAGCCGUUUCCAUCUCAAACCCCUAGAAUUAUUUUUUUCUCUAUACAAACUCAUUUGUUGGAUUCCCAAUAGCUUAGCAAGCUCCUCUAUAGUAUCCUCAGUCUUUUGAUGAAAGUAAACCUUAUGUAUAUCCUCAAGAAAUUCUGUCAAAACACCAUACUUGUCGAUACACGACGUCGGGCGACGGCUCCGCUCUUUUUGUUGUAUUUUAACAAAAAAAGAUUUUUUAUUAUUGGGGGAAAUAGAUUUUAUUGGAGUCGCCAUCUAGUAAUUUGAGGGAACUAGAAAUCCCAAAUUAGACACUGGUCCUAGAGAUUCAGGUACUGGGUUAGUUAUGAUUAAGGGAAGGUAGACACCACCCUUAAAACAUCCUUUCAAAAGAAAGGUUACCCUUACUUGUGUGUUUUUAUAUUUGAUUCAAAUGCUAUUAUAUUUUGAGCUUAUUUGUAAUUUUUGUUUUGUUUAUAAAAUAGUUAACGUCGGUCCCUAAAAUUAGGAGACACGUUAAAAAUGACAUCAGUCCCUAAAAAUAGGAGACUCGUCUAAGAUAUCGACGUUUAACCCUAAAAAGGAGAUUUUCAUCCGAGUUACCAAAAAAACAAAAUUAUGGACAUAAUCCAUAUUUGUUUGGUUUUUAAAGUUUUUAUUUGACAUCGGUCCUUUUCUAUAAAAAGAGACGUGUCCACAAACAAUAUUUGUUUAUAAAAACAAAUAUUUUGAUAUUGUUGAGAUAUGGGUAUAACUAUAUUUGAAAAUUGGGCUUUGGACCCACAAACAAUAACAUGAUGGGAUGGGCGUUGGACCCACGUCGUUAUUCUUUUUAUACUUGUUUUUUUGUUUUUUUAUUUUAUUUUACAACAUGCAAUAAAAAUUUACAAAUAUUUACAUAAAAUAAAAUGUUAGGAAUUCAACAAAAAUUACCUGAGUACCCCUGUAUAUGUAAAAGACUGAAAUACCCUCGGAUUUUUCAGGAAUUUAUGAAAAUGCCACUGGCGGCGCGUGUGGCUCACGCGCGGCUACUGUUGGCACUGGCGAAGUUUCCCGGCGAGCUUUCUGGGAAACGAACCGUCGAUCCUGGUAGAUCUGAAGGAGAGGAUUCUGAUGGUGGUGGUCUCGACGUCCGUUGAUGGCUGACGAGGGAGAAUCAGCGACUUGAAGCUUCGGUGGCCGGCGAGGAUCGCGACCUUUUUCCGGCCAGAUGAGGCGGCGAAAACGGUUAAAAACGCCGGGGUUUUGCUUUAAACCAGUGGAUCAACCUUUCUGCGGUGGUGCGGAGGCUGGAGGCGGCCGGAAAGGGGAGAUCGGAUGAGAGAGAGAGCGUCGCCGGCGAGAGGAGAGAGAGAGUCCGAGAUUAGGCUACGGUGUGAACGCGUGCAUGGUAUACCGGUACCACUGAACACUUUGCGCCGUUGGAUCUCUGAUGGAAUGAUCGGAUGGCUGUGAUUGGCUAGAUCUGAGGUCGAUCGCACGGUAUGGAUGAGUCUGGGUUUAGAUCCGGUGUGACGCGGUGUACCGAAAUCUCGGUACACCGGAUGACGUGGCUUAACGGGAUUAAGUCUUGAAUUAUUUCAAUGGCUGAGAUGAGUUGGGAUAUAUUUGGUAUUUUUUAAAUUGUUUUUUUAAGAAAACAAUAUCCUACUCCUGUGAAGAAAAACUCAAAAAAUAUGCACAGUAACCAUUCUUUCUCUUCUUCUCUGGCUUUGUUUUCCCGUUCCCCUCCUUUUUUUCUUUUCUUUUUUUUUUCUUCCCCCCAUUUUCUGGCGAUGCUCACUGCCUAUUUAUAGGCAGUGAACAAUAAUAUAAGAAUUGAUUUCUGCCUAAAUUUGCCUAAUUGUAAGAAGAAAAAAAAAGUACUUGCCUAACAUUACCUAAUAUGACAAAAAAAGUUUUUGUUUUAUUAUAUAUAAUAAUAAAUAUUUACAUAGAUAAAAUUAAAAACUCAAAUCAGUAUUAGAAAAAGCUCGAUUCAACCGCUAAAAAUCAAUUUUAAUUACCGAAAAUUAUGUCGAAACAUUAAAAAAAAAAAAAAAAAAAAAACAAGUAUAAAAAGAAUAACGACGUGGGUCCAACGCCCAUCCCAUCAUGUUAUUGUUUGUGGGUCCAAAGCCCAAUUUUCAAAUAUAGUUAUACCCAUAUCUCAACAAUAUCAAAAUAUUUGUUUUUAUAAACAAAUAUUGUUUGUGGACACGUCUCUUUUUAUAGAAAAGGACCGAUGUCAAAUAAAAACUUUAAAAACCAAACAAAUAUGGAUUAUGUCCAUAAUUUUGUUUUUUUGGUAACUCGGACGUAAAUCUCCUUUUUAGGGUUAAACGUCGAUAUCUUAGACGAGUCUCCUAUUUUUAGGGACUGAUGUCAUUUUUAACGUGUCUCCUAAUUUUAGGGACCGACGUUAACUAUUUUAUAAACAAAAAUUACAAAUAAGCUCAAAAUAUAAUAGCAUUUGAAUCAAAUAUAAAAACACACAAGUAAGGGUAACCUUUCUUUUGAAAGGAUGUUUUAAGGGUGGUGUCUACCUUCCCUUAAUCAUAACUAACCCAGUACCUGAAUCUCUGGGACCAGUGUCUAAUUUGGGAUUUCUAGUUCCCUCAAAUUACUAGAUGGCGACUCCAAUAAAAUCUAUUUCCCCCAAUAAUAAAAAAUCUUUUUUUGUUAAAAUAAACAAAAAGAGCGGAGCCGUCGCCCGACGUCGUGUAUCGACAGAAUGGCGACUCCACUGGGGAUAGGGUUGAACCAACUGCUUGUGUGUGCUUUUCAUUUUUUUUUAUUGCUAUUUAUUUUUUUGAGUAUUUAUUUUAUUUGCACUAUUUAUUUUAUGCAAUAUCAAUUGUAAAUCAUUUCAUUUUUUAAUUACACAUGCAUGCAUGUUAUUUAUUUGUGUAUUCACACACUUAACAGUGAACCCAUAAAAGCUCUGGACCCGAGCUCGUCCUUUUUAAGAUUAGAAAAGAAAGAUUCAGGUGGCAAGUGUGACUUAUGUCCACUGAUGCUCAUAUGGACUUUCGCUUGGAUUGUAACUCACCCUAUAUAACGGGUAUUGUGGAAUUUUCUUCCCAUACUCAUGUUGUAUAAGGUUAAGAGGCCGACUACCCCAUGGGUAAUUCGGGCAAUCUAAGAACCAAAAAAAUAUCUUCAGGGAUAGACUAAACUGAGCCAAAUCUUAUGAGCUAGAUCCUAUCAAUUAAGAUAACCUUUUAGGACACAAACAAAUGUCAAUGCAUUAACAUGCAUGUUUAUAUACAUUUCAUAUUCUCAUUAAAUCUCCACCGAUCCUUAUAGGAAGUGUGAAAAAAAAAAAAAAAAAAAAACAUUACUAUUGAGGAAUUUUUGACCAGAUCAAAAUUGAACCAACAUGAUAAAGGGGAUUGUUUGCCAUCAGAACAUGGCAUCAAAUUUCUCCCCUAAAUCGGUUCAAGUCCCUGUAGGUUUGGAGUCCUCAGUGAGAACUUUUUUAAGAGAAUUUGAUCUGGUCUGUUCCUCGUCAUAAGUUAAAGUAAAAUUUGAAACCAAUAACAAUCAUGCAUACACCAUAUGACAAUUUGCAUCCAUUUGUGCAUUUCAUUUAGUUUACUUGCAUUCACUCAGGUUGAAAUAUAGGUCCCCCAAAAGGCCACAAAAUUCAUUACACUCGAUUACAAAGGAAGAUAAUGGAGAACGAAGAAAGGGCACACCUGGAGGCUCAUUAUCAAAGAGAGUUGGAGAACAUGAAAAAUGAUAUAGCACGACUUACGAGUCUACUCGAGCAGGCCCUAGUAGCCAAGUCUGGGGAAGGUACCUCUACUCAGCCAGCAGUUGCAACUCCAUCUAUAUCUAUGCCAGCAGCUCCCUUUGUAUUCCCGCCUCAAAAUUUAGGGGCAAAUCCCUCUGCAUUUGAACAGCAGUUCACUGCCAAUGUUCCACCAGCACAAGUGCCAGUUACUGUAAAUCUGGCAACUGAUGACCCACAAAGGAUGAAAUUCUCUGAAAAUGUCGAUUAUGAUAAAUUGACCGCUCUAGAAGAGAGAUUGAAGGCAGUAGAAGGGGCAGACUUAUAUGAUCCUGUUUAUGCUGCAGAAAUGUGUUUAGUUCCAAAUGUAGUUGUACCUAGAAAAUUUAGGGUACCAGAAUUCAUCAAGUAUACUGGAACUGAAUGCCCAGUCACUCAUCUUAAAUCUUAUUGCAAUAAGAUGGCAGAAGUAGUGAAUGAUGAGAAACUUCUCAUCCAUUUCUUUCAAGACAGUCUUUCUGGAUCGGCAUUAAGCUGGUAUACAAGGCUGGAUAACACCAAGAUCAGAAAGUGGAAAGAUUUGGUAAAAGCCUUUGUGGAGCAGUAUAAAUUCAACAUGGAGGUAGCCCCAGACAGGUCAAGCUUGUUAAUCAUGGAGAAGGGCAACAAAGAGACUGUCAGAGAAUACUUUGAGAUGGCGUGAAAAAGCAUCUCAUGUGCAACCCUCUUUGUUAGAAAAAGAAAUGGUCACUCUGUUUUCUAACACUUUUAAAUCUCCAUACUUUGAACACCUGGUGGGUAGUUCAGCUCAGCAUUUCUAUGAUGCUGUAACUAUCGCUGAGAGAAUAGAACAAGCGAUAAGAGCGGGGAGAAUGUCAGAGCCUACUGAGAAGAAAGGCUUUACUGGGAAAAAGGAUGCCGAUGUGAACAAUGUGGAAGGAGUGUAUAGGGGUAUGAAAAAGAAUUACCAUCAUUAUAACUUCCAAAUACCCACCCAACAAGUUGCAAGUGUAAACUUCACUAAACAUUUCCCUACCAACCAACAAAAUCAACCAAAUAACCAAGAAAGUAACCAGAUUGUUAAUCCUCCAAGAAGGAAUUUUCAAAGAACCCAAGAACGACUGCCACCAUUACCACUUCCCUUAGGAGAAAUGUACUCAAAGUUGUUGAGUAUUGGGCAAGUAGCCCCUAUUCCCUUAACCCCACUGCAACCUCCAUACCCAAAUUGGUAUAAGCCAGAUCUGAAAUGUGAGUAUCAUGCUGGCGCUGCUGGGCAUAACAUUGAAAGCUGUAAUGCAUUUAAGAACAAGCUUUUGCAAUUGAUAAAAGCUGGAUGGAUAUCUUUUGAUGAUGCACCAAAUGUGAAGUCCAACUCUUUGCCCAAUCAUGCAAGAGAAUUCAAAGAAGGGGAUCUUGUACUAUGAAAAUCUUGCCAUUACCAAGUGAAGACCGAAGCAAGUGGGCACCAAACUAUGAAGGCCCAUAUGUAGUGAAGAAAGCAUUCUGGAGAGCUCUGUUGUUAACUAGGAUGGAUGGAGAUGAUUUACCUAGGCCUGUGAACUCUGACUCUGUGAAGAAGUAUUAUGUAUGAUGUGUUUCAUCCAAUCAAAUCAAUAAAGUUUUGGCCAGGAAAUUCUCUUUGCAUUAUACCUCACCAAAAAGCCCAUGUAUGAUCUCAAUGGCUCAACAAUUUGAUAAUUCAAACUUUUUUUUACUAGGAGAAUCCAUUCUUCUUAAAUGGGGUUUUAAAAGAACUGAUUUUGUUUGUGAUUUCAAUGAAAUAAAUCAAUGAUUUUGUUUGGAAUAAUGUUCAGAACAACUCCCUUGAAAGAGAUGACCAAACAAGUCAAAAACAUGCAAUCGGAACAACUAUCACCCAAAUCAUGUCUUAGAUCCACAUUUUAUCAGCAUGAAUAAUGGUUGGUAGUACAUUAGUUUGUCAUGGACUCCAAAACAUGGUCUCUUACAAAUCCAAAGCAUUACAUUGGAUGUGGACAAAGUUUAUUGGUUUUAACUGAUCUUACUUGAAAUGAGGAAAGGCCAUCUUUGAUAUUCCUUUCACUUUCUUUAAAAUUAUCCUUUGCAGUCCCAAUUUGAGCCGAGUCUAUUUAAAGCCUUUUCUUUCACAAGAACCUUAACUAAGAUCACACCCUACACUAGGGGGCAAAAAAGAGAAAUAUGAUUAAGAAAAUUGUCUUGAAGGUUGUGAGCUUAUGAAGAAAGUCUGACAAUAAAGAAUUCAAUAAAACUCCAAACAAUUGAAAGAAUUCCUAACAAAGAUGGGAAUAAAAAAAAAACAGAAGUUCUCAUUUGAAUAUUUAUCAUCAUUUUUGUUGUCAAGUAGCAAAAGAAAAUGCCAAGACAAGAUAAUAGUGAUCUAUAGUUUAUAAGCCCUUAAACACUUUUUUGAGCUUAUGGAAUACUCUUUCUUUUAUAGCCUUGAGCCAUGAAAUACAUUACGUGCCUUUGAAGUCCUUUCUAAUCAAGUAAGCAACCUGGAUCAAUAAACGGCGUUCUCAAAAUAUAAGAGACUUUUCCAUAAAGAGUCAUGGCAUAGCAAAUAAUUACUCGUUAUUAUUCAUGCUGUUAAAAAGAGUGUUUUCUAAAGAUACAAGGCAAAUUGUUUCUUUUCUCUAAAAUACCUCAAGAAAUCACUUGAACACUUUGAAAACCAAAGCAGAAGGUCAUCUCAUCACUUACCUUCAUCUUAGAUUACUUUUACUAAGAGAUUUGACAUAAAGCUCCAGAGUUGACUGAACAUUGUUAUAAACAGACAUUGAGAGUUUCAGUUUUCGAGAACAAAACAGAUCUUUUGAAAAAUCAUUUUUGAAAAAAGGGUUUUCUUUGUAAGAAAAAUGAAUAUACGGCACACUACGAGGCCCCAUUAGAAAAUCAGGGAUUCUAAUGACAACAAGAGCAAAGGAGGAAAUGAAUUGAGGCAGUUAAUUCUCCCAGGGGGCAGAGAAGCAGUUACUAGAUCCUUAAUGGCACUAAGAAAUUUGCUUCCCUAGUGGAAAAUACACAUGAUAAAACUGUGGACUUCUUCCAGCAUGAGGGCUGAAAUAGUAUGAUUUACAGUAUCCAUGAAAGGAGAUUGUUGACACUCACAAUAUGAUCAGUUAGACAACAAGAUAACUGGUACAUCUUCAGUAAGAGGAAUGCAGAUGAAAUCCUAGGUGAAGCGGGAUAAUCCUCUUACAUUGACCAUAUGAAUUGGUUAAAGAAUCUUCAAUAAUGGGAAUGUUGCCUAUAGAACAAUGUCGAGCCAGGGAGAAGUUAAUUUUCUCAGUGAAGUUACCAAUAGAGAAAAGUGCAGUGACUGUUGGGAAACUUAAACAAAGCGUAUCUUAGAAGAAUGAACAACAAGGGUCGGCUUGAGUAGACUUGAAGUACGUGUAAAUCAAAAGAGCUCACUCAAAGUCAAGACCCUCAAACACAAUGGAUGGGGAUCUAUAUUUCAAAAACAGGUAAGAUGCAUUGCAUAUCAUCUAACUUCACGAGCAUUGCAUAUUUGUUUUGCAGAUAUUUCACGAAACAAAACUCCUCACGGGAUCCAACGAGACUCGGAUGAAAUGACGUCCUUCUAAAUCAUAUCAAGUAUGGCAAUUCCACAAAGGCAAAAUUCAUGAAUGAAGACGAGAAGAUGGAUUUUUAUUCAUAGGCAUAAUGGUUUACAAGUACAAACGUUAAACACUGCGAGGACGAUUAGGGAUAUUUUCAUCUUGAUGGCCAAUCAUGCCUCGGAAUUCCUCAAAUUGCUUAUGCAUGCGCUCCAUCUCUUCCUCGAACUCGAGGUGUCGGGUGUUAACAUAGUCCCUCCAAAAGUCAACACGUGCAUUGAGCUCUUGGUUUCUCCUCUCCAAUUCGUUCCUGUGACGUCUCUCAUCACGGAGUCUUUUCCUUAAAUUCUCAAUUUGAUUAUGGAGCUCAGGAAUUUGAGUAUUCAACUCAAGUCUUCUGGUAUGAAGACGCUCCGCAACAUUCACCAAAGACGAAGUAGCUCUGAUACUGAGAGCAAGUGACUGAUUCACUGCUUCAAUAUCGGUCCUCGCUGCCAGCAUCAUUUCAUCACGAGGAAGGAUCAUGUCUCUAGCCACAGCUACAGCGGUAUCUUCAUCAUCCAUUACAGUAUCCUCUAUUGUAACUGGACGACCAUUCACUUCAAAGGUAGUACGCCAAACUACAGGCUCUGCCUCAGGAACAAGGUUUGGAUUAGCAUUGGAAGAAGAAGAAGACAUGGUUAAAACUUCAAAAGUUAAGAACUUUGAGAGUAUUGAAAAUGCGAGAAGUUGAUGAUGUCUUUUGCCCAAUACUGCGUGAUUUAUAGGGAAUCUGCUCCUACCAUCAUUUUGAACAGAAGAUGAGAUCUUAGUCGUAGAUACAAAACUUCCUUGGGAAGUUUUCCUCAUCUUUUGGGAUCCAUUUCCAAAUCAAAUCCCAACCGUACAUAUAAGACUUUCUUGAGAAGCUUUCCUGAUCCAUUUACAGAUCAAAUCUCAAUCGUACAUACAAGACUUUCUUGAGAAGCUUUCAUCAUCUCUGAGAUCGAUUUACAAAUCAGAUCUCAACCAUACAGGUAUGACUUCCUUUAAAAUUUUUCAUCAAUCUUAAAGCUCAUUGCUGAAAUCACUUUCAUGUAUUUCACAAAACCUAUAUUGAAAUCACUUUCAAGCAUUUCACCAUCGGGCAGGUCGCCUGGAACAAUUUGACCACUUGCGAGUUUCCUCGCAUUUUUUUCAUUUAUCGGGCAGGUCGCCUGGAACAAUUGACCACUUGCGAGUUUCCUCGCAUUUUAUCAUCGGGCAGGUCGCCUGGAACAAUUUGACCACUUGCGAGUUUCCUCGCAUUUUUUUUUCAUUUAUCGGGCAGGUCGCCUGGAACAAUUUGACCACUUGCGAGUUUCCUCGCAUUUUUUUUCAUUUAUCGGGCAGGUCGCCUGGAACAAUUGACCACUUGCGAGUUUCCUCGCAUUUAUCGGGCAGGUCGCCUGGAACAAUUUGACCACUUGCGAGUUCCUCGCAUUUUUUUCAUUUAUCGGGCAGGUCGCCUGGAACAAUUUGACCACUUGCGAGUUUCCUCGCAUUUUAGCAUCGGGCAGGUCGCCUGGAACAAUUUGACCACUUGCGAGUUCCUCGCAUUUUAGCAUCGGGCAGGUCGCCUGGAACAAUUUGACCACUUGCGAGUUUCCUCGCAUUUUAUCAUCGGGCAGGUCGCCUGGAACAAUUAGACCACUUGCGAGUUUCCUCGCAUUUUUUUUUAUCGGGCAGGUCGCCUGGAACAAUUAGACCACUUGCGAGUUUCCUCGCAUUUUCAUUUAUCGGGCAGGUCGCCUGGAACAAUUGACCACUUGCGAGUUUCCUCGCAUUUUUUUCAUUUAUCGGGCAGGUCGCCUGGAACAAUUUGACCACUUGCGAGUUUCCUCGCAUUUUAGCAUCGGGCAGGUCGCCUGGAACAAUUUGACCACUUGCGAGUUCCCUCGCAUUUUAGCAUCGGGCAGGUCGCCUGGAACAAUUUGACCACUUGCGAGUUCCUCGCAUUUUAUCAUCGGGCAGGUCGCCUGGAACAAUUUAGACCACUUGCGAGUUUCCUCGCAUUUUUAUCGGGCAGGUCGCCUGGAACAAUUAGACCACUUGCGAGUUUCCUCGCAUUUUUUUUAUCGGGCAGGUCGCCUGGAACAAUUAGACCACUUGCGAGUUUCCUCGCAUUUUUUUUUAUCGGGCAGGUCACCUGGAACAAUUAGACCACUUGCGAGUCUCCUCGCAUUUUUUUUCAUUUAUCGGGCAGGUCGCCUGGAACAAUUUGACCACUUGCGAGUCUCCUCGCAUUUUAUCAUCGGGCAGAUCGCCUGGAACAAUUAGACCACUUGCGAGUUUCCUCACAUUUUUUUCAUUUAUUGGGCAGGUCGCCUGGAACAAUUUGACCACUUGCGAGUUCCCUCGCAUUUUAUCAUCGGGCAGGUCGCCUGGAACAAUUUGACCACUUGCGAGUCUCCUCGCAUUUUAUCAUCGGGCAGGUCGCCUGGAACAAUUAGACCACUCACAAAAUUCUUUGCUUCCAUUUUCACCAGCGGGCAGGUCGCCUGGAACAAUUAGACCAACUGAAAAAUCUGGGUAUUUUUCAACACCGCCAUCGUUUUUCUUUACAAAACUUACUAUGCAAAGUCAAAAGAAAAUGAAUUUUCCAAUGUCUUUGCACCGUAAGCAUUGUAAAGAGGGGGCAACUGUUGUAACCCAAUUUUGGAUUCACCAAGUUUUUCUCGAAUGAUAUUUUAUUUCUAUUAUUAUUUAUAAAAAUCCAAAAAAAAAUAAAAAGGGUUUAAAAUUCAAAAAAAUAUUUGUUCUCGAGUCAACCGCAUCUUUCCAUCAAAACCGAGUUCACCAGGUCAAUACUGGUCAAAUCAUGUCGACCAGGGGGAAAAAUGAGUUUUCAGGUUGUUUCGGGUCAAAACCGUCAUUUUCAGCCAAGACCAAGUUCACCGGGUCAAUACGGGUCAAACCAUGUCGACCAGGGUAAAAAAUGAGUUUCAGGCUGUUUCGGGUCAAAACCGUCAUUUUCGGCCAAGACCGAGUUCACCGGGUCAAUACUGGUCAAAUCAUGUCAACCAGGGUAAAAAAUGAGUUUUCAGGCUGUUUCGGGUCAAAACCGUCAUUUUCGACCAAAACCGAGCUCACCGGGUCAAUACGGGUCAAACCAUGUCGACCGGGAUGAAAAAUGAGUUUCAGGUCAUUUUGGGUCAAAACUGUUAUUUUGUGGUCAAAACCCGGUUCACCGGGUUGAUACCUACUGACAGUUUUUUUUUUUUUUUUAUGUUUCGACAUAAUUUUCGGUAAUUAAAAUUAAUUUUUAGCGGUUGAGUCGGGCUUUUUCUAAUACUGAUUUGAGUUUUUAAUUUUAUCUAUAUAAAUAUUUAUUAUUAUAUAUAAUAAAACAAAAAAACUUUUUUGUCAUAUUAGGCAUAUUAGGUAAUGUUAGGUAGAGAUUUUUUUUCUUCCUUACAAUUAGGCAAUAAUUAGGCAGAAAUCAACUAUUCACUGGCUAUAAAUAGCCGUGACAAUCGUGAGUAAAAAAAAAGAAGAAAAAGAAAAAAGAGGGGAACGGGAAAACAAAGCCAGAGAAGAAGAGAAAGAAUGGUUACUGUGCAUAUUUUUUGAGUUUUUCUUCGCAGGAGUAGGAUAUUGUUUUCUUAAAAAAACAAUUUAAAAAAUACCAAAUAUAUCCCAACUCAUCUCAGCCAUUGAAAUAAUCCAAGACUUAAUCCCGUUAAGCCACGUCAUCCGGUGUACCGAGAUUUCGGUACACCGCGUCACACCGGAUCUAAACCCAGACUCAUCCAGACCGUGCGAUCGACCUCAGAUCUAGCCAAUCACAGCCAUCCGAUCAUUCCAUCAGAGAUCCAACGGCGCACAGUGUUCAGUGGUACCGGUAUACCAUGCACGCUUUCACACCGUAGCCUAAUCUCGGACACUCUCUCUCCUCUCGCCGGCGACGUCCUCUCUCUCAUCCGAUCUCCACUUUCCGGCCGCGUCCAGCCUCCGAACCACCGCAGAAAGGUUGAUCCACUGGUGUAAAGCAAAACCCCGGCGUUUGUAACCGUUUUCGCCGCCUCAUCUGGCCGGAAAAAGGCCGCGAUCCUCGCCGGCCACAGAAGCUUCAAGUCGUCGAUUCUCCCUCGUCAGCCAUCAACGGACGUCGAGACCACAACCAUCAGAAUCCUCUCCCUUAGAUCUACCAGGAUCGACGGUUCGUUUCCCAGAAAACUCGCCGGGAAACUUCGCCAGUGCCAACAGUAGCCGCGCGUGAGCCACACGCGCCGCCAGUGGCAUUUUCGUAAAUUCCUGAGAAAUUCGAGGGUAUUUCAGUCUUUUACAUAUACAGGGGUACUCAGGUAAUUUUUGUUGAAUUCCUAACAUUUUAUUUUAUGUAAAUAUUUGUAAAUUUUUAUUGCAUGUUGUAAAACAAAAAAAUAAAAAACAAAAAAACAAGUAUAAAAAGAAUAACGACGUGGGUCCAACGCCCAUCCCAUCAUGUUAUUGUUUGUGGGUCCAAAGCCCAAUUUUCAAAUAUAGUUAUACCCAUAUCUCAACAAUAUCAAAAUAUUUGUUUUUAUAAACAAAUAUUGUUUGUGGACACGUCUCUUUUUAUAGAAAAGGACCGAUGUCAAAUAAAAACUUUAAAAACCAAACAAAUAUGAAUUAUGUCCAUAAUUUUGUUUUUUUGGUAACUCGGACGUAAAUCUCCUUUUUAGGGUUAAACGUCGAUAUCUUAGACGAGUCUCCUAUUUUUAGGGACUGAUGUCAUUUUUAACGUGUCUCCUAAUUUUAGGGACCGACGUUAACUAUUUUAUAAACAAAACAAAAAUUACAAAUAAGCUCAAAAUAUAAUAGCAUUUGAAUCAAAUAUAAAAACACACAAGUAAGGGUAACCUUUCUUUUGAAAGGAUGUUUUAAGGGUGGUGUCUACCUUCCCUUAAUCAUAACUAACCCAGUACCUGAAUCUCUGGGACCAGUGUCUAAUUUGGGAUUUCUAGUUCCCUCAAAUUACUAGAUGGCGACUCCAAUAAAAUCUAUUUCCCCCAAUAAUAAAAAAUCUUUUUUUGUUAAAAUACAACAAAAAGAGCGGAGUCGUCGCCCGACGUCGUGUAUCGACAAUACUCUUCAAUGGUAGGAACCAUAUCGACAUCCCCAAAUGUAAAACAUCGAUAAUCAGGAUCCCAAAAAUGAAUCAGAGCUCUUAUGGCCAAUGGCAGUACCGGCACAUUUAAAAGAUGCAAAACUCUCCCAUAUAUCUUAGUAAAUUCUGUCUCAUCAUCCAAAUAUUUGGUGAGUGGAAUCAAACGAAUAGCAUCAUUUAUUACACAUCUCACCUCUUUUAGCAGCGGUAUCCCACUGUCAUCCAGUCUAGGGCAGUCUCCCUCGGUCAUAUGCAAUGAUUCAGAUUCAAGCCCAUACUCAAUAGUGUUGACUUCUCGAUUAACAGCCAUUAUGUCACCCGAAAUAAUAAUCCUGUUAUGAAAUGAUAUAUGUUAAGCUUUACUUUAGUGAAACUUACAUAGGGAACAACCUAAAGGGUAAGUUCUAGUCAUUACAUGCUUAGGGUAGGUUGCUAUCUAGUCUUUGAAAGGUCUUUCGCAUGCUCAGUGAUCUUCCUCGAAAGGUUGAUGUGAGGCUUACAAGUAGCGUGAAGAUAGAGGCCCUGAAUAAUAUCAGUUUAGGCAUACCAACCACUAUCGAGUAAACAAUCAAGCGAAAGUUGGAUGGUUUCACGAGUCUUACCCAGGCCAAAGCCAUUGGGGUACCGCUACUCUCCCACUUAACAUAAAGUUUGUAUAACAGAUAUUUAUUAUGAAAUGCGUGGUGUGUGAAGGCACAAAUCUAUAUUCAAUGUAUAUGAUGACGUGAAUAAAUAUGGAUGCUAAAGCAAUAAAAUAAAAUAAACUAAAUAAAAUAAAAAAUAAUAAAAAACAACACAACAAACAUUUAUAGCAAUUUUAACAAAUAAAGACAAAGCUUAGUCUUAAGUCCCCAGUGGAGUCGCCAUUCUGUCGCACCCGACAUCGCGGCGGCCUUAAAAAUUAAUUCUUGAAUUAUGGAAAAAGAACGAUUUCAUGCAUCGUGUUCUUUUAGGGGAAAAGGUCUUUGUUUAAGGAGUCGCCACCUAGUAUUAUGGUCACUAGGAACCCUAACUGGUCCACAGAGAUUCUAUGAUCCGAGACUGGUUACGUAGAAGGGAAGAUAUUAUCACCCCUUAAACGUCCUACCUAAGGUAGGCUGCAUUGCUGGUCUUUGUUAUUAAUUGCUAACAUCUUUAUUGGUUUAUACUAUGAUUUCUUGUGUACAAUAUUCCUGACUCUGGCGCCAGUGAAUAUUCAACUACGUAUAUUUCCAACUCUGGCGUUGGUAAAUAUUACGUAGGUAUCAAAAUAAAUUCAUAUCAUCAUUUUUAUUAUAUUCCUGACUCUGGCGUCAGUGAAUAAACAAGUAGAAAUCAAUUUUUUUUUUUUAUGCAUGCGAAACAAAAUAAAAUAAAUUUAUCCUAGUAUUUUUUUUUUAUUCCCGACUCUGGCGUCGGUGAAUAUACUAAAUAAAUUUAUCCUAUUUUAUCUUAUGUGAAUAAAAAAUCAAUUCAUUUCUUUAUCAAAUUAUUUUUUUAUGCAUGCGAAACAAAAUAAAAUAAAAUAAAUUUACCCUAGUAUUUUUUUAUUCCCGACUCUGGCGUCGGUGAAUAUACUAAAUAAAUUUAUCCUAUUUUAUUUUAUGUGUUUUUUUUUUCAAUGAAUAAAAAAAAUUAAUUUAUGUAUAUAUUUUUUACAUACACAAUUUUUAUUAUAUAUUUUUAAUAUUUUAUAUUUUUUACCUUUUUUUUUAUUUAUUUUUGGGCUGGGCUGGGCUAAAUCCAACCCAGCAAGUAUAUAUAUUAGUGGCUGGGCUCAGCUCAGCCCCACAAGGGCUGGGCUGAACCCAGCCAGCCCGGCCCGGGUCACUGGCCCAAGCCAGUGACCCGGCUACACAAGAUGCACGCGUGAAACAGAUCACGCGUGCAUCAACAGUGCGAAGGUAAUUAAAUUACCUUCGCACUGUUCAAACAAUUAUUUGAACACGAAGAGCAGAGAAAAAAUGGAAAAGGAAGCGAACCUGUUUUUGGAGAUUGAAGAAGAUUGCAACGCUGGUCUGGCCGCUUUGAGUUGACUGCUUUCUGUUUCUGGCGAUGCUGAGGCAGGCUGAGGCGACGGUGUGACUCGACUGCUCUAUGUCAAUGAUCUACGGUUUGGUGAUCAAUUGGGUUUCUGUUUUUGGAGAUUGAAGAAGAUUGCAACGCUGGUCUGGCUGCUUUGAGUUGACUGCUUUCUGUUUCUGGCGAUGCUGAGGCAGGCUGAGGCGACGGUGUGGCUCGACUGCUCUAUGUCUACGGUUUGGUGAUCAAUUGGGUUUCUGUAGGGGUGAAAACAAUUCGGAUGAAAAUUGAUUUCUAGAAGGGAUGAAAUCUGGCUGGUGAUACUGUUCUUCUCUGACUUUUUUUUUUGUGUUUUGUUUGCUCUGUUUUUUUUUGUUGGGUUGCUGCCUUUUGGGUUGUUUUUUUUUGUUCUUGACUCUGGUUUUCUGGGUUUAAUUCUCUGCCUUGCGACUAGGUUUUCUGCUCCCUUUUAUAGACUACCCAGCUCCUCUCCUUUAACCAGUCCUGUCUUCGCAGGACUCUUAUCUUCCCUGACGAGAUCGUGUGCGAUAGACGUGGUCCACGAUGGGAUCAACUUCGUUGCAGAUCUUCAGCCUGUUGAAUCGGGAUGCAGAAGACGAACACGACUGUUCCACCAUCAACGACGACGUUUCGGUAGCAAUGGAUUUCACCAGUAACGGCGACGUUUCAAGCAGCCAUGGACAUUUUCAAUUUGACCCCUGGACUUUGGAAAUUCGGCAAUUAGACCCCUAAGCAAUUAAAAGUUUCUUUUAAUUUUUCCCUUUUUUGAUUAAUUUCAAUUAAAUCCCUAAAUUAUAACACUAUUUACAAAAUAGUCUUUAAUUUGUGGAUUGUCCCAUUUGGCCCCUUAAUUAAUUAAAUUUUUUACUUUUAAUUCUUUCAAAAUUGAUCAAUUAACUCUCAAGUUACAUCCCCAAACUUCAAAAUUUAUUGUCUUAACCCCAUUGUCAACUAUAUUUAAUUUUUAUUAUUUGUUCAAAAUUUGGGUUAUGACAAUGCUAAUAAAAUAAAUACUGAGAAAAAAAAAAAACAACCUUUCUUUAUCAAGCCUGAGCAUCUAGUCAUUUGAAAUUUACAAAAAUAUCACCUCACCAUAAACCAUCAAAGAUAUACCCAAAAUCAGAGUUUAAAGUGGACACAAAGAACCAUGAAAAAGUCAUUUUACAUCUUACAACAGGGUCAUUUUUGUUUUCAAAAUACAAGACAAUCAAAGGACUGCAUUGAAUAGUGUGUUGGGUCUUUGACCAAAGGAGCUCGAAUUUCAAAAAUAACUUUUCAAAAACUGAUAUCUCUCUGAUUUCAUUUCAACAAUUAUACUUGAAUAGACAUGAUUGUUGAAAUGUGAGAUUUGAUCCCAGAACAAGAAAGAUUUUCAAACAAGAACAUCAAUUGAGUUUGCAAAAUUCGUGACAAAAAUGACAUCAACAUUUCUCAACACUCCUUGAAACGUUGACCACCUGGGGGCAAUACAGUGGACCCUUAGAAGAAAAACAAACAACAUUCUGAUCAGCUGGGGUCAAAGAAAGGAUCCGAUGAUGAGUCGUCAAAGUUCAUCAAAGUUAGGUUUAGCAUCUGACAAUGACAAAAAAAAACUUUCUUGAGUAUAAAUCGAUGAACAAACCUUCAGAUCAUACUGAGGUCAAUGUUGUUCAAAGACAAUCCAUGAUCUAGUGCACUUCAGUAGUAAUUGAUGAGCAACGCUGCACUAGAAAGAUAUUUUCAUAUCUUCAUCUUAGGUUACCUUGUAAAACAUGGCUAUGACUCCGGAACAGAUGUUAUCGGGUGAGUGCAUUUGGAUGAACAUCGAACAUAUGCACACCACUAAGAUUGACUAUGGGACCAUCUAUUCUGAAGCUCAAAUGCGCACUUCACCGCAGGAAUAUGGGUGAUAACAUGAACAUCAUUGAUGAUGCCAAAGCAGGUAUUUUCACGAUCUGAUUUGACAAGCUAAGAGGAAUCCAUAGAGAAAUACAUCGCGCUUACAAUGAUGAGCUGUUUACUGCAAAGCAUGAGAUACAUGUCUGGAUGACUUGGCAGCUCCAUGAAGGCUGGUGACCAUACAUACUUGAAUGUUGUUUCAACCGAAAGCAAGUUCAUGACUGAUUAACAAACGUGAUGGGUGUUGGCAUGAUGCACACAAUCAAUCAGAGGAUAAUUUCUUAGAAGAAGCCAGGAGAGAAAAUCUCUCAUGAUGAAUCAAGUAGUACUACACUUGGGGGCAGGGUCAAGCUUCAUGAAUGAUGCAAGCAGUAAUUGUCGAAGACAACCCGGGAUGGGCACUGCACUUACAGCUGAAUAAUGGCCAGUACAUGAAUGAGUCAAUGCAUCGGAAGAACAAAGAAAGCUUUGGGGAUGCAAACAAGGGCACCCUAUGACGAUGGAGCAUCAAAGAAGGGGGGGACCUAUAUUUCAAAUCAAGUAAGGAUGCAUGCAUAUGAUCUAACCUCAAAAAAAAAAAAAAAAAAAAAACCAUUUGCACAUAUUUUUGAAUUGUUACAGGAAAAUCCUUAAUGAGGUCCAGCAAGAUGGUGGAAAGAGAAAGAAGCAUUGUGGUGAUGAUAAUAAAGAAUCGGUUUUGAUCAUGGAAUAAAAGGACGAUGGGAUGAACCCUACCAUUAGGAAAAUCCCAAAGAAAUGAAUAGAUCAACCUUGCAACUGGGAAGCCUCGAGUUUUCAACCCUUGCAGUCAGGAAACACCGAGUUUUCAAACCCCAUGAUCGGGAAUUAUCAGGAAGCACCAAGUUUUCCAGCCCUUUCUUCUGUCAUCCCUUCAGAACUUCGCUAGGUAAGUCCUAUUUUUCACACUUGUCAUAUCACAUUUUUUCCAUCUGGGUAGGUCGCCCAUCAUAAUAAGACCGUUUUCACAUUUUUUCCAUCCGGGUAGGUCACCCAUGACAAUGAGACCGCACUUCAUCAUAUUUUUUCCAUCUGGGUAGGUCACCCAUUACAAUGAGACCACACUUCAUUUUUUUCACGUGGGUAGGUCACCCAUUACAAUGAGACUGCACUUCACAUUUUUUCCAUCUGGGUAGGUCACCCAUACAAUGAGACCAUCAUUUUUCUGGGGUUCGUCACCCAUACAAUGAGACCAUCAUAUUUCUGGGGUUUGUCACCCAUACAAUGAGACCAUCAUUUUUCUAGGGUUCGUCACCCAUACAAUGAGACCAUCAUAUUUCUAGGGUUUGUCACCCAUACAAUGAGACCAUCAUUUUUCUGGGGUUCGUCACCCAUACAAUGAGACCAUCAUAUUUCUGGGGUUCGUCACCCAUACAAUGAGACCAUCAUUUUUCUGGGUUCGUCACCCAUACAAUGAGACCAUCAUUUUUCUGGGGUUCGUCACCCAUACAAUGAGACCAUCAUUUUUUUCUUGGGUUUGUCACCCAUACAAUGAGACCAUUUUUCACACAUUCUUUUGUUUUGGUUAAAUGAGGUCGCCGGAUGGGAUCUCAGGUAGCUUUGGUUAAAGGGAAUCGCCAGAUGGGAUUUCAGGUUAACCGAGUUACGCAUAUUUCGUUCCAAUUGAAUGAGGUCGCUAGAUGGGAUCUCAUGUAGCUUUGGUUAAAGGGAAUCGCCAGAUGGGAUUUCAGGUUAACCGAGUUACACAAUAUUUUUGUUCCAGUUGAAUGAGGUCGCCAGAUGGGAUCUCAUGUAAACCCAAUGUGUGGGCAAGUCGCCCGUGAAAAUAGACCAUUGGGAGAGUGUGGGUCGGUCGCCCGUGAAAAUAGACCAGAGUGAGUAGGUGUGGGCAGGUCGCCCGUGAAAAUAGAUCAGUGUGAGUGUGUGGGCAGGUCGCCCAAGAUAAUACAAUCAUUUUCCUUUUGUUUUCUUUACAAAGCUUACUAUGCAAAAUUUUGAGGAGUUUUGCUUCGUAAGCAUUGUAAAGAGGGGGCAUCUGUUGCUACCCAAUUUUUGACCCAUGUUUUGAUAUAUUUUCAAAAAUCCAAAAAAUUGAGAAAAACAAAGAAAAUCCAAAAAUAUGUUUUUUAAUAUAUUUUCGUCAUUUUAGCAUUUUCAACGUCGUCUAAAAAAAAAUUUAAAUUGUUAAAAUAUUUUCAAACGCGUUCGACUUUUCACGCGUCAUUUUUAAAAUCAUUGAUUUUCCGCAUUUGAGUCGACAUUGAUAUUGCUCGUUUUCAAAAAAUACAAAAAAAUAAGAAAAAUCAAAAUUUACAAAAAGAAAGAAGUUGAGGGACCAAGUUGAAAAACUUGGCAACAUUUUUUCCUAUAAAUACUGGUCUUUAACUCAAACAAAAGGGGGGGGCUAAUUUUGGAAACACAAAAAAAAUAACAACAAAAAAACCCUAAACCUAAAAGAUUUUUUUUCUCUACAGCCGUUGAACCAAGCCAGCCCCCCCCCUCACCUUUUGAAAAAAAAAAUUUCUCUUCUCACUCAAUCGGCCAAACAGCCCCUCCCCGGUUUGAAUCAUUCUCCAAUCCCCGGCCGUUCCUUUCCCUUCUCAAUAGCAGCGCCUCCCAACUCUGUUCCCAAUUUCCAGCCAACGAAAGCCAAAAAGAAAGCCAUAGCCAGCCGGCGUCCCUCAGCCUUUGAAGAAAAAGAAAGCCAUAGCCGAUCCCCCAUCAUCAGAUUUUUUCCCUUCUUCUCAGCCACUUCACAGCCCCCCUCCCCCACCGGACUUUUGAUUUUUUUUCUUCCCCUUGGUUUUGAUUUUUUCAGACCACGCAGCCAUCCCAGCUCUUCUUCUCCUCCCCACUUCUCCCAACGCCAGCUCUCCUCUCACCGUUCACCAGAGAUUUCUUCCUUCACAGGCCCGACGCCUCAUGGCUUCUCUCUCUCGGCCACGAUCUCCACCGCCUCUCGCCGCCCGUCAUUUGGGCGAACCAGCGGCGUCUCCGCAGUAGCGCCGUCCAAAGAUCCAGCAGACCCAGCUCCACAGAACCGGCUUCCACCGAGCCACACAGCAGCAGGCAAUCUCCCCACCGACCGGACAACCACUCCUCACUCCACAGCAGGUCGGCCACAGAAGAAGAAGAAACCCACAGACUGAUCUGCAACGAAGAAGAAGAGAAAGAGGAGCAGAUCGAAAACGAUGCAGAUCUAAAAAAGGAACAAAAACAGAUUUGAAAUCAAAGAAAAAAACUAAAAUCGACUGCUGUGUGUUUAUUUCCUUGUUCUGUAGAUCACCGAUGGUUUAGGAAGACAGGAGAAGAAGAAGCUGUCUGGACCAGCUGUUUUCCAGCUCCUUCUCACGGUGGCGCGUGGGAAGACGCGGCGCCAGUGAUUUCUGCCCCAGCAGCCUUCCCGAGCACUGUUCCUGCGGUUCUAAGUGGACUUCCCUGCACUUCUUGGACUAUUUAGGGACUGUUUUGUAGUUUUAGAAUUGUUUAAUGUAAUUUGUUUAGUUUUGAUUUUUUUUGUAAUUUAUAUUUUUGUAAAUAUGGAUGUAAAAGAAAAGAAAAGAAAAAAGAAAAAAGAAAAGAAAAGAAAUAAAAAAAAUAGUGAAAGUGUAUGUGUGGGUUUGUAUUUGUUUUUUAUGAAUGUUUUUUUUAUUUUUCUUAUGAUAAAAUUGCAAAGAUUAAAGAAGAAUUUAAUAUUUUGAUUGGAUCACGGUCCAGAUUUAUUAACUUAUACGUAAGUUGUAUUUCUAAUUUCCGAUGAAAAGACAAAAUUUUGAAACUUCUUUAACACGUCAAAAAUCACGAAGCAGCUUACCUCAGGUAGGGUGCGUUAGGGGUGCUGAUACCUUCCCUAACCACAACCAGUCCCUUACCCGGGAGUCUCUGACAAGACCAGUACAUCAGGUUUCCUAGUAGCCCUCAAUAAAUUACUAGGUGGCGACUCCAACGAACCAAUUCAAGCAACGAACGCAACAUACGAGAUUUAAAUCGCCAGCCGAUGCCGCGCGCUGAUUUGAUUUUUUUUUUGGGUGCGACAGAAUGGCGACUCCACUGGGGAAGGUAUUUUUUCGAGUAUUGGACUAAGCUUUGUGUAUUUGAUGUGUUUAAGUUUUUGCAUUUUUAUCUUUUUGUUAAUAUUUAUUUCCAUGCAUUUUAUAGAAUUGUUUCAUGCAUCACCUGUAUUUAUUUUUAAAAGCACACACAAGCUUCUAGGUUAGGUGGGGAACUAGCGAUCUGCCCUAAGACUAUCGGUCAGGGUUCAGAUGCGUGAAACACCCAACUCAUAUCUGAGUGCCUGCUUGGUAAUGGUGGGUAUACGUGCCUUAACCAUUCCUUGCAACGCCCCCAUACUGUCUUUACGAACAACGUCACUGGGCAGAUAUGAGACCCUUUUUUUUUCUUUACACCGCUUCGCCUCAUUUUUUCUUCUUCUCCCCGCGCCGCUUCUCUUCUCUUCUCCCCGCGCCGCUGCACCUCAGAUUUUUGAAUCCUUCAAGAAUUUCACCUUCAAUCUCUAGCAAGAUUUAGUGUUGUGAAUCUUCCUAAAAUUAAAAGGUGUGUAUUUUUUUCCAAUUUAUUUUAUUUACUUUUAAUUUAUUUUUAGUUUUUUUUAUUUUUGUUAUUUUGUUGUUUUGGUGUUUUUUUUGGUAAUGUAGUUAAAGUUUUGAAUUUGUCACAUUAUUAAGGUAUGUAUAUUUCGUUCCUUUUAUUGAUGUAGGUUUUUUUUUUUUUAAUAUUUUUUAUUGUUUUGUUGUCAUAAUUAUAAUGAUUAAUUUGUUGAAUUAUAAUUGUUAAUGUUGAAUUAUAAUGAUUAAUUUGUUGAAGUAUAAUUUGUUCAAUUUAUUGAAUUUAUUUUUUGUCAUAUUUUUUAUUGUUUUGAAUAUAAUUAUUGAUUAAUUUGUUGAAUUAUAAUUGUUAAUGUUGAAUUAUAAUGAUUAAUUUGUGAAUUGUAAUUGUUAAUGUUGAAUUAUAAUGAUUAAUUUGUUGAAUUUAUUGAAUUUAUUUUUUGUCAUAUUGUUUAUUGUUUUGAAUAUAAUUAUUGAUUAAUUUGUGAAUUGUAAUUGUUAAUGUUGAAUUAUAAUGAUUAAUUUGUUGAAUUAUAAUUUGUUGAAUUUAUUGAAUUUAUUUUUUGUCAUAUUUUUUAUUGUUUUGAAUAUAAUUAUUGAUUAAUUUGUUGAAUUAUAAUUGUUAAUGUUGAAUUAUAAUGAUUAAUUUGUUGAAUUAUAAUUUGUUGAAUUUAUUGAAUUUAUUUUUUGUCAUAUUUUUUAUUCUUUUGAAUAUAAUUAUUGAUUAAUUUGUUGAAUUAUAAUUGUUAAUGUUGAAUUAUAAUGAUUAAUUUGUUGAAUUUAUUUUUUAUCAUAUUUUUUUAUUGUUUUGAAUAUAAUUAUUGAUUAAUUUGUGAAUUGUAAUUGUUAACGUUGAAUUUAUCUUAGGAUUAAUAGUUGAAUAUGUUGGAAUAAUUAGUAUAGAUUGGUUCAAUUGGUUGUGGCUAUUGUUAAUAUUUGCAGGUUUGUGGAUUUGGGUAGUAUCCAGUAUAGGGGAGGUGCUGCCGAUUUUUUUUUAACUUUUGAAUUUUAUUAUACAAUUAUUUAUAUAAAAUUGUUUAGAUGCGCAAAAUGAAAACCAGAGCUGGUCGUUCACGUCCAGUCGAAUCAAGUUCGUCUAGCAGCGAUGAUGAUGUAUCCUUAGGUGCCUCUCAAGAAGAGGCACCUACACCACCUGCGCCGUCAACCAAUGCUGCCUCUUCCAACGAUGUUUCACAUCGCAGAAGCGGCGUGCCUUCGCAGCGGAAUCAAUUUACCCGCAAGUACGAGGCACAGUGGAAGGACGAUCUUUCAAUGUAAGUUUGUUAAGGUUUUAGUUUUUUUUAUAUAUAAAAAAAACAAAUUUAAAACAUAAUUUAUGAAGUAAUCACUAUUUCAUUAAUUUCAUUUCUUUUCAGGUUCACAAACAUUGAGGCUGCCCGAGUAAUAUCAUCGGCGUUUAAAGCGUCGAUGGAGAUUCCAUUGUUUCAAUGGAGUCAGAUAUCCAGGCAUCGUGAAUGGAUGCCUCAAAUCAAUGCAUAGUUUCGUAGAUUUGAGGUUCGUGUUAAUAUAUAAUUUUCAGCUUAUUUCUAAUAAGUUCUAGUUAUAAUUGUAAAUAAAUUAUUAACAUUUUAAAAAAUUAUUUUUUUAUACACAACAUCGAUUCUGUUGGGACGAUGAACAUGACACUGUUGUGAGGAGGGUGUGGGAAAAUCACGUGGCAAUUAGGUAACAUCGAAAACAAUACGACUUUUUUUUUACAUAAUUAUUUAUGUUUUGAAAUGUAAUUUUUUCGUGCAUGAAUUAGGUUGCGUGAUUUUUGGUAUGACACCCAGAAAAAAGCAAAAAAAACAGCGAGGGAUAAGGGGUUCCAAGGCUGGAACGAUGUUGCGGUUUGGAGGGAUUUCAAACCAAUAUACAUCCCGGAAGAUAUAUGGACGCACUAUCUUCAGCACGUGACGUCUGAGCGGUUCACUCGACGCUUACAGUCUGGUGCUGGCAACCGGAAUCGGCCAAUGCAUGGCUCGGUGACAACGCACACCGGCGGCUCCGUUCCGUUUGUUGCACAUACGAAACGGAUGGUAAGAUUAAUUUAAAUGAAAUAUAUCGUUCAAUUAAUUUGUUGUUAAUACAUUUUUUUCAUUAUAGGCUACGUCUCUUAGACGUGAGCCGAGCCCUAUGGAGCUGUUUGUGGAGACGCACGUGCGGAGUCAUGACCGCCAAAAGGGGACGCAACAGUUCGUUGACAACCGUGCUCAACAUUUUGUGGUAUGUUUGUUCAACCAUUUUAUUUUGUAAGUUAUUAUUAUGUUUAUUGAGACCUAUAAUAAUCGGUUGAGGGAGAGAUACAGGGACGAUCCUUCGACCCAUCCGGAAUUCGAUCCGGAUUUGUGGAUGGAGGCUGGAUCGUCAGGUGGACCCGAUAAAAAUCGAGUUUACUGGCUCUCCAACACUACUGCCGCCAACUUGCGGUCGACCGAUACUGCUUCAACCGCUGGGAGCUCCCAAUCUGUAUCGAGCUCCCAAUCUAAGGAGUUUGUGGCCUUGCAGCAAAGGUGCGACCACCUAUCAGAGGCAUACACACAACUCAAAGAAGAGCAAAGAUUGGCGAACGAACAACACAAAGCAGAGUCUGAACAACAAAGAGCGGCCUAUGAAGAGCUUCGUCAAAUGGUCAUGAACAUGACACAAGGUGGAACAUGUGCGCCUAAUCCUUUUUGGCCGCCUAACCCUCAUCCUCCUCCUCCUCCUCCACCUUUAUAUUAAUUUUUAAUAAACAUUAUUUACAUUUUAAAUUUUGUUUAAUGUUUUUUUGAAACACAUUCAUUUUGUAAUGAAUAUUAUUUCACUUUGAGUUUUUGUUGCUUAAUAUAAAUUUUAUUUGCAUAAUUGGUUUGUAUUACCAUUAAUUUAUAUUAUUUUUUCUAAAUAACUAAAAAACAAUUAAAAAAAACAAUUACACAGGGAUUUACCGACGAAAUAACUCCGUCGGCAUUAGACAGUGUCUGCCACCAUCACCCACCAUCACCGACAUAUAGAUUUACAUAAAUUUACCGACGAACGUUCUAUCACACACCGACGGAAUAUGUCCGUCGGUAAAACUAUGAAAUCUUGUAGUGAUUGGUAUUAAAAAAAUAUAAUUUUAAAAUAAAAAGUAUUUUAAAAAACACUCCCCAUACAUAUAACAAAUAGUAGGUCUCAACAAUCAUAAAGUCACUCACAAUGGGAUUAGGUCCUCUUUUUGUUUUUUAAAGCAUUUUUUUUAAAAAAAUAUUUUAUAUUAUUUUUUUAUUUCAAAUUAUUUUUUCUUUGUAUUUUCAAAUUAUUUUAAUAUGCUGAUAUUAAAAAUAAUUUUUUUAAAAUAAAAAUUAUUUUAUUUUAAUAUAAUUUUAAAUAAAAAAUACUUUAAAAAAUAAUUAUAACCAUAUUUUAAAACAAACUCUAAAAUGUGAAUAUUUCACGUUCUGCUGCAAAAUGCAGUGUGGGCUGGUUACUUUGCUGAUGCACAGUAACCAGCCCAUUUGGGCCCGAGCCGGGACAUCAGCCCAGCCCACAGUAGAUGAGCCGGAUCCGGCCCUGUUUUUUUUUUUUUUUACUAUUUCCUCGCAUAGUUUUACGCUUUUUUAUAUUAGUAACGGAAUAUAUUUUUAUGUCGUUAAAAAUACAAAAUCCGGUAUUUAAAUACAUGGUUUUCUUCAACUUAAAAAAAAUUGAAAAAAAUAUUUUUGUGCAUACGCCCAAGUGUCUCAAAGCUAAAAAAUCAUUUUGUGUUUUUCAUACACCAAAAAAUAAUGCUUGCUCAUUCAUUUUGGCUUUAACAACUAGUUUAUUAAAGUCAAGAGAAUAUUGAUCAAAAUUUCAAAAAGAAGAAAAAUUUUAUUUUAUUUUGUUUUAAUAUCAGGGAUUACAAAUUUAUAUGUAAAAUAUAUUCUUGAUAUUAAAAAAGCUAUUUUUUUGUUGACAACAUAGAACAAUUAGGUUUUAUCCCAUUAAUAUAAGAACCUCCUUACAGAAAAGGGCUUUUCUUAAAACUUAGAGAGGCAGGACUAACAAUUAGAAAUCACAACAAGACUUUAGAUUUUAUCAGACAACAAAACAAUGCAGCUUACCUUAGGUAGGGCGUAGUUGGGGUGCUAAUACCUUCCCUUUACGCAACCAGUCUAUGUAACCGAUCUUUGAGACCAGUUAGGGUUUCUAGUAACCAGAAUACUAGGUGGCGAUUCCCAUUCAAAUUCUCCACUGAUAAGAGACAAGAAUUCAUUGUCUUUUCAUAUUUUGCCAAAUACACCAAUACAAUUUUUCAUGAGGGUGGACGAUCGCAGCGACGCCGCACACAUGCGACAAUCACUUUAUUCUUGGUGGAGCAUUUUCAAAAUAAAAGUUUUCAAGUCUGAAAAUAAAGUGUGGAAUUAAAGAUGUGGUGAGUGUUGUACUACUAAUUCAAUAUUGAAGAUCUAUAAAGAAAGAAGUGAAUUGACAAUUCAAGUAAGGCCAAGUUCAAGAAAUAAUUUUUAUUUUUUUUAUCAAUAAAAGAAAUGUUAGUCCUUGUAGGAAACGUACAAGGAUUUUUAAGCUGUAGGAUGAUAUUUUUGGCAUUUUAGUUUCUCAAUCUUAAUAUUAAACAACAAAAUAUUCAAUUGUUUUGUUAACAAAUUCCCUUUGUAGUUUAUAAGUAACAAUGAAAAUAUGUCGAUUAUAUGCCUUGAUGAUAGGAAUUGAUAUUUGUGUUUUGGUAGAGCUGGGAUGCUGGCAUUUCAACUUUCCUUCCCUUCUUUGCAGGCGGACUUUCAACUCCAGAGGAAGAAGAAGAAGAAUAGUGCAAGUGGAAAUGACAUCAUUUUGGUCUGGGAAUGAUCAUUUCCAAUUUGAUCCUUGAAGUUUUGAAAUUUUGCAUUUAAGCCCCUGAUCUUUUAAUUUGAAAUUUUAACCCCUUUAAAAUUAAAUUAAAAGCAAAUGGAUCAAAAUUGAGUUAUAACAUCCAUAAUAUUGGAAUGCAUUAUCUUAAAGAUUUAUCAAACAUGUACUUUUAAAGUGAAGUUAAUACAAAUUAUACUCCUUUUUAUUUGCUUAGUUUUUUCCUAUUAGAUUUUACUUUGCAAGGUUUUAAUGAGACAAUUUGAUAUUUUUAUGAAUUCUAAAGAAUUCAAAUAUAAAUUUUGAAGUAUUUAUAUUAAACUUUUUAUUGAAUUCUGAAGUAUUCAGAAAUUAAACAAAAAUAUUGUAAUUUUUCUCUUUAACUUAGAUGUUUUUCCAUUGGGUUUUAAAUCUUUCAAUGUUUACACGCUCUUCGUGUUGGAGCAUGAUUUAUUAAUCUUAAGAUAUUAUUUAACUGCUGAUCGAAGAUAUGAUGAGAUAGUUAAAAAUCAAGAAAUCAUUGAAAUGAAGGAGCUAUUACAAAAUAGAGGAAGAAUUCACAUAACAUUGACCAAAUCAAAGUCUGCAAUUACUAAUGACAUGUGUAGACAAACCCCAAUGAAGCCAAAUUAAUCACAGCCAGCAACCUCGACAUUGGGAACCUAUAUAGGAAGAAGUCACGUAAUAUUGACCAAAUCAAAGUCUACAAUUACUAAUACACGUUUAGACAAACUAUGGAAACCCCAGUGAAGCCAUAUCACAGCCACCAGCCUCGACGUUGGGGGUACGCAGGGUAAUAGAUGAUUAAGGGGAUUUGUUUGUUUUUUUAAUUCAUAUUUUAUAAUUAGUAGUUAAUAGAAUUAGAUUUUCUAAUUAAAUACAUUAAUGUAAUAAUAUUAAGUAUGUAUUCUUAAAAUUAUUAAAAAAAUACUUAAUCUCAACUAACUUUGAAACUAAUUGAAGGUGCAUUGAUUGUUGAGGGAAAAAUAAACACAGACAGCAAAUAAUUACUCCCUCUUACACAUUCCAAAGCCAAUAAAUGCAUCCUUGAAAUGUAAUUAAUUCAAAUUAUAAUUUGUGAAAUCCUGAUCUUGGGCUCAAUUAGCUCAAUUAAAAAGCUUUAACUCUAAACAAAUUUAAUUUUGAAUAAAAAAAUCAUGGAAAAAAUAUUAAUAAAAAAUUUACAAAAAAAAAGCAACAAAAACAAUGGAGAUAAAAUUUGAUUGGAAUUUUUUUUUUUAAAUGAUCCUAAAUAAAAUAAAUAGCAACUAAAAUAAUAAGGACUAAAUUUGAAAGUUGAAAAAAUUAUAGGGGGAAAUUGAAUUAAAAAACAUUUGUAAUUUGAUAGAUUAUUUAUCGAUUAAAAAAAACAGAUGGUGAAAUUAAAAAAUAUUUGUAAUUUGAUAGAUCAUUUAUAUAUUUAAAAAUUGUAAGGAAGUUAAAUUGAAAAAAAAAUUAUAAUUUAAAAAAUUAUUUAUAGAUUAAAAAAUUAUAGAAGUGUCAAAUCGAAAAACAUUUGUAAUUUUAUAGCUCAUUCUAAAAUAAAAAAAGUAUUAAUCAAAAGGAUAUGAACCAAAUAUGAAGAAAAAAAAUUAAAGAGGAUGCUCUGAAUUUUUGCAUGGGUGACAUAAAAUUUGUGGAGAGAGAAGGGAAAAAAGGAAAAGAAAUGGACUCUAUGUCAAACUAGCACACUACUAUGUAAAAAGUGUUGAGAUCUUUUAAACGUCACCUGAAAAGCUAUUUUUGGUGGUCGGACAGUCCCGCACGCACGACCUAAAUAAUACGAGGACUACUCACACACUGGCUAAUGCGUUGCAUGUACAUGCCAACAAAUUUUUUUUAAAAUAAUAUUUAAUAUAUGUUUAUUAUAAUAAUAAUAAUAAUAAUAAUACCCAAAAAACCCUCAAAAUCUACAACAAAACCAAUAUCAGAUGAAUAAAAUAACAGAGUUAUACUUUUUGGGUCUCAAAAGAUACCUAAGUUAUUAACUAUUUUGAAAAAAAUAAAAGGGCAAAAACACCCCCAAGACUAAAGUAUAAGAGUUUUGUAUUCCAAAGCCAUUGUAGUAAUUUUACUUUGUAAAAUAAAAAUAAAAUGAUAAAUAUAACUUCAUAUAAUAUGUUAAAUACAUGUUAAAAAGACAGUUUUACAUUCAAAGCUUAAUUAGUUUAUUGUCAUUUUAGUCUCCGAACACAUUCUUGUGAUUGACCAGCAAAACAAGGCUACUUUCCUUUUGAAAUUCCUCGUUCAUCUAAGCCAUGUUUGCCCCUUUAAACUCAUUGACUGCAACCAAGGUCUUAUCUGCUAAAACUCCCAAGUUUCUGAUCAUCAACAUAAUUGUUGGUUUCUUUUGCCUCACCGAAAAUCCUUACUCGCUGAUGCUUUAAGCCACUCCCUCGUUUCCUCUGAAGUUUUUCUCCUCACUUUUUUUCUUUUCCUGCACAUCAUGUAGAAUUGUAGACAAAUGAUUACAAGGAAAAUUGUUGCCCCCCAAUAGCUGCAAAAAAAUGUCAACGAGGGAUGCGCGUAACUCACAAAACGAACCAAUGGAAAGGAUACAUUUACUAAAUUGUUACCAAGUGAUGAGCAUUCAAAUCCAAUUAUUUUCUAUUUUAUUGUUUUACAGUUAAGAGUUUCCAAAGUGGUGAUAGGCCGUUAAUGUUACUUACAAGCCCAUCACCAAUAAGAUAUAGCAACUAUUUUAAAAUCCGACAUGACUUGAUGGUUUACCCAUGAUUCUGGUGACUUAAAGCUUAGGUCAGCAAUGAUUUCAAAACAAUUGGGAGAAUUAACCUAAUAAAAAUUCUCAUUGACCCGAGACUCAAUCAAAAAAUGUUGUUUUUUUUUUCUUUUUAAAUUUUAUUUAAAUGAUGUUAAUUUUACUUUUUAUAAAAUUAAAAAAUUAAGUUAACCCAAAUUAAUUACCCUGAACCGAAACUUGAGACUUGCCAAAACUAUGUUUACAGUUGCUCAUGCAAUGGCUAGAAAAUGAUGGGAAUCUUGUUUUGGUAAGAAUUCGUAUGCUAUGGAAAUUUGAGCUAGCUGUGGAGCUUUCUCUGUCUGUGAAUGUAGGUAAACAUCACUGAAUUUGGUUUGAUUAGGAAAUCGAAGGUACUCGUCAAUUUCGCAAAACAAUUUCUUUUUGAGAGAGUAUAUUAAUUAGUCCUGUAAACACAAUUUUUAUUUGAACACAGGUGACAAAAGAUAAGGUACAUCUGGAUUCUUGAAAAAUGUCAAGCUUCCAAGUUCCAGGAGAAUUACUAGAGACAAUAACUCAAGAACAUCAAUAGCCAUAAUCUACAAUUUAUUAAUGGAGCUAUCUGACUUAUUGAAUGUUGGAAACUGAUUGUGGUCUGACUUUAACUGCUGUUAGUGUAGUUCUCGAUCUGCAAUGAUAUCACAGUCUGGGAUUGAUCCAUGGGAGGACUUGCAUUCUUGCAGAAAGAUUGUGAUGAUUCGCCUAACAAGUAGUCUGUUUCCUCGCUAUUUUGCUGAGCCAAUGAUUUCUGAUGAAGAGCUUUCAGCUUAGCAAGCUCAUCGGACACUUCCUUCAUGGUUGGCCGGUUUACUCCCAUGCUAUUUAGACAUCCUUUCGCAAGCUCAGCUACAGCUUCUAUCUCAUCCAUUUCACCUUCAUUAGCUGUCUGGAAAUCCAAAAUUUUGAAGAGAUGAUUAUUUUGCAGUGCUGAGAUGAAGUGUUGAAUAACGUUCCGUUUCUCUCCAGACUUGGAAAUGGAGUUUGGCAUCUCUCCAGUGAGAAGCUCCACAAGAACUACCCCAAAGCUAUAGACAUCACUUUGAACGGUUAAAAUACCCGUCAUAAGAUACUCAGGAUCCAGGUAGCCUAGAGUCCCUUGUAUUUUUGUAGCUAAGAUAUUGGUUUGGCCAGGAGACAUCAGCACCGAAGCUCCAAAAUCUGCUACUUUUGCUGUGCAAUUAUUGUCUAGAAGUAUGUUUACUGACUUGACAUCUCCAUGAAUAACUGGAGGGUCUGCCAGAGAGUGCAAAUAAUCAAGCGCAAGCGCAGUCUCCGAUGCUACCCUCAAACGAUUGGUCCAGGAAGCCAAUAUCCGGGAACCUUUGUCGUGGAUGUGCUUGGAAAGAGUUCCAUUUGAGAUGAACUCAUAGACCAGUAAUGGAACUUUGGUCUCUAAACACAGGCCCAAGAGCUUUACCACAUUCUUGUGAUUGACCUGUGAAACAAUGCUCAUUUCCUUUUGAAAUUCCUCAUUCAUCUGAGCUUUGUCCACCCCUUUGGACUUCUUGACAGCAACCACUGUAUUAUCUGUUAAAGCUCCACUGUAAACAGAACCAAAACCACCCUCCCCGAGUUUCCGAUCAUCAGCAUAAUUGUUGGUUGCCUUUACCAGCUCUGUCUCGCUGAAAAUCCGUACUCGUUGAUUCUUUAAAAAUUUUCCCCCGUUCUCUUGGAAGUUCUUCUCCUUUAUUCUUUUCGUGCAGAUCAUGUAGAGUAGCAGACAAAUAACCACAAGGAGAAUGCUUGCGCC
rnacentral:lncRNA from 1 species